rnacentral:lncRNA from 1 species
AAGAACAAGUCCGAUCACACAUCCACUAGACAAUCAAACACACAAGAUCCACAAGGUACAUGAACAACAAAGGGAAAGAUACAAGGUAAGGUUCAUCUCCAAGAGGAGGUCUUGAUGAUAUCCUAGAUGGAUCUUCCCACAAGGGGGUCUUGAUGAUAUCCCGCAGGAUCUUCUCCUAGAUGGAGGUCUUGGCCUCCAAUGGAGUAGUGGUCUCUCUCUCUCAAGAGUAGAGAUAGGAGCAAAGCUCACCUAAGAAUGAGCUAUCAUAUUUGCUAACCCUAACUAGAGGAAGGGGAUGUAGUAUAUAUAGGCUAGUCCAUGAAGGGGUAAGUGAGAAGGGGAUACAUGGGCCUCUGGCCCGUCUCUGCGCGCAGGCAGGCACCGGAUGUCCGGGCUGGGGGCCGGAUGUCCGGGCUCUCGUGAGACGCCGGAUGUCCGGGGCAGUUGGCCGGAUGUCCGGCCCGAGCGGGGUGGCCUUGUGGCUUCGGGUUCCUCUUGCCGGAUUUCCGGGGGCGAUGCCGGAUGUCCGGGCUGUGGCGUGGCGCCGGAUGUCCGGGCACACUGGCCGGAUGUCCGGCCGCUGAUGCUUUGGCCUUCUAUUGGUGCAGUUCGUGGACGACUGCACAGGCGCCGGAUGUCCGGCCUCUGGCCCGGAUGUCCGGCUGCUGUAGCUUCAGCAGCUCCGUCUUCUUCCGUUGUCGCUUCCAGGCUUCCCUCGCGGAGGGUGUAGUUGUUCCUUGGCGCUUGCACUCCUCCUUGACAUCCGUGAAGCUCCGACAAUACCUAUGCAUGCACACGGGAGAAGUGUCAAGUAGUAUACCAUCCUCGAAGGGGUCAAGUGAACAUGUGUAAAGGAGAAGAUUCACCUUUAUGUGUAUGAGAAGUAGAGGUCGCACGUGUCACUUGCCAAACAGAUUCUUGACAUGGUGAUGACCGUAGGAUGCUCCGCAUCAUCCCCUCCCCCUUGGAAAAGAUCCGAUCUCGGAUCGAAAACCAAAUCACCAUGGGAAAGAGAUGGCGGUGCCGUGUCGAAGUGGUCGGUCACCAAGCACUCAUCAUCUUGAAACUCGAAAUGGGCACUCUCCAAUGUCGCACCGUCUAGUGAUUCCUUCAAAAGAAGCAAGAACAACAAACACUUGGAAAAACAAAUGUGGUUAGCGUUAGUGCAAAACCAAGCAUUCAAGAGGUGAUUCACCAAACAAGUGUCGUGAUCAAGCAUAGCAUCGGGUGUGACAAAGGAUUGUGACAUGGCAUGUAAGCAUAUCAAUUGAGCACAAGCAAAGAUAUCAUGGGGACAAGUAUGCAAAUGUGAGGUAGUGAUGCAAAUAUGUGUGACAAGAGAAUAAGCAUCUACCUCAAGUUUAUAGCAAGCAUUCACAAAUUGCUCAAUGAAAGGUCUAUGGUAGGCAUAAGAAUCAUUCACAACACCAAAUAAAAUGAAGGGUCUAAACACAUGGGUCAAGUGCAAGACAAUCCAAGCAUAAUGUGCAUAGGGUGUAGUGAAUAUAGUGUGGCACUCAACACAAUAGAAAGAGCAAUUGUUCAUCAUGUGUGAGGCAAUCAAGUGAAUCAUGUGACAAGCAAAGGAACAUGGCAUAUGUGAAGAAGUGACAUUGUUGAAACCAAACAUAUGAUAGUAGCAAGUAGUCCAAGAAUUGGAUGCAACACACAAGGUAUAUAUGGCAUGAAGUAUGUGGCAAUCAUGGGUGAAAGCAAUAUCUUGAACAUGCGUGCAAAUGGUGCAAGCAACACAUGAAGUAUGAUCCACAAUAUCCAAGCUCAAGAAGGAUGUCACCUUGAAGGCGUGUCCUUGUGCAUUCUUCACAAUGCCGAAGUGGUAGGAAAUGUGGUGUAGAAGCGAGUCAUGGUAGAGUGUAAGAGGCUCGCUCUCAAGAGCUCGAAUGGUCAACUCACGUGAAGUGGAAGCCGACACAAAGUCGAAGUAUCCUACACAUGCACAAAACAAAACAAAGAACGUAUGCGCAUGGUAGAUAAACACAUAAUCCAUCAUGAUGGUUCUCAUCUUUUGCACAUAACCAUUAGAAACACAAGUGCAUGAAUAAUAUGAUGCAACAAUGGCUAAAUUCAUGGCACUAGGUAUAUGGUGCAAAGAAGUAAGACAAGCAUGGUUCACGAGAGUUAUGUCAAAAUCUCCAAAUAUAUGCGAGAAUGCUAUGGGGGCAAUCUCAUGAGCAAGAAGAGAAUCAUUGUUGCACUCAAUACAUGGCAAAUCUAGCAUGAGAGUGGUAACACAUGGAGAUAUAUGACAAGAAGCAAUAGGAUUCACGUGCAAAGCAUAUAUAUGGUUGUCAUCAACCGCAUGAAAUGAGCAAGUAUGAAUCAUUGGUGAUGCAACAUAAGCAAGCAUAGUAAUCAAGUUGUGCAAACUAGUGGAGCGAAGAUGCAACACACUAGAAGAAAUCAUGGCAAUCAUGUCAUGUGAGCAAAUAAUAGGCAUAGGGAAUGCACAUGACAUAUCGCAAGAACGGACACAAAGCAAGAUGAAAGUAACAUCAUAGGAAUGGUGCACAAAAGGAACAUGGCAAUAACAAGCACUAUCUCCACCAAGCUUGCAAAUACACAUACAAGUACUAGAAUCAAUCAUCAUGUGUAAUGCAAAGCAUGGGUCACAAAUGCAUGGCAAAGGCAUAGUAAAUAGCAUAUCAUGCAAAGUGAACAUGGCAAGAUGGGCAAAUGAUAUAUAAUGGACAAUAACCCAUAGCCAAGUGAGGGCCAUGUAGAAGAAAUGCACGAAGUCUUUGCGCGAAGAGAGCGGUGGGAAAGACAAUCCAUGGGAUCCCAAAUCAACGUUGCUCUCUAGAGCUCGUUUUGUCAACUCGUGGGAUUGCGAGGUUGACAAGUAUUCAUGGGUACCUACACAAAAAGGACACAAACCAAAGAAAUUGUGCGCAUGGUAAAUGUACACGUCAUCCAUCAUGAUGUGUAUGUGCACAUGUGAGUUAGCACAAGAUAAGCAUAGUUCAAAGAAAUUUGAUGCAUGGUAUAAGAACAUGUCAUCCAUCAUGAAAGAAUAGUUAUUAUGUAUGACACGAUGGAGACACAAAUUGAGAAUGCAAGUAUAUGACACAUCAAUAUCAUGUUUAAUCAUGGGGAGCAUAUGGUGCACACAAUUAUGGGGAUCAUGCAAUGGAAGGGAUGGAUCAAAAUCUCCUAACAUGUAUGAGGAAACUAUGGGGGUCUCCUCAUGAACAACAUUGGAAACAUCAUAUGGAGAAAAUGGACAACAUCCAAAACAAUGCAUAUCCGAAGCUAGGUGGUCAUGGCAUAGCAUAUGAGAUGAAUGAUGCAAAUUGAGCAUAUCAAUAUCAUCACAAGAAAAACAAAUGCCAAUAACCAUGGGCUUGUCAUCUAUGCCGUAAGUGCAAAUUGGGUUUAUUUUAAUGACAUAUGCAUAGUCACUAUGAAGAGAUUGCAAAUAAGACAUAUGGUGGAUCUCAUGCAUAGCAUAUGACAAGUCAAGCAGAUUAUCAAACAUGAUGUGACCUAAAGAAUUGUCACAAGAAAUCCUAUGUAACAUGGCAUCACAACUAAUAGACUCCACAAGAGAAUCAUCAUACUCAUAAUAAAUGGGCAAAUAAUCACAUGGGGAAAUCAUACUAGCCUGAAGCAUGGCAAUAGGUGGAUCAACAUCAUGCAAGCAAUCAGUGUCAUGAAUGUCCACUAGUGGGACAAGAGCAUCACCUUCACCUAUGUCACCUUGUUCAUUGCACUCAAGUGGUGUAGGUGAGGUGGGAAAGACCAAAUGGUGGUCAUCUUCAUCUUGAUGGAACCAUGUGGGGGUGCAUCAUAUUCCACCAUGGCCAUCAUCUUGUCCAAAGGGAGGACGAAGUCGUCGAGGAUCGGCACGUCAUCAUAAAUGGGACCUAGCACUAAAUGAGAACACACAAGAGAGGUAGAGGUCAAGUUGUUAGAAAUGCAAAUGGCCUCACGAGACCUAUCAACUAUCUCACCCUCUCCAUGCGGUGGUUCACUCACUCCCUCAAAGUAGGUGCACUCAAAGUCACAUAUGGUGGAGUCACUCAUCUCACACAAGUGGUGGGGGGUGUGGCUCUCCUCACAUGGGAAUUGUGGCAACUCAUCAUAUAUGGAGCUAGUGGUGAACUCACUCUCACUCUCAAUAUGGUGGCAAAACUCACUCAAGUCAUCAUAGGUCGCCGUGGUCGAAGGAAAAAUCCCAUGCUCAACCAUCUCGUUGUCGUCGCUGUGGAUGAAGGCCGAAGAUGGCACAUCAUCACUCUCCUCCAUGACCGAAGGGAAAGUGCCAUGCUCGAUCAUCUCGACACCGUCGCCGUGGAUGAAGGCCGAAGAUGGCACAUCAUCACUCUCACCUCCAAAGAUGGAAGCAUCAUCCUUGCUCGCCACCUUGUCGCUCGCCUCCAAAGCUUGGUCCGUGAGGGUCUCCGUAGUCGUACUCGUCGCCGCACCGUCUUGAAAAAGAGUCGUGGUAGACUCGGCACCAUCAAUGUCACAAAGAGGGUUGGCGGUGAAGUUGAACUUGGGAGCAUCGUCUUGGAGCUCAUCUUGGGGUGCUUGUUGGCGAAGAUGCCGUAUGUCCGUAGGUGAAGAUGCCUUGAAGUUGCUUGGCGAAGAUUCCAAGGGAGAUGGUGAAGUCGUUGAGCGGUUGUUGGUGUUGAGCUCUUGACCUUCAUGUUCUUGUCGGUGAUGGUGUCGAUGCCGAUGUGAUCUUGCCGGAAAUGGUAGCUCGGAAGCAUGUGCUCUUGAGCGUCUUCUCGAAGAUGAGGAAGAUCACUUGUAGGACUUGAUUAGGGCUUUGAUCUCCUCCAUUUUAGCUUGCAUCUUGGCAUCGGAGUUGUUGUUCGUGGCAUCGAACUCGUCGUUGUUGUUGUAGACCGAAGGUGAAAUGCCUUGCCUAUCCAUCACAAGACUCGAGUAGAGGUGAGUAGGAAAUGAGAUAAACAAUACCAAGUUACCUUUUCCCAAAGUUGAGGAUGUAUCCCGUUUCACUCAAUGUGAGAUGAAAGAAUAGUGGAAUUGGUACCGGACUUGUUCACUCACACCUAUCAAGUAAAGCUUAUGGUAGAGCUCGGUGAUGAUAGUGGCACAAAAAUUUGAUGCAAAAUGUUAGCAAGAGUCAAUAAUGUUGAAAGAGAUUCACAAAUUCGCAAGCGAAACAAGUAGACCAAUAGCAAUGAAUGGCACACGGAAACACACACACAGAUAGAUAAAUGGGGUCGCGCAACCAAGGAAUGAGCACAAAAUGUGGAAUCCACGGAAAACGCUCGUGUUGCACAACUCAAGAGAGACGCUAGCACGAUUGCUCAAUAGGCGUAUACGACACUUGUGCACAACCUAUAAGAUGCAAAAUGGAUAAACUUUCUAUCCCAAGUAUGCUAUAUAUGUAUGGUUCCCGGUGUUUCUCACACAAUGAUCUAAGAUGAUCAAGUAUGAUACCAUAUGAUAUAUUUUGAUGUUAUGGCUAUUGCUUACAAGCUUCUUUGCUCUCUCUUUUUCUUUGCUUAAAAGCUUAUUCUCUUUUAUUGGAUAUGGCCACUUUUGCACAAUGCACAAACCAAGAUAGCAAUUGUAUAUAUGCGUGAACAAGCUUGUGACACAAGAGAUGAUAUGAUGAUACCAAUAUGAUAUGGUAUGUAUGCUAUGGGAAGUAUGAUCACCAAUGUGCACAAGUCACGUUACCGACAAUACUCAAAUGGCUAGUCUCGAUAGGCAAGUAACGCAAAAUGAGCUAAGGGGUUAUCAAUGAAAUUGCAAGGGUUAUAUACAAUGGUGUCGUCGAGGUUACCGUCCUUGGUGAUGAUGAGAGGCGGUGUUCUUGAUGUCGAGCCGUUCCUAGUUAGCCGAAACACCCUAGGAAACGAAAAAACCGCAAACUCAAAAGCUCCAAAGGCAAAUGUCAAAUGGUGGUAGCGGAAAACGGUGGUGGUUUGCACAUGGCAAUGUGGAAGUGGAAUGAUGGCUAUACACGUGUCCGAGUUGAAGUUGUCGUCCCUAAGUAGCCGAAACACCUUAGGAGACACAAGCCACAACUCAAACAAAAUUGGGUUAAGUUGGGGUGGAAAUGUAUGGUGGGCACGUCUAUGUGGAAAUGGUGGUGGUGGUUGAUGAAGAAGCAAUUGUCCCUAAGUAGCCGAAACACCUUAGGAUACUCGAAUCACUACUCAAACAACCUCAAAUGCAAUGGGGUGCAAUAUGGGUUAGGUUGCGGAAGUCGGUGGUGGUAAUGCGGAUGAUAUGGUGGAGGGCCUAGGCAAACUUGCCAAAUUUCCAAAAAUUUGAUGUAGUCAAAUGGUGAUGGUGGUAUUUUUGUGGGAUGGGGAAUGUCAAUAGCUUCAAAACGAGCUAAAGAACGUCAAAAUCGGACUUCGGAUGAAUUAGUUAUGGUCAAAACGGUGAAACACGGAAGGCUGAAAUGCCAGGGACCGGAUAUCCGGGGGUAGGGGCCGGAUUUCCGGGGGUGUAUGUCCAGAACCGUGCAGAUUUGAUGCUCCAGGGCCCGGAUGUCCGGCUUGGGGCCCGGAUGUCCGGUCGGAUGGCCCGGAUGUCCAGCCUGAUGCCCGAAUGUCCGGCCCGACGAUUCCAGAUCUCGUUUGGGGCGGAAAUUUUCGAAUUGGGGGCGGAAAUUGAUGAUUUCGGGGGCAAAAUUUGAUGGAUUUCGUGGAUGGAAGGUGGGGAAACUUGGGGGAAAGCUAGAUCCACUUGAAACCAAGCAAAUCCAUGGAUCAAAAUCAACAAAACAUCAUCAAACCAACAAAUCACAAAAAAAUUUGGGGCUAUUUUUUGUGGGGAUUUUCGGAUUUUAGGACGAAAUCGAGCAAAAAAAGGCUAGAAAACGAUAGGAGGGACUCCAAAUACGUGAUAAACAUGGCUCAUGAUACCAUAUGAUACGGGGGCUAACCCGGUGUAGGCCGAUCUUUCACGUUUGGAGUGGGAUCCCUCGAAGAACACGAUGAACACGGGGAAGAACGGAGAGAAAUCACAAGGGGAAACACUCAAGGACAAGUCCGAUCACACAUCCACUAGACAAUCAAACACACAAGAUCCACAAGGUACAUGAACAACAAAGGGAAAGAUACAAGGUAAGGUUCAUCUCCAAGAGGAGGUCUUGAUGAUAUCCUAGACGGAUCUUCCCACGAGGGGGUCUUGAUGAUAUCCCGCAGGAUCUUCUCCUACAUGGAGGUCUUGGCCUCGAAUGGAGUAGUGGUCUCUCUCUCUCAAGAGUAGAGAUAUGAGCAAAGCUCACCUAAGAAUGAGCUAUCAUAUUUUCUAACCCUAACUAGAGGAAGGGGAUGGAGUAUAUAUAGGCUAGUCCACAAAGGGGUAAGUGAGGAGGGGAUACAUGGGCCUCUGGCCCGUCUCUGCGCGCAGGCAGGCACCGGAUGUCCGGGCUGGGGGCCGGAUGUCCGGGCUCUCGUGAGACGCCGGAUGUCCGGGGCAGUUGGCCGGAUGUCCGGCCCGAGCGGGGUGGCCUUGUGGCUUCGGGUUCCUCUCGCCGGAUUUCCGGGGCGAUGCCGGAUGUCCGGGCUGUGGCGUGGCGCCGGAUGUCCGGGCACACGGGCCGGAUGACCGGCCGCUGAUGCUUUGGCCUUCUAUUGGUGCAGUUCAUGGGCGACUGCACAGGCGCCGGAUGUCCGGCCUCUGGCCCGGACGUCCGGCCGCUGUAGCUUCAGCAGCUCCGUCUUCUUCCGUUGUCGCUUCUAGGCUUCCCUCGCGGAGGGUGUAGUUGUUCCUUGGCGCUUGCACUCCUCCUCGACAUCCGUGAAGCUCCGACAAUACCUAUGCAUGCACACGGGAGAAGUGUCAAGUAGUAUACCAUCCUCGAAGGGGUCAAGUGAACAUGUGUAAAGGAGAAGAUUCACCUUUAUGUAUGAGAAGUAGAGGUCGCACGUGUCACUUGCCAAACAGACUCUUGACAUGGUGAUGACCGUAGGAUGCUCCGCAUCACCUUGCCAUUAACUUGAUAGCAUUGAGCCAUUUUGCGUAGCUUACCCAUCGAGACUAGCUUGUUGAGUAUUGCUGGGCCACGUCUUAGUGCACCAUUUAGUGUUCCGUCCAUCCCGUGCAUCUACUACUUGUUAUCCCGUUGUGUGGCUCGCAUAUCAAGCAUCGUGGCAUAGUGAAAAAAAGAGGAGAUAAAAAGCUUUUAAGCAAAAGAGAAGAGAAGCAAAGAGCUUAUAAGCAAUAGCAUCGAGCCUUCGCAUUUGUGCAUCAUCUUGGUCACCACAUACAUAUGCAUACUUGGGAUAGUGAGACGAGUAGAUUCUCUAUUAGGUUGGUGCACUAGCGUAUCUAUCCCAUUAGUGCAAUCGAGCUAGCGUCUCUCUAGUAUCCGGACGUAAAGAGCUUUUCCCGUGUUUCGAUAUCUUCGAGCUCAUUCCUUGGUUGUGCGGAUCCCAUUUAUCUUCUGUGUGUGUGUUCCUCGUGUUAUAUUGGGAGGUUAAUCUAUUUGUCUUAUUUGCCAUUUGUGAAUCUUCUCAACUUUAUCAACAUCUCGACUAACAUUUGCUUGAAUUAUUUGUGUCUUUCCUAACCAAUUCCUCCACAGACCAUUUACUUGUAGGUGUGUGAAACAAUUCCCGGUACCAAUUCCCCUAUUGUAACAUCACGUGGGAUCGUACUUGUUACAUCCACAAUCUUUGGAAAAGGUAACUUUGGUUUUGUUCUCUCAUUUUCCUUCUCACCACCACUUUCUUAUGAUGGAUAGGCCAAGCUCCUCUACCAACCCACUCUUCAUCGAGCAAGUUGAUGACAUGUCAUCCUUCGUCACCAAGAGCCACCUCUUUGAUGCACAACGAGCUCUACAUGAAGAGCAACAAGCCAUUAAUGACCGCAUCGACAACCUCGCCACCGACUUACGACUCUCUGAGCAACGAACACGCGACUACUUCGACAACAAGCUCGACGUGCACAAGCAAGAGAACAAUGCAAGAAUGGACGAGAUCCAAGCUUUUUUGGUCAACCGGCAUCCUUCAACUUGUUCCUACUCAAGACGGAGCCAUUCAAGUCGACACUCCGACGACACCUCCUCCGGCUCAAGUACACCGUCGUCGACCAUACUUCGAUGAGCCACGCGUCAAGACCGUCAUGCAUCUCGAGAUCCACUACACAACAAACAUUCCCAAGAGCAAGCCGAUGAACAAGUCCCUCGUCCUCAAGCAAAUCAAGUCGUUUUUCCUCAAGCUCAAGAACGACAACAUCUUCGCCGUCAAGAAGAAGAAGAACGAGCGCGUCUACACCAAGAGAAACAAGACGCCGAGGCUCAACGUCUUCAACAACAACAACAAGAAGCACAAGCUAUUGAGGCGGAACGUGCCCUUCAAGAAUCAAGUCGAGCCAUCGCCAACCACAAUCGCGAACAUUAAAAUCAAGAGGCAGCCCUUCGAGAAGAAAUACAAGAGAGGAACUAUCAACCAUGUGUGCAGUGUCAAGUUCCUCAAGCUCCUCCCCAAGUUCGUCAAGCUCCACCUCAACCUCAAAUGCAACAAGAGCGACACCAAGUGGAACAAGUACUCCAAGACCCUCCUCAACACCAAGAGCGACAUCAUGAGGAACGAGCAUUCGAGGACUUUCCAAGGCAAGAGCGCUACCGCAACCGCUAUCAAGAUGAAGAGCAACGAUAUGGAAAACUCAAAUUCACAAUGCCCAAGUUCAAUGGAAGCAAUGAUCCGGAAGAAUAUCUCUCAUGGGCAUUGAAGGUCGACAAAAUCUUUCGUUUGCACAACUAUGAGGAAGAGAAGAAGAUCGCAAUGGCAUCACUUGAGUUCCAAGACUAUGUGCUCAUAUGGUGGGAACAAGUCCUUGAGCGCCGAGAAGCAAGAGGUGACCCUCCAAUCACCACUUGGGCUCAAAUGAAGGAUGUCAUGAGAGCACGAUUUGUGCCCACCUACUACAACCGUGAUCUCUUCAAGAAGCUACAACUCCUCAAGCAAGGAACAAAGAGUGUUGAAGAAUACUAUAAGGAAAUGGAAAUAGCCAUGAUUCGAGCCAAUGUCAAGGAGGAGGAUGAGCAAACAAUGGCAAGAUUCUUGAAUGGACUCAAUCACCCCAUCAAGAAGAUGGCCGACUUCCAACCCUAUUCCAACCUCAUCGAGCUAGUACAUCAAGCGACCAAGGCGGAACGUCAAGUACAAGAUGAUUUCAAGUACGCCAAGUACUCCUCCAAGACAUACGGCUUCUCCAACAAUCAAGCUUCAACAACUCCUCCAACAUCUACGUCAACCAAGCCUUCUCCAAGCAACAACGACAAGACAUCAUACAAGAAUCCUUCGUCAAGUUCAAGUCGCCUUCCUCCUACUACAAGCAACUACAAGCCGCGUGCUUCUUCCUCUACUCCGACCGAUGAGACCGUCAAGACAAGCUCCUUCAAGUGUUUCACUUGCGGCGGCCGAGGCCACAAGUCCUUCCAAUGCACCAACAAGCGCACCAUGAUCCUCAAUGACGAUGGCACCUACGACUCAAUGAGUGAAGAUGAACUAGAAGCUAUUGAGCAAGUGGCCAUGCACCGGCGCGUGAACGAGGAUGAAGAUGAUCAAGUCUUUUGCGAUGAGGAUACGAGCCCCGCUCUCAUUGUUUCCAAAGUCUUGACACUUCAACAUCAACAAGAAGAAGACCAAUGAUGCCACAUCUUCCACACUAAAGCCGGCAUCAAUGGAAGGUCAGUCAAGGUCAUCAUCGAUGGAGGUAGUUGCCACAACUUGGCAAGUGAAGAACUAUGUUCAAAGCUUCAAUUGGUUAAGAGGAAGCACCCGCACCCCUACAAGGUUCAAUGGCUAAGUGACUCCGGCACUAUACGAGUUGAGCAUACGGUCCAAGUCUCCUUUAAAAUCGGUGCAUAUGAGGACACUUUGGAGUGUGAUGUGGUCCCAAUGACCGUUUGCCACCUCCUUCUUGGUCGACCAUGGCAAAUUCGACCGUGGUGUCAUCCGCAAUGGGCGAACCAAUCACUAUAGCUUCAAGAUGAAAGGGAAGGAGUAUGUACUACGACCUAUGUCUCCUAGUCAAGUGAUAGCCGACAAGCAAGCCACCCACCAUGGAGAGAAGAGUGAGAAAGUGACUCACCCAAAAGUGAGUGAGAGCCACAAGCCAAACUUGAGCGCCUCUUCGCCUAGAGAGAAAAACCUCAUCCUAUUUGCCACCAAAAGUGAGAUGAGAGAAGUGUGUGAGAACCCAUCGAGUGUGAUACACUUUGUCCUUGUGUGCAAGGAUGGAGAGCCAACAACUAACACUUCUCACGAGCUACCUUUAGUGUUUCAAUCUCUUUUGCAGGAAUUCCACGAUGUUUUCCCCGAUGAGCUGCCUCCGGGUCUACCUCCACUAUGAGGCAUUGAGAAUCGAAUCGACCUCAUCCCCGGAGCAUCACUUCCAAACAAAGCUCCAUACCGUGUCAAUCCCGAAGAAACCAAGGAGAUUCAACGGCAAGUACAACAACUAAUCGACAACGGUCAUGUACGUGAAAGCUUAAGCCCUUGUGCGGUUCCCGUUAUACUUGUGCCUAAGCCCGAUGGAAGUUUCCGCCUAUGUUCCGAUUGUAGACCCAUAAAUGCUAUCACCGUUCGCCAUAGGCAUCCCAUUCCUCGCUUAGAUGAUAUGCUUGAUGAACUUAGUAGAGCCAACUUUUUCUCAAAAAUUGAUCUUAAAAGUGGCUAUUAUCAAAUCCGCAUACAAGAAGGUGAUGAAUGGAAAACUGCUUUGAAAACAAAAUUUGGCUUAUAUGAGUGGUUAGUGAUGCCUAUGGGUUUAUCGGAGGCCCCCGAUACUUUUGUGCAUCUCAUGCAUCAUGUACUUCGACCUUACAUUGGAAUCUUUGUUGUGGUUUACUUCGAUGAUAUUCUUGUGUUUAGCAAAACCAUGAAAGAGCAUCUUGAUCAUGUUAGGCUUGUUUUAAAAACACUCCGCAAGGAAAGUCUCUAUGCCAACAUGAAAAAGUGCACAUUUGGUGUUGACAAAGUGGUUUUCUUGGGUUUCGUUGUCUCUUCCAAGGGUGUCCAUGUUGAUGAAACUAAAAUUGAAGCAAUUAAAACUUGGCCCCAACCCACCAAUUUGCAACAAGUGAGAAGUUUUCUUGGUCUUACAGGAUUUUAUCGCCGCUUUGUGAAAAACUUUAGCACAAUCACCGCUCCUUUGCAUGCUUUGAGUAAGAAGAAUACUCCUUUUGUUUGGGGAUCUUUGCAAUCAACCGCUUUUGGUGAGCUCAAGUCUUUGCUUACUCAUGCUCCGAUUCUUGCUUUGCCCAACUUUGACAAAACUUUUGAGGUUCAUUGUGAUGCAAGUGGUACCGGAAUUGGCGGAGUUUUAAUGCAAGAAAAACGAGCAAUUGCAUACUUUAGUGAAAAACUCUCCGGUGCUCAACUUAACUAUCCCACCUAUGACAAAGAAAUGUAUGCUUUAGUGCAUGUCCUACAUGUUUGGGAACAUUAUCUUAGACCUCAUGAGACACUUAAAUACCUAAAAGGACAAACUAAGUUGGACAAGCGUCAUGCUAAAUGGAGUGAAUUUAUUGAAUCUUUCCCAUAUGUGAUCAAGUACAUUAAGGGUAAGGAAAAUGUAGUUGCCGGUGCACUUUCACGCAUAUGCACACUUGUCACUAAACUUGAGUUGAAUGUUAUUGGCUUUGAGCACAUAAAAGACUUGUAUGCUAAUGAUCCAUCUUUUGCACCUCAUAUACUAAAUGUUUGAUGCGUACAUCUUGGGAACAAUAUUACAUCAAGGAUGGUUAUCUUAUGAGAGCUAACAAACUAUGCAUUCCCGAGUCUUCUCUUCAUUUGCUCCUUUUGCAAGAGGCUCAUGGAGGCAGACUCAUGGGACACUUUGGACGCGACAAGACUUUCGCCACGCUCUCCAAGAACUAUUUUUGGCCCAAGAUGUUCCGCGACGUCGCACGCUUCACCACCCGAUGCUCUACAUGUCGCAAAGCUAAGUCUAAAGAUUAAUCUCAUGGUCUUUACAUGCCUCUUCCUAUUCCUUAUCAACCUUGGGAAGACAUUAGUAUGGAUUUUGUACUUGGUUUGCCUAGAACUCAAAAUGGAAAGGAUUCCGUGUUUGUUGUUGUGGACCGAUUUUCUAAGAUGGCACAUUUUAUUCCUUGCAACAAGAUAGACGAUGCUUCACAUAUUGCAAAUCUCUUUUGUAGGGAAAUCGUGCGCCUCCAUGGAGUACCAAAGACAAUCGUCUCUGACCGCGACGUCAAGUUCUUGAGUUACUUUUGGAAGACUCUAUGCGCCAAGCUCGAAAUCAAGCUAUUGUUCUCAUCCGCAUACCAUCCUCAAACCGACGGCCAAACGGAGGUGACAAACCGGACACUAUCCACUCUACUUCACGUGUUGAUCAAGAAGAACAUCAAGGAGUGGGAGGUGUGUCUACCCAUCGCCGAGUACGCCUACAACCGUGCAAGACAUUCGACUACCGGCAAGUCCCCCUUCGAGGUCGUCUACGGCUUCAACCCGUUGUCCCCAUUGGACAUUCUACCUCUUCCUCUACAAGAGCGCACCAACAUGGAUGCGAGUGCACGAGCAAGCUACAUCAAGAAGAUGCAUGAAGAUACAAGAAACAUCAUCGAGCGCCACGUACAUCGACUAGCCAACAAGCUCGACGUCAACAAACAACCCAUGAUCUUCAACAUAGGUGAUCUCGUGUGGCUACACCUUCGCCAGGACCGCUUCCCCAACAAAUGCAAGUCCAAACUACUACCUUGAGCCGAUGGAGCAUUCAAGGUGCUAGCAUGCUACAACAACAACGCCUACAAGAUUGAACUCCCACGAGACAAGUACAACGUGAGCGACAUCUUCAAUGUCAAAGACCUCUCGCCUUUCCAUGGUGAUGAAGAUCUUGAUCCGAGGUCGGAUCCUUUCGAAGGGAGGGGAGAUGAUGCGGAGCAUCCUUCCAUCAUCCCCAUGGACUCUACAUCAGCACAUCCACCCCCACAAGGACCCAUGACAAGAUCUAGAGCACGUGCUUUGGAAACCGAGGUGAACUCCUUCCUACUAGACUUGCAUAUGGACACAAAUGGAACAUGUAUACUACCUCACCAAAAUAUGCUAUGCAUCCUUAGGUAUGAAGUGGAACAUCACCAAGGAGCUCAGGAGCAUCCCCAAGGAGAAGGAGAACCACCCCAAGGCCAUGAGGAUCAAGACGGAGUGCAACCGCAGCAAAACAACAAGUCCCAGGUGACCCCGUGCGCACGGGCCCCAGGGACCCCGUGUCCACGGGCUACACAGGAACCCGGCGCUGGAGCACCCCGUGUGCACGGGCAUGUACCGUGCCCACGGGACCCCCGUGCGCACGGCACCAACUUACCCCGUGCGCACGGGCCUCCCAGGAUGGCCGACUGAGAUUGGAUCUUCGGCUUCCCUUCGUCUCCUUCGACCCCAAGCCUAUAUAUUUCGUACCUAGGGCCAUGUUUAGGGUUAGCAAAGUAUUGGAUGAUAUUUUGGUGAGCUUUGCUCCAUUACCUUCCCUCUUUGAGGAUCAAGACCCCAUUAGGGAAGAAUCCUUGAGGAUUUCAAGACCUCCAUUGGGAGAAGACUACCACCAAGACCCCUCUUCCUUUGGAUUUGGGAUGAACUUUGCCAUUGUAUCUUUCCUUUGAUUGUGUUUGAGACUUGUGGAUCUUGUGUUGUUACUCUAGUGGAUGUGUAAUCGGGAACUGUUGGAGUGAUUAUCUCUUUGUGUUCUUGUGAUUUCUCUCCAUUUCCCCCCUCCAAGUGUGAAAAGGUCCUUCCUAGGGUUCUACCCUACAUCAUAAUUGCUCCGUGACGUACCACUCGCUGUUAGUGUCCGAGGCCCAAAUGUGGACUCGAGCGCAGCCCACAUGUCUUUGCUGCUGUCAAAUGACAUAUAUGAAUCCACAAUGGAAUCGUCAAGAACACUCAGAAGGGCGCCUUUGAAGAGGGUAUCCAUGUCUCAAAAGCUUCCUGCUGUGUAGGAUUAAGACCGCCCUCAGGCUUGCCCUUAGUGGCGUCAUAGCAGUACAUGAUCUGAAACCAGUAAACUGCUGUCAUGCGUCACUUUUUAUAUUGCACCCCCUUAAAGGUAGGCGGCUUCAAAAGCGCAGCAAAACCUCUUGGAGUAAAUUGCCUAUAAUCAGGUUUUUGGAUUGGAUUGUUGAAUAUAUGAGCAAAUUACUAUGAGAUUUAAUCCGAAUAAACACUAAAUAGAUCAUGACGACAAUUGCAAAGAUCAAAGUAAUGAUGCGGACUAAACCAGGAGGACAAAAUCACAUACUGUGUAGCGGGAGUAGAACCGUUGUGGUAGAUGUUGUCACUCAUGUCGUUGAUGAAGAGGUUGCCUAGUCGGGGAGAAGGUUGUCGUUGACGAAGUCGUCGCUCGCAGCAGUCGCGCGAGUGUGCUCCUCAAAACCUAAUCGCCCCUCUCCCGUACAGGAUCACAAAAGGCAGGGUUCUGGAGGACUGCUGUCCCUUCUCGUGGUGCACGCCGGAAGGAAGGAUGGAGAAUACUUGUGUGGCGACGCUGUGAUCUGGAACGGUGCAAAACCAUAUGAUUCAGCGGCAGCUAGGGUAGAGCCUAUCAGGUCGGUCAUGCGAGUAAACUCCAUUCCCAAGUCAAUAAUAGCCCCACUAUCCAAAAGAAUCAGAAACGGCUGAGUAAUUGAGGCGUCUGUUAAUUAUUAAUUAAUGACUGGAUUCGUGCCAUUUUUGUUCUUGUCAGUGACUUUUUCCUAUGUGACCACAGGAAAUCUAGAUGUGCUCAUUCUCAGUUGCAUUGUCAACCCAACGCUCCCUCACUUUCUUUCCUUUUUCGACCAGGAGCCCGGUCAGGCCCGCCCCAACCCCACUUUAUUUCCCUUUUUAACCAAGAGAUCGGUUCAUUAUCCAGUCUCUGUAGUACCUUUUUUCCUCGAUUAGUAAAAAUGUAGGUGGUGUUCCAGUGUUCGACAAGCCGACACAGCUAGCUACAGUGGCGGAGACAGGGGAGCAGCAGGGGCCCUGCCCCUCCCAACAUCUAAGGCUUACACCUAAUUAGCCGAUGAACAGUGCCGAGUUGGUGAUGAUUUGUGGCCACAAAACCUAUUAUAUUUCAAUAGCUUUGUCCUCCCCAACUUGUUUUGACAACAUCCGGCCCCCUAAUAUGAUUUUUGUGGCUCUGCCACUGGCUAGCUACAUGGGGAGCUUUGUACUAGAGGAAUAUCCACAUGCAGGCCGCAACAACAUGGGGAGCAAUCCUAACUUGAUGAAAAAAGGAUGCAUCAAUGUGGGGAGCUGGGCCAUUAGAACGAACCAGUUGUAAAAGAAGUUAUACCUCCGAUCGACGAGAUAAGGCGAGGUAGGCGGCGGUAUCUAGCAACUCAACGGCAGUGAGCAAAGAUCUGUGACCAUCACUGAGAAGCGAGCGAGAGAGAGAGAGAGAGAGAGAGAGGGAGUGGACACCUCCAUAUUUUUUAGAUCUGGAGAGGGUGAGGGAGUGAGAAAAGAGAGCAACCCUAGUAAGCAAGUCCCGAAGCAUAUAUCCCAAAGCUACAACCUACACAUAUUACUGGUGAAUCCCACAAAAUAUAGCCAUUCGAUCAGUUGAAGUUUGGUAUGAUAAGCGGUAGCAAUUCACUUUGUGGAAUAAAUCAACGACUAAAAGUGUUCGGUGUGAGGGUGGAUGGCUUGUCUCAUUCUUAAAACUUGUUGUACUAUAAAAACUAUAAUAUAAUAUAAUAUAUACAUGCACGGGCAAUGCACAUUGGUUACAUGGCAGAGUGAUUUUGGUCAAGGAAAAUAGGUCAUGGAGUUCCCAGAGAAAUGAUUCAAGACACAUCAACAUUGUGAAUGUACGAAAGCAGAAAGAAAAUACUACAGUACUAUACUAUAGUACUAUAUAGUGUACCCCAUCUCUAUCCUUCUCCUAGAGCGUGUCAAGUACUGCUUCCCAUGUGUCCCAAGGCAUCACAUGAUUUUAGUAACAAAUUGAACUUUGCAUGUGCUAUGCAUGUACCCACAUACUAGUAGUAGGUAGAUAGAGAAGAGAAGAGAUGUAGAUAAAACUCGAUCAAUAACCGUGCUACCGCGUUCAGGUCGCACUUUGUAUGAAUCACAUGUGGUUGCAGACCCUACAUUAAGUGGACAACUAGAUGUGUCAAAUUAUCACGUUAGCUGCCGCUUCGUGUGCAAAUGCGCUCCAUCGUGGGUGUACCCGUGUGUGUGCAAGAGGGGACGAGUGCGUGCGUGCACCUCUUCUCUUCGUCUCUCUCUCUCUCUCUCUCUCUCUCUCUCUCUCUCAUCUAGAGUACAUUUUAGUGACAUCGCAAGUCUUAUAGCCCGCUGACUAGGACUUUUAGAUUGGCUCUAAAGUUACUUCCAUUGUGAGUAGUCUAAUGUCGGGCGUGCAGCGGGCGGCGCCCUCUGCCAGCAUGGGCUUCAAUGGCUGACGCAUUGAGAGGCCGCGUUGCCCUGACUUGCCAUCAAUGUGGAGCAACGGGCUUAGCUGGCGCUAGGUGGGAAGCGCGUGCGGUAGGGGGGAGGGGUUUUUGGUGGGCCAGAAAGGUGAGAAGCCAACUUCGGAUCGGUCCAGACGGGGAAAUAUCAGGUGCCCCCAUCCUUUUGGUGCUCCCAUAAUCCAAGUGCUAGUACUACUGUAGUACAAUAGUGUGGGCUACGUAGAGGGUGUAGUAAGCAAGCUUCUCAUUGUUCUGCGAGUUGAUGGGACACAUCAAAGUAGUAGUUUUUUUAAACGUACAUUGAAGUAGUAGUGUAGUCGUCUCCAAAGAGGGCCGACCAUGCCCAUGGCUACCAUCCCAUCCCAUGCUCCGUCAUUGAGUACGUGCACGAUUCACGUGCCAUUGAAGAUUUUUUUUAAAAACAUGCCAGCGUGUCAUGGUCAAACUUUGAUUCGUUCACGCAUGGUUCCCGACCCUCCACUGAGUGAACAACUACUACACGCAUCAAAUUAUCACGUGAGCUGCCUCUUCAUCCAGAAAUGAGCUCCACUAUGUACCCGCUCGUGUGUGUAAGGGAAAGAGGCAAAAACUACAUGUGUCCGUGCUUGCGGGUGAUUCGUGCACGUACUCGGCCUAUGUUGGUGACCGUUGGUGAGUCUCACUUAUCUCUACUUCUCUACAUGUACAUCUACAUCUGCAUCUAUGUCUACACUACAUCUACAUCUACUAUAGCACAACAAGUUUUAAACAUCAGACCAGCCAUUUUCUUGCAUGACAUGACCUGGAUGCUGGAUGUCCCUUGUGUCGGCAAAAGGAGGGAGAACGAUUUCCGACGACCGAGAAGGACCAAGGAACCAUGCGAUGGAGCAUCUGCACUCGGCCCUUCCCAAUGCUAAAUCAUUAAAUGAAGGAUGCUUAGCUACAACAACUUAAGCACCUAUGCAUUGGAGGCUUUAGUUGCUAAACUUUUUAAUGUGCUUAACACCUCAUGUUAGCACUGGUGCAUUGGAGGAUUUAGUUGCUAAACUUUUUAAUGUGCUUAGCACCUCAUGUUAGCACCAGUGCAUUUUGCUAAACUUUUUAAUGUGCUUAGCACCUCGUGUUAGUACCAGUACAUUGGAGGCUUUAGUUGCUAAACUUUUUAGUACUACUAUAGAAUCAACCGAAUCUUCUACACAUUUGGACCGGAGGGGUAGGAAACACGAUAAGCCUUGUGUAGUUACAUCAUACGUACAUACCCACCGCAUGCUAUCACCAUAUAUCUCGACCUCCGUGCGACACCUAGCUCUAGUAAUCCACCAGCCCGUAUUGCUUCUCGCUCCUCGUCUCUCUCAAAGUGCAUCUGGUAGGCGAUUUUCUCGUCGAUUGAGGUCAGUUUGCUCACACUCGCUCCCACAUGUUAGAGAUAUGCCAAUAGCAUUCUAAAUCUAAAAAUAAUAGUGAUAUGACAAUAGGAAGUUCUUUGACCGAUGGACCAAACACGGCAGGCGUGCCGUGAGUGGGUCCAGUUUUUUCUCGUAAGGUGACUUAGAGCAUCCACAGUGUGUUGAUUUGCUGCCUCUAAGUCCUUAGUGAUGGAAAUAUGCUCUAGAGGCAAUAAUAAAGUUGUUAUUAUAUUUCCUUAUUCAUGAUAAAGGUUUAUUAUUCAUGCUAGAAUUGUAUUGAUCGUAAACUUAGAUACAUGUGUGGAUACAUAAACAAAUACCAUGACCCUUGUAAAGCCUCUACUGGAUUAGGUCAUUGAUUAAAGAUGGUUAAGAUUUCCUAACCAUAUACAUGUGUUGUCACUUGAUAACAGGAUCACAUCAUUAGGAGAAUGAUGUGAUGGACAAGACCCAUUUGGUAGCUUAGCAUAUGAUCGUUCAGUUUAUUGCUAUUGCUUUCUUAAUGCCAAAUACAUAUUCCUUUGACUAUGAGAUCAUGCAACUCCCGGACACCGGAGGAAUACCUUGUGUGCUAUCAAAUGUCACAACAUAACUGGGUGAUCAUAAAGAUGCCGUACAGGUAUCUCCGAAGGUGUUUAUUGUGUUGGCAUGGAUCGAGAUUAGGAUUUGUCACUCCGUGUAUUGGAGAGGUAUCUUUGGGCACUCUCGGUGUCGGUGCAAUGAACGUUCACGUUUGUUGCCCAGACUUAUACACAGGCAUGCCAGCACCCAAUAUCCAACACCAAUAAUGCUAAACAAGGCCAAAGCCAGGGAAGCAGCUCUUAGUGAGAUCAAAGAGUGGAUCAAGAAGACCAAGACAAGCAAGACGACAGAGCUCUACCUUGGGAAAGCCUCCCUUGCCAGGCAGGAGCGCCCGGUGAGGUCAAGGCCACCCCAAAGACGAAUCCAAGACUUCCCCGGCAAGAGCGCUCGGUCAGGUCGAGACCACCCCAAGAAUCUCCCUGCCAAGGCACCACCGCGCCACCUCGCAGCGACGCAAAUCACUUAUCAAUGCGGUGUCGAGCCCCCAAGUGAUUAAGUGGCUUCCACUAAGUAUGUGGCAGCCAUUUGGAAGACCGAUUACCCUCAUAUGACACCCCUCCAGAGGCGUGUCAAGCAGAGAAGCCAAAGAAGAUUAAGCGGCAUGGCAGGCUCGUCAGGCUGCUUCCUCAGCAUGACACCUAGUGGUGCAUUUAAUGCACUUUGUCCUAACUGCUAGAGCUUGGUAUGAUAGCACUGUUAGCUAUCUAAUCACUAGAUAAUGACUAUUUUUCCAUUGUGAUUACCCCUUGAGCUAUAAAAGGAGGGCCAUGGCGAACUAGAGAGGGAUUCGAACCCUUGCACACCUGUACACGUGUAGCUGCUCUCCCCGAGGCGACCUUGCCGGGCUUGAGCGCUGCAUGCUCAUCGUAUUCCUCCACUCAAUCCAUCAAAGAAGGAGUAGGGUUUUAUGCCUCCCGGCGGCCCGAACCUCGGUAAAAACCACCAGUAUCACCACCGUCUUGCUGUUCCAUGGCCUCUACUCUUUGUGCAAUGUGACCUUCUCCCUUGCAGAACCAUAAGGGGCUGAUGGCCCCAUAGGUGAUCAUGUUCCACCACGACAUCUUUGGUGCGUCAGGUAGGGGAGAGCGCUUGCGCGAACCAGAGGAUGUGAACAUCACAUCAAUCAUCGUCAUCAGCAUCAUCAUCAUAAUUGUCUUCUCGCAUGGUGCCUCAGAAGAAACUCGAUGCUACUGCGCACCCUUCCUCUUCGAAGGCCCCCUCACAUGCGGUCGCGGACGGCCCGGGCGCUGUGGCGGCAUUGGGUGAGGUGGGUACUGCGGGAGACGUGACCGGUGCAGGCGGCAUUGUCGUUGCGUCCCCCGUGGACGAAGCUAGAGCAGGAGGCGCCGGGGGAGGGUAACAUUAGCAACAUCCUGGCAGGCAGAACCCACAAGCUGCGGGUGGAGGGGACACUCAGUCUCCGCCUCCUCGUCGUACUAGUGGGCGCAGCCACAACGACAACACCCGCUUUGGCGUGAGCCGUGACCCUCUAGCCUUACCUAUAAUAGGUGCGGCUACGGGGCACACACCUUGCCCAGGACAGGGCAACCAAGAUGGAGCACCAAACGGGGUUGCCAAUCCUCGGGCGCACCCUACUCAUCAUCAAACUGCCAUGGUGACCGGCUCGCAUCAGUGAGAAUGCGGCGCCACCCCUGCUGGUACUACCAGGAGUCGAGCGACGUCGUGGUCGGCCUCAUCAUCUAUUCCAAGCUUAGCUUCGGAAACCAUGGCGCGGGCCCAACUCUUGCUAAGAUUUCCACCAUGGGCUGAUAAAAUGGAUGAGUGGAGAGCCACUAUCCAGAGCUUGAUCGGCUUUGCUGAAGCUGAGGGAUAACAACGGGCGGAGCCAUCGCGACACCCACAAGCAACAACAACGGCUCGAGUUGUUGGCUGUGUUGAGGGGGCCGCGCCAAUGGUGCAGUCCCCUCCCUGACAGCAGGACCAGAGGCAACAACCAAAACCACAUGACCAGGAGCCUGAAAAAGCAUCAAUGGCUUCAUCUAAUCCACGAGCCAAUCGAGAUGAGUGGCAAGUCCUGGAAGAUCGGUGCAGAGAAGAUGCGCGCGUCACCACAAAGCGGUGUCGGGAGUCCUGCCGUCAAUCUGACAGGCGCAAUGGUCUAGACGUCGAGUAACCCGUGCCCAGUGAUGGCGGGUACUUACCCUUCAAGGUUGGGUACCCUGCCUUCACUCGCGAGCUGCAACAAGUUCGCUAGCCGUCUUCCCGCGUAUUCAAACCCGAGUUACCAGAAAAGUACGAUGGAAGCUGAAUGCGGCAGAGUUCUUGAGCAUUUACACAAUUGUUGUUCAAGCCGUCGGGGGUAGAGAUGAGAAGGUGUUCGCCAACUACUUCCCUUUGUCCCUCGAACCAAACGUGAGAUCGUGGCUGAUGCACCUGCCAGAGAAUUCCAUUUCAUCAUGGGCUGACUUGUGCAGUGAAUUUGUUGGCGCCUUCACGUGUGGCCAUCAAGAACCAGGACGGCCCAGUGAUUUGCAAGUUCUUCCACAGAAGGAAGGGGAGAGCUUGCGGAAGUAUAUGCAGAGGUUUAGCCGAGUGCACAGGAACAUCCCAGAGAUACAUCCAGCAGCUGUGAUUGCCGCGUUCCACGUAAACAUGUGCAACAAAAGGAUACGAUCUGAAAUGAACGUCUGGCUUCCCAUCACUAUCAAUGAAUUAUAUACCUUGGCCGAUAAGUCUGCUCGGGCUAAAGAUGGAAGGCGACUCCCCAGGGAAGAGGAUGUCAUUGAAGUUGAUUCAGAAGACGACGACGAGGCCGCUAACCUGAAGAGGAGAACCUGGAAGUGCAACAAGAAACACAAGGAUAAGUCAGUAUUGGCCGUUGAGGGCUCUGGCUAUCUUAGCACCGGCAAGAAGGCCAAAACCGAAGCCCCCGGCAAGAAAGCUACCGCAUGCGCUGAUUGCCGGGAGGCUGCAGCGAUAGAGAAAGCCGGGAAGUAUGAUUGGCCAUACUGCAAAAUCCACCACACCAAAGGUCAUGAUCUCCAAGAAUGCCACCAGGUCGAACAGCUUGUCAAUAACAGAAGGCAGAAUAUGAGCACUACAAAAAAAGACACAUCCAUGACAUUUUGGGCCGAACGAAUUUUUUUUGUCAUACUUAUGACACUUCUAUGACGAUAAUUGUGACAAGACCCGGUAUCAUCAUAGAUGUGGUGGGCUCCUACUUCUAUGACCAAAAAUCAUGAUAGAAAAUGGCCUUUUCGUCCUGGGCGGGCCGGAGACGCAGUUGCAUGACAUUCUUUGGGUCGUCCAUGAUGGAAAAAACCAUGGUAGAAGCGAGGGCGAGGAAAAUAACGGGGUGCUCCCGGUUACGGUGGGUGGUCGGGGCCGAGCGAUGCACGUUUCUGUCGUACACGUACGCGCAUGUGUGCGAGGCGUUGGGAUCUAACUGAACCCGAGCGAGGUGUUGGGCUCUAACUGAACCCGAGCGAUUGCACUGCAGGCUACGCGUUACUGAACCCGAGCGAUCGAUCGAUGGCUGUUAACCGAACCCGAUUGAGCGAUUCCUUCGCUACUGCUGCUAACUGAAGCCGAUCUAUGCUGCCUUUGGAUGAACAGUGAGUGUUGNNNNNNNNNNNNNNNNNNNNNNNNNNNNNNNNNNNNNNNNNNNNNNNNNNNNNNNNNNNNNNNNNNNNNNNNNNNNNNNNNNNNNNNNNNNNNNNNNNNNNNNNNNNNNNNNNNNNNNNNNNNNNNNNNNNNNNNNNNNNNNNNNNNNNNNNNNNNNNNNNNNNNNNNNNNNNNNNNNNNNNNNNNNNNNNNNNNNNNNNNNNNNNNNNNNNNNNNNNNNNNNNNNNNNNNNNNNNNNNNNNNNNNNNNNNNNNNNNNNNNNNNNNNNNNNNNNNNNNNNNNNNNNNNNNNNNNNNCUCGUGGAGGGCUGGAUGAACAGUAGAUGGUGGAGGGGUGGAUGAACAGUAGCCCGUGGGGGGGUGGUUGAACAGGAGCCCGUGGAGAGGGGUGGUUGAACAGUAGCCGGUGGAGUAGCGCGCGGUGGAGGCUGGAUGAACAGGAGCCCGUGGAUGAACAGUCGCAGGUGUAGGCCGGAGGAGGUCGGCGGUGGAUGAACAGUAGGCCGUGGAGGCUGGAGGAGGUCGACGGUGGAGAUGAACAGUACCCCGUGGAGUCCUGUUUUGUGGUACGCCACACCCCUCCCGAUGAACAGGACCCCCAUUUCGACCAUAGCGCUCCAACACAAGUCCGUUUCCUCCAUUUUGCGGUACGCCACACCCUCCCGAUCAAUAAGACCCCGUUUCGACCAUCGGAGGUCCAACACAAGUCCGUUUCCUCCGUUUUGCGGUAUGCCAGACCCCUCCCGAUGAACAGGAUCUCGUUUCGGACGUGGCCGGUCAAACACAAGGCCAUUUCCUCCGUUCUGUGGUACGUCAGGCCUCGUUUCCAUUGCAUGUUCCGUCCAAGCCGGUUGGAUCCCACACGUUCCGUUGCCUCCCGAUGAACACGAUGCAUUCUGUUGCCUCCCGAUGAACACGACGCAUUCCGUUGCCUCCCCAUGAACACGACGACGACGCAGUUUCUCUGUUCUAACCCAGCCAUGUAUACGAGCCCUGGCCAUACGUAUGCGCGAGUAGGCGUUCGAGACCCCGCCCGUAUGUACAUACGUGGCCGUAUUUUCUUUCUUACACACUGGCCACUGUACGUACGUGUACAUGCUACGUGCACGCCUCUACUACGACACAUGCGUGCCUCUACAUCCACCAGUAUGUACGUACACGUUCACGACCAGAAUGACAACGCUACGUACGCUUCGACCAGGUGGGUCCUGACUGUCAGGCACUUCCUUGCAUGCGAAGAUGUAGCUGGUGGGUCCCAAUAGUCAGGGGGGCGAAUCUUUUUUUUGCUCGGACGCACUUUAUUGCGUGCGAGGAUGUAGCCGGUGGGUCCCAGCAGUCAGGGGGGAACGUUUUUCGUGAAAUACGGUGGCCCGUCUGGUGGGUCCCUGCUGUGAGGUGGAGGAAUAAUUAUUUUGCGCGUAAUAAGGAGGCACUUCCUUGCGGCUGCCGUGGACCCAACUGUCAGCCUCUCCACGUACAGUACUCUUCCGAUGGAAGUCGGUCAUUGACCACAUUGACCACGCCGCGUCGAGAGCACCACGGCGGUGGACGAUGGUGAGGCCUAGGAAGGGGACGACGCGGAGCCGGGGAAGAUGCGAUAGUGGAUGCCCACGCGGAGAGGAGUACGAGGGUUCACUGGUUCGGCUACGGUGUGAGGUUGAUAUCGCCGUAGAAUAACAGGGGGUGUGGGUGAGUACACGGAUGGCCUGGCCAGCGGUGGGAGUUGUAGGAGGCGGUGAGGCCUCCGCGUCAUCACAUCCGGCCACGGGAGGCAGGAGCAUGCGGCACGACCGGCACUGCUUUGGGCGGCUGGAGCAAGAAGACCAAAGGUUGAAGAAGCACUACGGCCGUUGGAUGGACAUCGUAUGGUCACUGGAGCUAGAAUCGUUCAUAUUGACUAAGUUGACAAAGCCCUCCGUCCCCGUCAACUUAGUAGGCCCACAAGUCAGCCUCCCACCAAGGUGGAUACCAACUAGCAGGGGGAGUAUUCAUUUUUUUGUGCGUAAUAAGGAGGCACUUCCGGUGGGUCCGAGCUGACAGCGGGGGGAAUGUUUUUUUCGCGAAAUAGGGUGGCCCGUCUGGUGGGUCCCAGCAGUCAGGGGGAAAUGUUUUUUCACGAAAUAUGAUGGCCCGUCCGGUGGGUCCCUGCUAUCACGUGGUGGAAUAAUUAUUUUCCAUGUAAUAAGGAGGCACUUCCUUGCGGCUGCCGUGGACGCAACUGUCAGCCUCUCCACGUACAGUACUCUUCCGAUGGAUGUCGGUCGUUGACCACAUUGACCACGCCGCGCCGAGAGCACCACGGCGGUGGACGAUGGCAAGGCCUAGGAAGAGGACGACGCGAAGCCGGCGAAGAUGCGGCAGUGGAUGCCCAUACGAAGAGGAGUACGAGGGUUCAUGAUAGAGGCAAAGGUGUUCCAUCUUUCGAUGAGAUGGUGGCUAUCGUUUUGAUGGAAGUCGACUUUGACGAUCCGACUACGAACGUGCGAGGACGUCGCGCCUUAGCAAUCGCUAAACCAACUCCGAGAGGUUAUUGACCAUGCCGGAGCACGAUCAACCUGACCACAAAGGUCUAUUUCCUGCAAGCAAACGAAGAACAAGCAAGAAACUAAGAUUGCAAUCUGGAUAUUGUGAAUAACAGAGGAAAGCUUUAUUAAUGAAGGUGGGGUUCUAUGACACCUUUGUCUGGUCGUUGAACACAAACGAAGUACGCGAAGUUGCAGCUAUGGUGAACUUUUAAUCUAAACAAAACCCAAAGUCUAAACGACGCCCUAAGGGCUGUAUAUAUGGAGGAAGAGGGGGGAAUUUCGUGGCCCUUGGGGAAGGGGUCCGAAACCAACCCUAUCUCUUGUUUCCCCACACAUACGGACUCUAAAAACAGCCUAAACUCAAGUAUUUCAAAAAUACAUGGACCUGGCCCAAUAAUAAGAUGAAGCAGCACCUAGAAUAGCCUCUAGACGAAAGUUAUGAAGUAGCAUCUUGUAUAUUUCGUCCAAGGCUUCAUGCACUCAUUAUGGUGGCUUCAACGUCUUGAAAUCAUCACUUGUAAGUCCGUUCUUAUUCCCCUUGUGCAUGCCACCAUCUCCAUGCUUGUUCUUGCUCCAAUGUUCAUCCUUCUCCAAGCUAGGCCCUUCAUUUGUAAGCAAAACAAAUGUAUCCAAUUUAGGCAGCAUCAUAUUCUCAUGAAAAUUAGAAUCAUCACUAAGAAACGAAAGUACUUGGUAAUUUAAUUGGCGUGCACGAGCUCUAGUAAUUUGUCUAGUAUGUAUAGUAGCAGAGGCUGUGGGUGUAACAAUGGUAUUGAUGUCGUCAUCAUCCUCCCCUUCUUGAAAUGAAGUCGUCCUCGAUGGAAGCUCAUCUUCCUCACCCAAAUAAGGCUUCUAAUUUGCAAUGUUAAAAGUCGAACUAACCCCAAAAUCUGCAGGCAACUCAAGUUUAUAUGCAUUAUCAUUUAUUUUCUCUAACACCUUAAAAGGACCAUCAACACGUGGCAUUAGGUUUGAUUUGCACAAAUAAGGAAAUCUAUCCUUACGCAAAUGUAACCAAACAAGAUCUCCAGGUGCAAACAGAACAUGUUUUCUACCCUUAUCUCCAGCAAGUUUAUAUUUAGCAUUCAUACGCUCAAUGUUUUCCUUAGUUAACUCAUGCAUUUUUAAAAUCAAUUUAGCACGUUGUUUAGCAACAAAAUUAACCUUCUCCGAAGAUGGAAGAGGCAACAAAUCAAUAGGUGCACGAGGUAGGAAACCAUACACAACUUCAAAAGGGCACAUCUUAGUAGUAGAGUGCAAUGAACGAUUAUAAGCAAAUUCAAUAUGGGGCAAGCAUUCUUCCCACAUUUUCUUAUUAUUCUUCAAAACAGCCCUAAGCAUAGUAGACAAUGUUCUAUUGACUACAAUUUGUCCAUCAGUUUGAGGGUGACAAGUAGUACUAAAAAGUAGUUUAGUCCACAACUUAGCCCAUAAACAUCUCCAAAAGUGGCUAAGAAAUUUAGUAUCACGAGCUAAAACAAUAGUAUUUGGCACACCAUGCAAGCGAAUAAUUUCACGAAAGAACAAAUCAGCAACAUUAACAGCAUCAUCGCUUUUAUGACAUGGUAAAAAGUGUGCCAUUUUCGAGAAUUUGUCCACGACAACAAAUAUGCUAUCCCUUCCCUUCUUUGUUCAAGGUAAACCUAAAACAAAGUCCAUAUAUAUAUCCUCCCAAGGAACACUAGGUACAGGCAAAGUCAUAUAUAAACCAUGAGGAUUGAGUUGUGACUUAGCUUUUUGACAUGUAGUAUAUAUAUAUCCUCCCAACAAAGCACUCAACAUCCCAUCUCAUCUUUGGCCAAAAGAAAUGUGUAGCAAGUGCGUCCUCCGUCUUCUUCACGCCAAAGUGUCCCAUUAGUCCUCCUCCAUGCGCCUCCUGCAACAACAGAAGACGAACGGAGCUAGCUGGAAUGCAUAGCUUGUUAGCACGGAACACAAAUCCAUCAUUAACAACGAACUUGUUCCAUGUUCUUCCUUCUUUACAAUUCUGCAAUGCAUCUUUAAAAUCAGCAUCAUGCACAUAUUGAUCUUUGAUGGUCUCCAAACCAAAUAUUUUGAAGUCAAGUUGUGGAAGCAUAGUAUAGCAACGAGACAAUGCAUCAACAAUAAGAUUUUCUUUAUCCUUCUUGUGUUUAAUGACAUAAGGGAAGGUCUCAAUGAAUUCAACCCAUUUAGCAUGUCUACGAUCCAGUUUAGCUUGACUUUUAAUACGUUUCUAAGAUUCAUGAUCAGAAUGUAUAACAAAUUCUUUGGGCCAUAAAUAAUGUUGCCAUGUUUCUAAAGUCCGAACAAGAGCAUCUAAUUCUUUAUCAUAAGUAGAAUAAUUCAGACUAGGCUCACUCAAUUUUUCAGAAAAGUAUGCAACAUGUUUGCCUUCUUGUAAUAACACACCUCCUAAUCCAAUUCCACUAGCAUCACAUUCAAGCUCAAAUGUGUUAUUAAAAUCAGGAAGUUGGAGUAAAGGAGCAUGUGUCAACUUAUCUUUCAACACCGUGAAGGCUUCUUCCUGUGCGCUACCCCAAACAAAAGGCACAUCCUUCUUUGUAAGCUCAUUGAGAAGUGUAGCAAUGGUGCUAAAAUCUCUCACAAAACGCCUAUAGAAUUCAGCGAGGCCAAAAAAACUCCUCACUUGUGUGACCGUUUUGGGCUGCGGCCCACUCUCAAUAGCUUCAAUCUUGGCUUUAUCAACUUCAAUUCCCUGUGGAGUAACAACAUAGCCAAGAAAAGACACUCGAUCGGUUCAAAAGGUGCACUUCCCAAGGUUACCAAACAAACGUGCAUCACGUAGAGCAAUAAAAACAUCACGUAAAUGUUCCAAAUGUUCCUCCAAAGAUCUGCUAUAAAUUAAUAUGUCAUCAAAGUAAACUACCACAAAUCGUCCAAUGAAAGCACGUAAAACUUUGUUCAUUAAUCUCAUGAAAGUACUAGGUGCAUUAGUUAACCCAAAAGGCAUGACUAACCACUCAUAUAAUCCAAACUUAGUUUUAAAUGCUUUUUUCCAUUCAUCCCCCAAUUUCAUACGAAUUUGAUGGUAUCCACAACGCAAAUCAACUUUGGAGAAUAUUGUAGAGCCACUCAAUUCAUCAAGCAUAUCAUCUAGCCUAGGAAUAGGAUGACAAUAACGAAUAUUAAUAUUAUUAAUGCCUCUACAAUCAACACACAUACAUGAUGUGCCAUCCUUUUUCGGCACUAGAAUAAUAGGAACAACACAAGGACUAAGGGAUUCGCGUAUAUAACCUUUGUCGAGAAGCUCCUGUACUUGACACAUAAUCUCCUUCGUCUCCUCUGGAUUGGUACGGUAUGGCGCACGGUUGGGUAAUGAUGCACCGAGAAUUAAGUCAAUCUGAUGCUCAAUCCCUCGAAUAGGCGGUAAUCCCGGUGGAACGUCUUGUGGAAAGACGUCAGCGAACUCCUGCAAAAUGUUAGUGACAGCAGGAGGCAAAGAGGAAGGCUCGUCCUCGAAAGAAAAUAAUGCCUCUUUGCACACAAAAGCAUAGCAAACAGAUUUGCUGAAAUCUAGCUCAUCAAUAUCAGAUUUGGUGGCAAAUAAACGUGCACUUUUCAUUUUAAUUUCAGAAGCAACACUAGACGGUUUACUAUUAGGCUUCAUUUGUUGCUCAAAUUCUUUUGCCACAAUCUGAUUUUCACUCUUAUUUUUCUCCCAUUUUGCUUUAUUAGCUUUAUUAAUAUCAUCUUUCAAAAUGGAAUCAGGAGUCAUAGGAAGCAAAGUAAUAUUUUUAUCCUUAUGAACAAGAGUAUACUGAUUGUUUCUACCAUGGUGUACAUAAUUUUUAUGAAAUUGCCAUGGUCGACUAAGUAAUAAGGAACAUGCUUGCAUAGGUACCACAUCACAAUCAACAUAAUCAACAUAUGUAGAGAUACUAAAAUGCACACAAACAGUACGUGUUUCCUUAACCUUGCCGCUGUUGUUGAACCAUUGGAUGUAGUAAGGAUGUGUAUGUGGUCUUGUGGUGAGAGAUAGCUUCUCCACCAUCUCCAUGCUAGCCAAGCUGUUGCAGCUCCCUCCAUCUGUGAUGACGCGCACAGAACGUUCCUUCACAACUCCCUUUGUAUGGAACAAAAUAUGCCUCUGAUUUUGCUCAGCUUGUGUGACCUGCACACUCAAAACACGUUGAGCAACUAAACAUUCAUACAUGUCAGCAUCUUCAGGAGCCAUGUAUUGCGUCUCAUGAUCAGAAUUAUCUCCACCGUGUUCUUCACAUGUAAUAAGAGCCAAAGUCUCAUCAUCAUGGUCACUAGCGGACUCAUACCCACCAUCCUCAGUAGCAAUCAUCACACGCUGAGAUUUGCAUUCUCUCGCAUGAUGACCUCUUCCCUUACAACGACGACAAAUAAUAUCACUUGUGUGCCUGGUUGAUGCCAUGGAAGAAGAAGAGCUCUGCGCAGCCCGACAGGUGCGCUCUUGGCAGAUAGCGGUGGUUGUGCCUGCUUUCUUAUAUCAUGGCUGGAGGUGGCACCUAAUGGAGGUGCCGGUGCAGUGGAAGUAGAAGAUGCACGUGGUGUCCAUUAUGAAGGUCGACCUGCAGAAAAGUUAGUUCACGCCAAUGCUUGUCGAUCCUGCACUUCACGUUCAGCUUUACAAGCAAGAUGGAAUAAACGAGUGAUAUUAGUAUACUCCUUAUACUCUAGAAUGGUCCGAAUCUCUCUAUUUAAUCCACCCAUAAAGCGUGCACGCAUAGCUUCAUUCUCCUCAACAAUACCACAUCUAAUCAUGCCAGUUUGUAAUUCCUGAUAAUAUUCUUCUACAAAUUUUUUUCCUUGUCUUAAACGCUGCAAUAUUUGAAGCAAUUCACGUUGAUAAUAUGGUGGAACCCAACGAGUACGCAUAUCAUUUUUCAAAGAAGCCCAAGUAGCUAGAAUAGGAUAUAAACAACAAUGUUUAGACCACCAUACACAUGCAAAACUAGUGAAAGCACAAACAGCAGCAACAACCCGUCUCUCCUCGGCAUAUUGUAAACAUGAAAAACAUUGUUCAGUUUCUAACUCUCAAGUAAGAUAUAUAUCAGGAACAUAUCUACCCUCAAACGAUGGAAUAUUCAAUUUCAGUUUAGGAAUAUGGUCAUUAUCUCGUACCUGAGGUGGUGGUGCAGGCCUACCGUUGCGAAUAUAUACCUGGCGUCGACCUGCUGGUGGUGUUGUGGCUGCACGUAGUUCUGAUUUUGAUCAACCUCAUCCUCGUAAUAGUCCUCCACCUCUGCAGUAGCAGUAGGAGCUACAGAAGCACCAACAGCAGUAGUAGCGGCACCAGAAUUUUGUCCUGGCUCAAUAGGAACACGCUGUGCGCGCCCUACUGUAUCACGGCGUAGAGCUGGUUGUGGGAGACGUUUGAGUAAUUCAUCAAACUUGGUGUCCAACUUUGUGUCAGUUGACUUCUCAAUGUCAUCCAUCUUCUCCAUUGCAUUUCCAAAGCUGACCAUCACGUCUUCCACCUGUUGACCAACAUUUGAUGAAACCUAUCAUGAAUCUCCUUGUUCAUCAUGUUCUCCCAGUCAAUCUCAUCGGCUUGUGGUCCUGCCAUAGUUAGCAGCAAUAGAAAUAGACAAGAAUAUGAUCCUACAGACUACUGGAAUAUGGUGGUGGUGGGGUGUCACAAAUCCGUCAAGUGAAUCUCAAAUUCUUACGAGUUCUUACCAGCAGCAGGUGGUGAUCGGCAACCGUUGUAGUCAAAACUCUCAAAGCUUGGAUAGAGCGAUUACCAGGGAGAGUCAAAUGCAUGACGUAGAUGUAUGUGGAGCUGGGAAGGCUUAUAAUAUGGUAGCAAAAAGGGUCAGCAAUAAUCAAUUCAGAGAUGCAAAGUUGAAUAAACGCUCAUCGACGGUACUGUGCUGGUCCUAGGCUAGACCGUGCUAGAGACGCGAGCCUAGAACACUAACAAAAACAUGGCGCGACACGUAAUCAAGGGAGGAGCACACUCUUUUUUUUCUCUCUUUUCUCUUUUUUUGCACUUUUUCCUCUUUUUUUUGCUCCGCAACAAUUUUUUUUCGAAAAAGUCAACAAAUGGUCUAAAAACUGCCUAGCCAGAAUUUUUUGAAAUUGGAACUAAUUUUCUUGUAUGGGUGGCACUGAUGUUGGGAAGUCUGACUUAGUCACGACUCGGAGUAAGGCAUGAUCUGGAAAUCAAAAUCAAACCAACAAAUACUAGACUCGGACUAGUACUGGUGGCGGAGAUGAAUCUGGUGGAAACUCGGACUUGUGGCGGAUAUAUGUAGGGCGGUGGAACACAGACUGAUGGCGAAUCUCUGAUGGAGGUGGACUCGGAUUAUCGUGAUGGUGGUGAAUAUGUGGUAUAUUGUAGCGGUGAUGACGAUGGUGGUAUAUGGCAGUGGUGAUGACGAUGGUGGUAUAUGGCAGCGGUGAUGCCGAUGGUGGUAUAUGGCAGCGGUGACAAUGAUGGUGGUAUAUGGCAGCGGUGAUGAUGAUGACGGGGCGGCGGCAUGACAACUUGUGAACAGAACUCAAAACUCUAAAGGACUAGACACUAAGACCAGCAACUCGACACGAUGAUGCAACCACAAAUUCAACAAAGCAAAAGACUGAAAAGAAUAUGCAAUGGCUCAGACUGGUUCAGAUAGGAUGAACUAACCCUAAUUUUUCGUGGCUUUUUCGUGGACUGUAGGUAUGAUAAUAGACUCGAUCUAAACUAUGAAAAACUGUAAAAUCUCACUGAGCAACCUGGAAACCUGAUACCACUUGAUAGAGGCAAAGGUGUCCCAUCUUUCGAUGAGAUGGUGACUAUCGUUUUGGUGGAAGUCGACUUUGACGAUCUGACUACGAACGUGCGAGGACGUCGCGCCUUAUCAAUCGCUAAACCAACUCCGAGAGGUUAUUAACCACGCCGGAGCACGAUCAACCUGAACACGAAGGUCUAUUUCCUGCAAGCAAACGAAGAACAAGCAAGAAACUAAGAUUGCAAUCUGGAUAUUGCGAAUAACAGAGGAAAGCUUUAUUAAUGAAGGUGGAGUUCUGUGACGCCUUUGUCUGGUCGUUGAACACAAACGAAGUACGCGAAGUUGUAGCUAUGGUGAACUUUUAAUCUAAACAAAACCCAAAGUCUAAACGACGCCCUAAGGGUUGUAUAUAUGGAGGAAGAGGGGGGAAUUUCGUGGCCCUUGGGGAAGGGGUCCAAAACCAACCCUAUCUCUUGUUUCCCCACACAUACAGACUCUAAAAACAGCCUAAACUCAAGUAUUUCAAAAAUACAUGGACCUGGCCCAAUAAUAAGGUGACGCAACACAUAGAAUAGCCUCUGGACGAAAGUUAUGAAGUAGCAUCUUGUAUAUUUCGUCCAAGGCUUCAUGCACUCAUUAUGGUGGCUUCAACGUCCUGAAAUCAUCACUUGUAACUCCGUUCUUGUUCCCCUUGCGCAUGCCAUCAUCUCCAUGCUUGUUCUUGCUCCAAUGUUCUUCCUUCUCCAAGCUAGGCCCUUCAUUUAUAAGGAAAUCAAAUGUAUCCAAUUUAGGCAGCAUCAUAUUCUCAUGAACAUUAGAAUCAUCACCAAGAAACAAAAGUACCUGGUAAUUUAAUUGGUGUGCGUGAGCUCUAGUAAUUGCUCCAAUAUGUAUAGCAGCAGGGGCUGUGGGUGUAACAAUGGUAUUAAUGUCAUCAUCAGUUCACUGGUUCGGCUGCGGUGUGAGGCUGCCGUCGCCGUAGAAUAACAGGUGGUGUGGGUGAGUGGAGGGAUGGCCUGGCCAGUGGUGGGAGUAGUAUGGGGGCGGUGAGGCCUCCGCGGUAGCACUGCCUGCCAUGGGAGGCAGGAGCAGGCGACACGACCGACGCUGCUUUGGGCGGCUGGAGCAAGAAGACCAGAGGUUGAAGAAGCACUAUGGCCGUUGGAUGGACAUCAUACGGUCACUGGAGUAUUGACUAAGUUGACAAAGCCCUCCGUCCCCAUCAACUUAGUAGGCCCACAAGUCAGCCACCCAAUAUGGUGGGUCCUAGGCUCCCAGCUAGCAGGGGGGUAUUCCUUUUUUUGGCGUAAUAAGGAGGCACUUCCUUGCGUGCGAAGAUAUAGCUGGUGGGUCCGACCUAUCAGUAGGGGAACAUUUUUUUCGUGAAAUACAGAGGCCCUUCCUGUGGGUCCUAGCUGUCAGGUGGAGGAAUCAUUAUUUUGCGUGUAAUAAGGAGGCAUUUCUUGCGUGCGGCCUUGGACCCAGCUGUCAGCCUCUCCAUGUACAGUCCACUUCCGAUGGAUGUCGUUCAUUGACCACGUUGACCAGGCCGCGUCGAGAGCACCAGGGCGGUGGAUGACGACGAGGCCUAGAAAGGGAACGACACGGAGCCAGGGAAUAAUCGGCAUUUGUUUCCCACGCGGAGGAGUACGAGGGUUUACUGGUUCGUCUACCAUCACUGGAGAAUAACAACAGGUGUGGGUGAGUAGAGGGAUGGCUAGGCCAGCGAUGGGAGUACGGUGGGGCCGUGAGGCCUGCGCUGCAGCAUAGCCGGCCGCAGGAGGAGGGAGCAGGCAGUCCCGCCGGCGCUUGUUUGAGCGGCUGGAGCAGGAAGAGCAGAGAUUGAAGAAGCACGACAGCCGUUGGAUGGACAUCCAACAAUCACUGCUCUCGUGUGUUGACUAAGUUGACAGGGCGUUGCAUGUGCGUCAACCUUUUUUAGGAAAGCAUACGCGUCAACCUGUAGUAGGCGCACAAGUCAACCUCAAAUCUGUGGAAAACAACGUACAACCCAUCUGCCAUUAUUUAUAAUAAUGUACAACCCAUUUGCUAAUUCUUAAGAAUUUUGUUGGAGCCCAUCUUCUUUUUGUUAGCAUUACACCCCAUAUUGUGGCCAUGGUUAAAAAGUAUACGAAAUUUUGCAUAUUUUGGUGCGCUCAACUAUUUUUCAUCCAGAAAUAUCGAUUCACAUUCAAACUAUUUUGAAAAAUAAUUUAUAUAAAUAUAAAAUCCAAAUAAUUGUCCACGCACAAAAAUCAAUGGAAUUUUAAAUCUUGUAAUGAAAAAAAGUUGAAACUAAUUCUCGGUUUGAUGUGUUUUGAAAAUGUACAGCCCAUUUCUGGGCAAACCGAAUGAAACUCUCCUCAUCUUGAAAUAUUUGCAGCCCAGCAGGGACGAUAAAGCAAGUAGGCCUCGUUUGGGUAUUUCUUUUAAAAAAUAGAACUGGGCUAGCCAUUUUCAGCAAGAAAAAAACACAACUGGGCUCAUGAUGUGGUAAACAUAAAUAAAACCCUGGCUAGACGGGCCACAACCCCCGCACAGCCCCGUUGUUACCCUGAUCCGUCGCUAAAACUAGUAUAAAUAACAACUGCUUGUUUCUCAAAAAAAACUGCGCGACCUGCUGGGUCCCUGGUGUCAGCCGCUCGUAGUGUAAUUCUCUCGUUUAUUGACUAUGUUGAUAAUGGCGUGAGCCCCAGAUGUCCAACCAUUAGGAGGAACCAUAUUUUUGGGCUUGUAAUAUAGAGGCACUUGCUUGCAUACUACCAUGACGCUAGUGGGUCCCUACUGUCAUCCUCUCCACGUACAAUCAUCUCCUUGUUCCUCUCGGUUGUUGAUGACAUUGACAACUCAAGAGGGCGGCGCACCAUGCACGGCGAGCGAACCAUGGCCACAAGGCGGAGGACGACGGCGAGGCCUCGGACAGAACGCAUAGGAGCCGUGGAAGAUGCGCCGGUCCGGUCGCAGGCGGAGGGGAGUACGAGGGUUGACUGGUUCGGGUGUGUGUUGGGGCUGACAUCGCCGGAGAAUAACAGGACGUGUGGGGGAAUAGAGGGAGGGACUGGCCAACGUUGGAGGGUACAUACAGUAGGGCGGCAGAGGCGCAGCCAGCCAUGGGAGGCGGAAGUAGGCGGAGCCGACGGGGUGGUUUGGUUUGGGCGGCUGGAGGAAGAAGAAGACAAGAGAUAGAAGAUACACGACAAAUGUUGGAUGUCAAUCCAACAACUGGUAGGCAGAAUCGUUUGUUGACUGGCUAGUAAGUCGACACCACCUUGGAUAGGCUAUUUCCUCGCGGGUCCCAAAUGUCAGAAUCCAAAUCUGUCACGGUCAUGCAACCUUUCCUAUGAAAAUUUACAGCCCAUUUGAUGUGCUAGUUCGAAAUAAGUUUGUGGGUGCUGGUGGGGGAUAAUCACUUGGCUUCUGUAAUGCAUAGUGAGCUCAAGCAGCCGGCGAGAGUGAUGUUAUUUCCCUUGGUUGGGAUUUGUUACAAUAUUUCACUCCAAAUUAAACGCAUGGCAAGCCAUUUGCCUUGUUUCAAAGAAAAUAUGACAGUCACAGCCGAGUUGAAAAGGGCAGGAACAUCUAACUCCAGCUUACAAACUAUACAAAAGCACGAGGGUUAAUUGUUCAUCAUGUUUAUAAAAAAAAUCUGGGUUGAAAAGGGCAACAACAUCUAACUCCAGCACUGUUUUCGGCAGUCACAGUCAAAUGGAUCGGUUAGGUCCAUAGAAUGAACAUCCUGGGUCGUAAAAUUUACUAGAUUAUGACCACAAUAUGUUGUAAAUAGAAGUCCGACACGUUCAGAAGCCCUUUUGCCCACCUGAAACUCCUUUUUUUGCUCUUCGACAUACCCAUCCAUCAAAACCAUGCUGCUGAUAAACUUAAGCCUGAUGGACAAUAGUAACCUGGCAUUCAGCAGGAACAAUGUGACAAAUCUAGUGUUUGCAUGGUUGGCUACAUAUCGUGCUAGCGUUAUUGUCUUCAAUCGAAUCUCAUGAGAAGUGAGAAAAUCCCGAUGCUUACAAAUCCACCGAUUGGUUAUAACUUUCUUACCCCGUCCUGUUGCCUAAAUAGACAUGAAGAUUGAAAACAGUUUAGGUCUAAAAAAAGAGUGUCGAAAGAGCAACAUCUGAAUGGUUAAUUCUAGUACACUAUAUGCAGGCUUCCAAUGUGCGUGAAAUUAUCACCUUUAUAUACAACUUCUCCAGAAAUGGAAAGCAUUGCAGCAAGCUAAUAAUCUUGUUCAGAUCAAAACUAUUCAUUUGGAUAUAUAAAUCUUGAUAGAAUCCAGCACCAUUGAUAGGCCAUCCAUGGAGAAACUCUUCAUUGAGCAUAGAACAUAAUAUUAGUACAAAAUGUGUACUUCAAGAUGAUAUAUAAAUUAUGCGCAAAAAUUUAAAAUGCAGCUUAUGGUUAAAAGUGUAGAUGAUAAUAUAAAGUACCUGAAGAACCGUGGAGCCAAACACCAUAUUGAAAUGAGCACAAAGAUCAUGUAUUACACCCAAGGUCUCCAGUUUAGGCGCAGAGAGGACGGUUAUUUGCAACUGUGAAUAACUAGAAUCAAGGAUCAACCUUUCAAGUGAAGGGCAUCUUGGAUGAUGAGCUGCCUUCCGUCAAAAGAAAUUCCAUUUCUUACAAGGUUAGGCGACUUUAUUUGGAGAUAACCGAUUCUAACUGUGAAAACAAGCACCAAGCACUCUAGGGCAGGGCAACUGGAGUGGAUGAUGCUGUGCAAUGAGGCCUCCGAUGUACGAACCCGCACAAGUGAAAGUUUCUUGAGAAAUGGGAGUUGAAGGUUUAGUACCAGAUUGUCUGGUAGGUAGCACAUCGCAAAGGUGACGGUGUGGAGAGAGGAGGAAAACCGCGAGAUGGGCAUCGGUGCUGAGGGCACAAGUACAUGGCGUUCGGUAUGUGGUAUGUGAUUUCCAGGGGAAUAGUAGAACUCAAGCAACUGUAGUUCUGUGAACUCAGGGGAUUUCAGCCAGGCAUCCACCAUGCAGGGCAUGGUAUGCUUCUUAGGUAGCAUGACAGGAUGCAGAGGCUUUGAACGGAGCCCUGGUGGGAGGAGAUGAUGGCUCUGGGGAUUUCAAAAUCAUUGAAGAGAGAUAGCUAACGACAGUCGAGAUUAAGGGGCACGGCGCGCCAUAGAGGGCGCCACCGAAUUGGGAGGACUUGGGUGCGGCAGCAAUCCUUGGUGGGGAGAAGCGAGAUGAUCUCCCCAAGGACGACGUCUAGGAUAUCGCUGAUGCGGUCCACUCGAGAUUCUACGGGUUCCUGGGAUCCGGUGGGGGCGGGGUCACCGCUUCUCCCCAUGCUGCCGGGUGCGGGAUCUACAACAGGCGUCGCCACUCGCGGGAGCCUCAUCUUCUUGGCGCUAGGGUCAGCCGACUCCAUUUUCCUCGAGGGCGUCUCGUCGCGCUCACGGAUUUGAGCAGAGUAACGAAUGACGAGCCUAGUUGUAGUGCGAGUGAAGAAGAAGGGGAUCUGGGAUUUUUCUGUAGUAGUGAGGAAGAAGGGGGGCUGGGGUUUUCUAUAGGAGUGAGGUGAAGAAUUUGGCGGUACGAGUGGAGCGAGCUGAUGUGAGGUGGGUGGGAGCGAGGAGGAAGAAGAGCACCCAGGUUUUUUGGGGGGCGGUGUCCUGGGUGUGGGUAGCGCCUCUCAUUCAGUAAAUAUAUGGGCUUUUGAAUUGAUUUUACUAUUUACUAGUGUGGAUGGGUUGUUUUGUCUUGGGCCCAGAGAAACAAUUACUACUAUUACAGUGGAGACACUCUACAGCUACCCAGAAAAACAAUUGCUACUAGUACAGUGGGUACAAUACCGCUUCUGGCUCCUCCUAGGUCAUUGAAACGUCUCCCUCUCCUGAAUGCCAUUAUACUUUUGUUCACCGACAUGCGGGCCAUGCAGCACGCGGGCACAAAUGCCAUCCACCAAAUUAGAAGGCAGUAUGCAGGCCGAGAGUCACCCCGGUCGUAGCGGCAGUAACGAGCCAUCAUAUCACAAAACCCCACCUCCCCGCAGUCUAAGUUUGACGGACGAAGCAACCAUCAUUUCACUCUUCGCUGAAUCCUCUUCUUCCUCACCGUCUUCAAGAAAGGCAACACUCACAUCUGCUACUGUUCUUCUCUCCCAACGAAGGGAAGGUAAGCUGAUCCGUGAUGUUGGUAUAUUUUCGUUCAAAGAAAAAAAAAGAACUUUUGCAAAGCAGUAACCGAUCCUCACUCUCUUUUUUGUUUCAUUGUCAUUGCGAUUGUGUUUUCCUUUCUGUGGUCUCCUAGUAUUCGUCAGUUUCAUGAUGGACCAAGGAGAACCAGGCAAAGAUCUGCCGAUAUUGGAGCAGACGCGGGAGGCUGAUCCCCACGAGACAGAGAACUUCAAGAAGAUGGAGGCAGCCACCGAGCCGACCCCAGAUACGCUCACGGCCACUACUGAGAUGGUCAAUGCCCCGUUUGAGGUUACAACCCUCGUUGCAUUGCAGGAGCAGUUUUCCCCCUUCGAGGAUGUGUCCCCCCCUCACCCCCCCGCUGAGCUGCCCAAGGUGAUUUUCUUCUUUGCCGAUCUCGAUUGUGGUUUUUCAUCUAAGUAUGUGGUGAUGAAUAAUGCAAAAUUUUAUUAGCUUCGAUGCCAUGCUAUACAUAGUGGUUUAAAUAACUUGUGCUUCUUAUACUGAAAAGUAAUUCAGAAUUUGUUUCUGUUUCAAUUAGAGCCCUGAUGCAGACAAGGAUUGUGUGGUUGUACAUGUCACUCGCUAUGAGGCAGAUGACCUGAAUAUACGCACUGGGAAAACAGAGUUCUUAGGCUGUUGGAUCCUGGAAGCAAUUUGCGGUUAUACCAAUGAAGAGUUGUAUUCCAGCCUCACUGUUGUCAGGCGUGUUGUCCAGGGUGUACUGAAGCACAAGAAGUUCAAAGCUACUCCUUCGUUUGUGAGGCAUAUUGUUCUUGUCAAGCUUACGCAGGAAGAUGACAUGGCAUGCCUCCACAAACAAGUUUAUCAGUGGCAAGGCCACAAGGUUGUCUUCAUGAAGGUUCACAGGAUUGAACUGCUGCGGGACGUCCUCGAUGAUGUUCAUGGGAAGGUCCGUCUUGUGUCCAGCCCAAAUUGGAUCGAGGCAUGGAAUAGUUGCCCCAGACAGUGUUUAAUAGUAGUUUGGAUUGUGUCUAAUUAUCCAAACCUUGCCUAUUAGCGACCCCUCUGGGGCUAGUACUCUGUUUGAAUCCGUCUAUGGGAACUGCUGCUACUUUUGUGUGCCCGUGAAUCAUGUGAGAACCAUCGUAAUUGUUGCUGAAACAGAUGCAUCCUCACUAGUUUUUUCAUGAAUAUGGCAUGGUAAGACAUAAGUUGUCACAGUUUAUCAUACGAGCAGUGUGUGUUUUGAUGCAAUAGAGCACUUGUUCGAGAACUGUGCACCGACGUAUACAUAAGUACUUGUAAACACUGUUGGUGCUACCUCGCUUGUAAGCAGUUGUGCAAAACACGGCACAUUGGCUCAGCUCGCUUCAACACUAGGUAUCGACUAGCUAACAAUCAACAAUCUACUGUCUGACAUAUAAGCAACUAUGUAUCUUGUUACAAUGGUUCAUGCAGUUAACUGAAGCCACAAUGUAAAUUCGAAACGUUCACACGCUAGUCCAGCGCUCAUGUGGAACACUCACAUUAAACUCGUCUUCAUAAAAAAACUUGAAAAGCAUAAGUUAAGCAAUUUUAUACAUCUCAAUGAUUCAUAGAACAUAACAAACAUAUACUACUUCAUAGCAAAAGACUAAGUUGUGAGAAGGUUUACAAAUUAGGAAAAAACAAGCAAGGCUUCUCUGAGCAAAGGGCCACCCGACAGGCUUAAAUUUCCUGGAGUUCACUUUGGUUUUUUCUUGUUGCCACCAUCCAGGGUUAGGUUCUCUCAUUCUAGAAUAACCAAUUAUAAUUGUGGUCUCAGCUGGAAUGAUGAACUGAACCAUGUAGUGUACUGACCAGGUGAAAUUCUUGUGCAUUCCACUAAAUUUAAGCACCGCUAUUUGCAGAAAUAAGCAGACCACAAUGCCUCUUGUCCGCGCACCUAUCCAAAAAACCGCCGUGCGGCCGUGCCAGCUAGUCCUCGACCCAUGGAUGAACUGGUAGAAAGUGCAUUCCGGACUAGGAUGCAGUUGUUUUCGCUCGUCCCUACACUGCAAUCAAGAAGUAAAACGUACGAAUCAACUUCAUUUAGAUUGCGUUGGUCAUUCUACCUAGUAACUACCAAUGUAAGAAUACCUGGAAGACGGGUGGUUAGACGACGGCAACGAGGGAUAGCCAUCUCAUUUUGCGCAGUUCUACUAAAACUGAGGUGUGUGCUUUUGAUUCCGCGGAUAGAAAUGAUACGGAGACAGACAUCCCGAAACGAUAUGGAGACAGACAUCCUUGUUUGCACAAAUUCGAAAUACGAUUAUUUAAACAAUGACAGAUAUUUGCAGUGGCGUAUGAUUAACAGCAACAUCUAUUGUGUUAUAAUUAGCACUAGAUUGACAAUAUGAAGUGUCCUUAAGUAAGUAGCAUCACAUCACAUCAACACUGCCACUAGAUUAACAUGCAGAACAAUAGCAUUACUAUUACUGUCAUGAGAGUAGCACAUGGUCAAUAAAUGUGAAAUCAAAUUUGUGCAGUUCCAUUGGGAUGAAGCAAUGUUAGCGGUGUGAGAUUUAAGUGUAACUGCAAAAACACAAUUCAUGGGAAAUAAAGCAAGACGGAAGCACUUCACAAAAUGGUGGUGGCAUUGCUUCAAUUUAUCGACGGCACUAGACCAUUACUUAUAGUGACAUUAGGUGGCAUUUCUUAAUGCUUCAUGUGAUUUUACAUUAACGGUAGCGAUAUGGGCGUAGGGAUAGCAGCGGCAUAAAGUGGUGAGGUAGAUGUGGCUGCCGAGAGCGGCAAAUACUUAGGCAGCAUGUCUGCAUUUGUCCCAUUUUUAUCUCCUCGGCGACAUUUUCCUAUGUGAGCACUCGAAAUCUAGACCUGCUCAUUCUCAUUUGUGUUGUCCCCUAACACCUGUCACUUUCUUUCCAUCUUCAAUCAAGAGAUAGGUCCACUCCCCCCACCCUUCGCCAUCCACCAUGCUUUCUUCGUCUUUUCAACCAAGAGACCGGUUGGGUAGCCAGUAUCUACUACUUUCCCCCGUUUCCUCUUAGAACCAAGUCCUAGAUUCAUGCUAUAGCUUUCCCACUUUCUUCCAUGUUUGAACCAACUCUUAGAGUCGAAUGUAUGAACUAGUUUUACCUCUAAUAAUAGUAAAAGUCUAGGUGGCUUUGGAACAACAGACGUAAGUAGAAAAAGAUCCACAUGAAGGGAGCUGGGGCAGUAGAGCAAGGCAGGUUUCGAAGGAAUAUAUACCUGAGGGUCAUCGGCAUGUGGCAAAGAUGGCGUCGGGAGGCCGCAUCUUGGCCACAAUACUGCAGGGAGGAACAAGGGGUCGGAGGCCCUCCCAAGCCGGCGCUCUCUCGGAGAGAACGACACAGCCGCCGAUCGGGACACGCGGGCAGCCGUUGGUCUCCACCCUCACCGCCGGCGACGGCGUGAACGAUGCACCUACACCCCUGCCCCGGUCGAGGUUGUCCGGCCGGAUUUGUGAACAGUCGUGAGCUGAGAGAGAGUGUGGCCACCUAUGUCUUGCUUAGAUCUGGGAGCAUGAGACAGUGAACGAGAGGAACCCUAGUAAAGCAAGCGCUAAGGCUCCUGCUUAUAUAUAUAGUGGAGUGAUUUUGUUGUACCAGCUUCAAAAAAUGCGCUCCUACGUGUACCCGCAAGUGGGCGUGAGAGAACUAGUGCGUGCGUCCACUGCUUCUCUUCGUGAGAGUACAAUAUGCUACGCCCAAAGAACGUUCACCGCAAGAGUAAUAGUAUAAGUGUGUGACGCAUUAGCUAAAAUAAAAUGUGCACGAUGUCUUUUGUUUUUUAGAAGUUCUAAGGGUAGGGUGUGAAGAGCACAUAUGUGCGUGACGUCUACCUGCAGAUAGACGGUGGGUGCGAGUCUGCGAGAGGAUUCGGGAGAGUCGUGACUCGUGAGGGUGCGUGUGCGUGAGAGAGAGGGGGGCACGUAUCAAUGCAAUGCAUGUGUUUGUAAAUCAUUAUCUGACAAACAUUGGCCACAAGCCUUUUCCUGACGAACGCCGUAAGAACAGUGUCAGUUUUGCCAUGUCAUUUAACAGAACAACCACUCCUCCUACACACAAAUCUUUCAUGUGACUGUUAGCAACUGCCGUAUGCUCCCUCCAUUCCAAAAUGCAGUGCAUAUAGCUUUAUUGAAAAUUCGAACCUCACAAACUUUUACCGAGUUUUUGUGUACCAAAUUGCACAUGUAGAAUACCCUGUAUAUAUCAUUUCAUUCAUCUUCGAGAGGUAACUAUAAAGAUGAGGGAGGAGUCUACAAAGAAAGACCAUCGUAUCACCCGCGGCAAUGAUAGAGGCAAAGGUGUCCCGUCUUUCGAUGAGAUGAUGGAUAUCGCUUUGGUGGAAGUCGACUUUGAUGAUCCGACUACGAACGUGCGAGGACGUCGCGCCUUAGCAAUCGCUAAACCAACUCCGAGAGGUUAUUGACCACGUCGGAGCACGAUCAACCUGACCACAAGGGUCUGUUUACUGUGAGCAAACGAAGAACAAGCAAGAAACUGAGAUUGCAAUCUGGAUAUUGCGAAUAUAAGAUGAAAGCUUUAUUGAUCAAGGUGGGGUUCUGUGACGUCUUUGUCUGGUCGUUGAACACAAACGAAGUACGCGAAGUUGCAGCUAUGGCGAACUUUAAUCUAAACAAAACCCAAAGUUGAAACGACGCUAACUCUUGUUUCCCCACACAUAUGAAGGAAGAGGGGGGGGGGGAAUUUCGUAGCCCUUGGAGGAGGGGUCCGAAACCAACCCUAACUCUUGUUUCCCCACACAUAUGGACUGUAAAAACAGCCUAUACUUAAGUAUUUCGAAAAUACAUGGGCCUGGCCCAAUAAUAAGGUGACGCAGCACAUAGAAUAGCCUCUAGAAGAAAUUUAUGAAGUGGCAUCUUGUAUAUUUCGUCCAAGGCUUCAUGCACUCCUUAUGGUGGCUUCAAAGUCCUGAAAUCAUCACUUGUAACUCCGUUCUUGAUCCCGUUGCGCAUGCCAUCAACUCCAUGCGUGUUCUUGCUCCAAUGUUCAUGCUUCUCCAAGCUAGGCCCUUCAUUUGUAAGCAAAACAAAUGUAUCCAAUUUAGGCAGCAUCAUAUUCUCAUGAACAUUAGAAUCAUUACCAAGAAACAAAAGUACCUGGUAAUUUAAUUGGCGUGCGCGAGCUCUAGUAAUUGGUCCAGUAUAUGUAACAGUAGGGGCUGUGGGUGUAACAAUGGUAUUGAUGUCCUCAUCAUCCUCCCCUUCUUGAAAUGAAGUCGUCCUCGACGGAAGCUCAUCUUCCUCACCCAAAUAAGGCUUCAAAUCUGCAAUGUUAAAAGUGGUACUAACCCCAAAGUCUGCAGGUAGCUCAAGUUUAUAUGCAUUAUCAUUUAUUUUCUCUAACACCUUAAAAGGACCAUCAGCACGUGGCAUUAACUUUGAUUUGCGCAAAUUAGGAAAUCUAUCCUUACGCAAAUGUAACCAAACAAGAUCUCCAGGUGCAAACACAACAUGUUUUUUACCCUUAUCUCCAACAAGUUUAUAUUUAGCAUUCAUACGCUCAAUGUUUUCCUUAGUUAACUCAUGCAUUUUUAAAAUCAAUUCAACACGUUCUUUAGCAUCAAAAUUAACCUUCUUCGAAGAUGGAAGAGGCAACAAAUCAAUAGGUGCACGAGGUAGGAAACUAUACACAAUUUCAAAAGGGCACAUCUUAGUAGUAGAAUGCAAUGAACGAUUAUAAGAAAAUUCAAUAUGAGGCAAGCAUUCUUCCCACAUUUUCUUAUUAUUCUUCAAAACAGCCCUAAGCAUAGUAGACAAUGUUCUAUUGACUAGUUCAGUUUGUCCAUCAGUUUGGGGGUGACAAGUAGUACUAAAAAGCAGUUUAGUCCCCAAUUUAGCCCAUAAACAUCUCCAAAAGGGGCUAAGAAAUUUAGUAUCACGAUAUGAAACAAUAGUAUUGGGCACACCAUGCAAGCGAAUAAUUUCACGAAAGAACAAAUCAGCAACAUUAACGACAUCAUCGCUUUUAUGACAUGGUAUAAAGUGUGCCAUUUUCGAGAAUCUAUCCACGACAACAAAUAUGCAAUCCCUCGCCUUCUUUGUUCAAGGUAAACCUAAAACAAAGUCCAUAGAUAUAUCCUCCCAAGGAACACUAGGUACAGGCAAAGGCAUAUAUAAACCAUGAGGAUUGAGUCGUGACUUAGCUUUUUGACAUGUAGUGCAGCAAGCAAUAAAACGCUCAACAUCCUGUCUCAUCGUUGGCCAAAAGAAAUGUGUAGCAAGUACGUCCUCCGUCUUCUUCACACCAAAGUGUCCCAUUAAUCCCCCUCCAUGCGCCUCCUGCAAAAACAAAAGACGAAUAGAGCUAGCUGGAAUGCAUUGCUUGUUAGCACGAAACACAAAUCCAUCAUUAACGAUGAACUUGUUCCAUGUUCUCCCUUCUUUGCAAUUCUGCAAUACAUCUUUAAAAUCAGCAUCAUACACAUAUUGAUAUUUGAUGGUCUCCAAACCAAAAAUUUUGAAGUCAAGUUGUGAAAGCAUAGUAUAGCGACGAGACAAUGCAUCAGCAAUAACAUUUUCUUUACCCUUCUUGUGUUUAAUAACAUAAGGGAAAGUCUCAAUGAAUUCAACCCAUUUAGCAUGUCUACGUUUCAGUUUAGCUUGACUUUUAAUAUGUUUCAAAGAUUCAUGAUCAGAAUCUAUAACAAAUUCUUUGGGCCAUAAAUAAUGUAGCCAUGUCUCUAAAGUCCGAACAAGAGCAUAUAAUUCUUUAUCAUAAGUAGAAUAAUUCAAACUAGGCCCACUCAAUUUUUCAGAAAAAUAUGCAACAGGUUUGCCAUCUUGUAAUAACACACCUCCUAAUCCAAUUCCACUAGCAUCACAUUCAAGCUCAAAAGUCUUAUUAAAAUCAGGAAGUUGGAGUAAAGGAGCAUGUGUCAACUUAUCUUUAAAUACCGUGAAGGCUUCUUCCUGUGCGGUACCCCAAACAAAAGGCACAUCCUUCUUUGUAAGCUCAUUGAGAGGUGCAGCAAUGGUGCUGAAAUCUCUCACAAAACGCCUAUAUAAUCCAGCAAGGCCAAGAAAACUCCUCACUUGUGUAACCGUUUUGGGUUGCGGCCAACUCUCAAUAGCUUCAAUCUUGGCUUUAUCAACUUCAAUUCCCUGUGGAGUAACAACAUAGCCAAGAAAAGACACUCGGCCGGUGCAAAAGGUGCACUUCCCAAGGUUACCAAACAAAUGUGCAUCACGUAGAGCAAUAAAAACAGCACGUAAAUGUUCCAAAUGUUCCUCGAAAGUUCUGCUAUAAAUCAAUAUGUCAUCAAAGUAAACUACCACAAAUCGUCCAAUGAAAGCACGUAAAACUUCGUUCAUUAAUCUCAUGAAAGUACUAGGUGCAUUAGUUAACCCAAAAGGCAUGACUAACCACUCAUAUAAUCCAAACUUAGUUUUAAAUGCUGUUUUCCAUUCAUCCCCCAAUUUCAUACGAAUUUGAUGGUAUCCACUACGCAAAUCAACUUUGGAGAAUAUUGUAGAGCCACUCAAUUCAUCAAGCAUAUAAUCUAGCCUAGGAAUAGGAUGACGAUAACGAAUAGUAAUAUUAUUAAUGCCUCUACAAUCAACACACAUACGCGACGUACCAUGCUUUUUAGGCACUAGUAUAAUAGGAACAGCACAAGGACUAAGAGAUUCGCGUAUAUAACCUUUGUCGAGCAGCUCCUGUACUUGACGCAUAAUCUCCUUCGUCUCCUCUGGAUUGGUACGGUAUGGUGCAUGGUUGGGUAGCGAUGCACCGGGAAUUAAGUUAAUUUGAUGCUCAAUCCCUCGAAUAUGUGGUAAUCCCGGUGGCACGUCUUGUGGAAAGACGUCAGCGAACUCCUGCGAAAUGUUAGUGACAGCAGGGGGCAAAGAGGAAGGCACGUCCUCAAAUGAAAAUAAUGCCUCUUUGCACACAAAAGCAUAGCAAACAGAUUUGCUAAAAUCUAGCUCAUCAAUAUCAGAUUUGGUGGCAAGUAAACAUGCACUUUUCAAUUUAAUUUCAGAAGCAACAGUAGAUGGUUUAUUAUUAGUCUGUAUUUGUUGCUCAAAUUAUUUUGCCACAAUCUGAUUUUCACUCUUAUUUUUCUCCUGUUUUGCUUUAUUAGCUCUAUUAAUAUCAUCUUUCAAAAUGGAAUGAGGAGUCAUAGGAAGCAAAGUAAUAUCUUUAUCCUUAUGAACAAGAGUAUACUGAUUGUUUCUACCAUGGUGUAUAGAAUUUUUAUCAAAUUGCCAUGGUCUACCAAGUAAUAAGGAACAUGCUUGCAUAGGUACCACAUCACAAUCAACAUAAUCAGCAUAUGUGGAGAUACUAAAAUGCACACGAACAGUAUGUGUUACCUUCACUUUGCCGUUGCUGUUGAACAAUUGGAUGUAGUAAGGAUGUGGAUGUGGUCUUGUGGUGAGAGAUAGCUUCUCCACCAUCUCCAUGCUAGCCAAGUUGUUGCAACUCCCUCCAUCUAUGAUCACACGAACAGAACGUUCCUUCACAACUCCCUUUGUAUGGAACAAAUUAUGCCUCUGAUUUUGCUCACCUUGUGUAACCUGCACACUCAAAACACGUUGAGCAACUAAACAUUCAUACCUGUCAGCAUCUUCAGGAGCCAUGUAUUGCGUCUCAUGAUCAGAAUCGUCUCCACAGAGUUCUUCACGUGUAAUAACAGCCAAAGUCUCCUCAUCAUAGUCACUAGCGGACUCAUACACACCGUCCUCAGUAGCAAUCAUCACACACUGAGAUUUGCAUUCUCUCACAAAAUGUCCUCUUCCCUUACAACGACGACAAAUAAUAUCACUAGUGUGCCCUGUUGAUGCCAUGGAAGAAGACGAACCCUGUGCAGGCCCGAUAGGUGUGCUCUUGGCAGAUAAUGGUGGUUGUGCCUGCUUCCUUAUAACACGGCUGGAGGUAACAGCUGAUGGAGGUGUCGGUGUAGUAGAAUGUGUGGAAAUAGAGGCUGCACGCGGUGUCCAUGAUGAAGGUCGACCUGCAGAAAAGUUAGUCCGCGCCAAUGCAUGUCAAUCCUAAACUUCACGUUCAGCUUUACAAGCAAGAUGGAAUAAACGAGUGAUAUUAUUAUAAUCCUAUACUCUAGAAUGGUCUGAAUCUCUCUAUUUAAUCCACCCAUAAAAUGUGCAAGCAUAGAUUCAUUCUCCUCAACAAUACCACAUCUAAUCAAGCUAGUUUGUAAUUCCUGAUAAUAUUCUUCUACAGAAUUUUUUCCUUGUCUUAAGCGCUGCAAUUUUUGAAGUAAUUCACGUUGAUAAUAUGGUGGAACCCAACGAGUACGCAUAGCAGUUUUCAAAGCAGCCCAAGUAGCUGGAACAGGAUAUAAUCAACAAUGUUCAGACCACCAAACACAUGCAAAGCUAGUGAAAGCACAAACAGCAGCAGGAACACGUCUCUCCUUAGGAUAUUGUAAACAUGUAAAUUGUUAUUAAGUUUCUAACUCCCAAGUAAGAUAUAUAUCAGGAAUAUAUCUACCCUCAGGGAGAUGGUCAUGAUCUCGUACCUGAGGGGAGCCCUAACAUUGCCAUUAUUUGCAUGUGGACGACCUGGUGGUUGUGGUGCUGGUUGUUGCACGUAGUUCUGAUUUUGAUCAACCUCAUCCUCGUAAUCUCCCGCAUAAUCAUCCUCCUCCCCAUCAGCAGCAGGAGCCACAGAAUUAUCAACAGCAGCACCAACGGUUUGGCCAGGCUGAAGAGGAACAUGGCUCGCUCGGCGGAGGGCUGUUUCACGAUGUGGAGGUUGUUGUUGUUGUUGUUGUUGUUGUUGUUGUUGUUGUUGUUGUUGUUGUUGUUGUUGUUGUUGUUGUUGUUGUUGUUGUUGUUGUUGUUGUUGUUGUUGUUGUUGUUGUUGUUGUUGUUGUUGUUGCAGAGGUGCGGCAGGUGCAACCGGUGGUGGAAGACGCGCAAGUAGUUCAUUAAAUCUGUUAUCGAGCUUUGUUUCGAACGUCUUCUCAAGGCCAGUGAUCUUCUCCAUGGCCUCUUCAAAAUUGUUCAGCACAUCUUGCACCUGUUCAGUCAUCAUUUGCUGAAACUUAUCAUGAAGCUCCUUGUUCGUUAAGUUGUUUCAGUCAAUCUCGUCGGCUUGUGAUCCUGGCAUGGUUAGCAGCAAUAGAAACACACAAGAAUAUGAUCCUACAGACUACUAACAAGUGGUGGUGGUUGUGGGCGUCACAAAUCCGUCAAGCAAAACUCUAAUUCUUACCAGUUCUUACCCAACAGCAGGCGUUGAUCGGCAACCGAUGUAGUCAAAACUCUCAAAGCUUGGAUAAAGCGAUCACCAGGGAGAGUCAAACACAUGACGUAGAUGUAUGUGGAGCUGGGAAGGCUUAUAAUAUGGUAGCAAAAAGGAUAAGCACUAAUCAAUUCAGAGAUGCAAAGUUGAAUAAACGCUCAACGACGGUACUGUGCUGGUCCUAGGCUAGACCGUGCUAGAGACGCGAGCCUAGAACACUAACAAAAUCACGGCGCUGCACGUAAAAAAGGGAGAAGCACACUCUGGAAUUUUUUUUCGCUCUUUUUUUUUGCGUUCUGUUUUUUUUUUGCGCGCCUCUUUUUUUUUGCGAAAAAUCACUAUAAUGGCGAGUGUCUCAAAACUCUUCCCAGGUCAAACUGACAGGAUGGGAACGAAAUUUUUUUGACAAUUUUUUUUGGAAAUCAGGGCAGCGACGACCAAAAAGUGCGACAAAAAAUCACUAUGAUGGCGAGUGUCUCAAAACACUCCCUGGGACCUAAAAAUAGGAUAGGGAAAAAAUAUUUCUGGUCGCCGAAAUUUUGGCCUAAAAACUGCCCGGGGGUCGCCGAAUUUUUUUCUUCCGAAACCUACUCAGGCAAGGAAACACGAAUCGGAAAGUAGAGGGAUCUCGGAAACAAACCUACUACGAAAAGAACUCGGAUUGGUGGUGGAUAUAUGGUGGUAGGAUAUGGCAGUGGUGGUGGUAUAUGAUAGCAGUGGUGGUAUAUAGAUAUGGCAGCGUUGGUGGGAUAUGGCAGCGGUGGUGGUAUAAGGCAGCGUUGGUGGGAUAUGGCAACAACGAUGAAGAUGGUGCGGCGGCGGCGUGACAAACUGUGACAGAACUCGAAACUCUAAAGGACUAGACGCUAAGACCAGCAACUAGACACGACGAUGCAACCGCAAAUUCAACAAAGCAAAACCCUAAAAAGAUUAUGCAAAAGCUCAAAUUGGUUCGGAUAUGAUGAGCUAACCCUAAUUUUUUUGUGGCUUUUUCAUGGACUAUAGGUAUGAAGAACAGACUCGAUCUAAACUACGAAAAACUGUAAAAUCUCACCGAGCAACCUGAAAAUCUGAUACCACUUGAUAGAGGCAAAGGUGUCCCGUCUUUCGAUGAGAUGAUGGAUAUCGCUUUGGUGGAAGUCGACUUUGACGACCCGACUACGAACGUGCGAGGACGUCGCGCCUUAGCAAUCGCUAAACCAACUCCGAGAGGUUAUUGACCACGCCGGAGCACGAUCAACCUGACCACGAGGGUCUAUUUCCCGCGAGCAAAUGAAGAACAAGCAAGAAACUGAGAUUGCAAUCUGGAUAUUGCGAAUAUAAGAUGAAAGCUUUGUUGAUCAAGGUGGGGUUCUGUGACGUCUUUGUCUGGUCGUUGAACACAAACGAAGUACGCGAAGUUGCAGCUAUGGCGAACUUUAAUCUAAACAAAACCCAAAGUCUAAACGACGCCCUAAGGGCUUUAUAUAUGGAGGAAGAGGGGGGGGAUUUCAUGGCCCUUGGAGGAGGGGUCCGAAACCAACCCUAACUCUUGUUUCCCCACACAUACGGCCUCUAAGAACAGCCUAUAAUUAAGUAUUUCGAAAAUACAUGGGCCUGGCCCAAUAAUAAGGUGACGUAGCACCUAGAAUAGCCUCUAGACGAAAUUUAUGAAGUGGCAUCUUGUAUAUUUCGUCCAAGGCUUCAUGCACUCCUUAUGGUGGCUUCAAAGUCCUGAAAUCAUCACUUGUAACUCCGUUCUUGAUCCCCUUGCGCAUGCCAUCAACUCCAUGCGUGUUCUUGCUCCAAUGUCCAUCCUUCUCCAAGCUAGGCCCUUCAUUUGUAAGCAAAACAAAUGUAUCCAAUUUAGGCAGCAUCAUAUUCCCAUGAACAUUAGAAUCAUUACCAAGAAACGAAAGUACCUGGUAAUUUAAUUGGCGUGCGCGAGCUCUAGUAAUUGGUCCAGUAUAUGUAACAGUAGGGGUUGUGGGUGUAACAAUGGUAUUAAUGUCCUCAUUAAGCAAUUUCAACCAUCCUAAAUAUUUGUUUUUCUAGAGAUUUCAACAAGUGACUACAUACGGAGCAAAAUGAGUGAAUCUACACUCUAAAAUAUGUCUAUAUACAUCCGUAUGUUGUGUUCAUUUGAAAUGCCUAGAAAGACGAAUAUUUGGGAACAGAGGGAGUAGUUUUGAGUAGAGUAGCAAAUUUCACGCGGCCCCGGGUAUCAAAAUGCAUGGCCCAUGCAUCAUUGCCUUUCGGUCGAACCUACGUCCACAAUUUUUUGUACGUACUAUAUCUCCACUGGUCCCCGAACCCAAAAUGCUGCCUCGUUCCCGUAAAACCAAGCGGCCCACACAUAUUUAAGGCGCCGACUCGAACCCGUUUACUACGACAUGGCCCCGCAUGCCGUAGUACUCCUACAAACCCUACCGCCGCACUCAUCAUUGGUUUUCUUCAAGAGGACGAGGGAGAAGCCAAUUUGUAGCGGAGGCGCUUUAAAAAAGGAUCGGUAGUGGAGACCCCUACCCUAGGGUGCCCUAGGUAGCUGUCGCACGCAUCAUCGUUUUCUCUUUUCUUUAUGCCCUUGUGCCCUAGAGUGAAAUGAUGGUUGCUUCAUACAUCCAGCUUAAUGCGGGAAAGGUGGGGCUUUGUUAUUUGACCCCUCAUCGCUCAUUUUCUACUACUGCGGCGCUAUGACUGGGGUGCCUCCAAUUCCAACCGCUACUCCGAACUGUAAUUUGGUGCAUCGCACGUGGAACAAGACAGUGGAUGAGCCACAUGUCGGCCAAAGGGGUCCUGUUAAGUGUGUCGCCAUUUCGUGUGCGGACUGACCCUACUUGAGUUGCUACGCCAACACGACACGAGCAGCCUACCACUUGGUUUUGCUCCUUGGUGAAUCCCGACUAUAUUGAUCUAAAAAGAUACGUGCUGAACUACCCUCUCCGUCUUGUUUUUUUAGGCGUCUCGGUUUAUAGGGCGUGCACGUAGUUCUAGGUCAUCCAUUUGACUAACUAAAUAUGAGUUACUAUGUCACAAAAAGUAUAUCAUUGUAUUCUUAAGCAUAUUUAGUUGUAUUUAAAAGUCGAGGGCGGGGCUUUUCCUGCGUGGUAGGCGGGGCAGUUCCGCCUAGUCGGUUCGAUAGAGACGCGAGAAGAUGAGGCAGUAGGCUGCUGCAAACGUAGGGCUGUGUGAUUUGACAGCGAGUUACUGCUGGACAGGUGGGGCCUCGUGAUUUGACUUGUCAUUAUCAUUUUAACUGCGGCGCUAUGACCGGCGUGAGUCUCCCGAUUCCUGACCACCUCCAUACAGGUGCCUCUCCCAAUGCUCCACCAUGUAGAGGCUGGCUCUUGCAUGAGAGCCCACUUCUCCACUUUUUCCUUGCCUCUCUUUCCUCCACAUAUAGCCCACUAUUGUACUACUUACUUGCUCCUACAGGUGCUAAGCUUGCCACAUAGGCAUAAAGUCUGAUGUGGCAAGUUAAUUAAGAAGAGAGAGACUAGUAUGGUGACCGAAGGAAGAAACGGUGCUAAGCGCGUGUACCUAGGUGAAAAGACAAUUUUGAGUCUAUAGCUAAUUAAAUGAAGCAAACUUAGCAACAAACAACUACUAAUAAGAACCUAUGCAUUGGGGACUUGAUUGCUAAGCCAUUUAAUGCCCUUAGCACCUCAUCUAAGCACCAUUUCAUUGGAAGAGAUCACUCCUUGGAAAAUGCAAUAAAUACUACUCCCUCUGUCCCAUAAUAUAAGAACGUUUUUGGCACUACACCAGUGUCAAAAAUGUUCUUAUAUUAUGGGACGGAGGGAGUACGAAUAAAGAGAUAGAGAGAAGUAAAAAUAUACACUUAUAUCCAACCUUAUGGCUAACCUUGUUGUAGUAUGAGUGACUAAGUGAUGACAUGCCAACAUCAGAUAGCCUAACGCACCGUGUUAAAUCUCCAAGGGCGCGACCGCGCGAGCAACGCGACGGUCGUGGUAGGCGCGACCAUGAUACGAGCUGCUGGCAGCCCUUGGAUCUGAGAUCGAACGGUCGCAUGCUAAGUUGUUGAAAAUUUGCAGAAUAACCCUCCAGGAUAGGAUAUUCACCCAUAGGUCUAGAAUCACGCCAUGCAACCGUUUGAUCUUAGAUCCAAGGGCUCUCGGAAGCCUGUAUCAUGGGAGAAUGGAAAGCCACUACCCUGCCGUUCGCACGCUGGUAGUUCGCUCCUACUCGUCCCCGCACGUCCUUUAAUAUUACGACGGUUCAUUCCUAGCCAUCCCGUCCUUUCACAUUACAGCAGUUCCACUAAUCCUAACCCUCCUCCGAAAUCCGUGGCGUCCCAAAUAUCCAUGAUCGGCGGUGAGCACAAGGUUAGAACCAUCACCGGCAAUGAGUUCGACAUCAUCUACACCCGUUCUUCUGCGACGGUGAAAGGAUGCCUUGCUCCCUUUAGAGGCAUGUUCGAAAACUCAGAUGAUGAGUGGGUCGCUGGGCUAGAUGUUGAGUACACCACAGUCCUCGGACGAGAGAAGAAUCUAAAGGAGGAAGAGAGGAAGAAGCCCACCGUGAUUCAGGUUUGUGUGCAUGACUUAUGCUUGGUGUACGGCAUAUGCCAUGCCAACGUAGAAUGCCUGGAUUUUAAGAACUUCCUCAAGAGCAACCUAGUGAAAUUCAUUACUAUAGACUUUACGAAUGACAAAAGAGUCCUGGGUUAGAUAGGCCUCGUUGUAGGCAACCCCUUUGACCUCCAAAAGAAUCGGCUGCUGCCCUUCAGUGGUCAUCCUUCAAUGCUGACCCCGGCAGGAGCCAUGGUUCAUCCUUCGUACGGUAAACUGGAGAAACCUCAUUACACGUUUCAUCGUCAUGCAUGCAGUGGAAUGUACUAGAUAUAGACCACAUCCACUAUGCCGCAAUGGAUGGCUACCUUUGUUUCAAUAUCUACAAGGGUUGGAUGAAGAGCAAGAGCCAAGUGUGCGGUUCAAGCAAAGAAGUAUCGGCCAAGAGGAAGAGGGACAAGGACGAAGUCGAGGACGUGGACGAGGACUCGAGUGAGUAAGUUGGCAGUGUCGUUGCUCACAGUGGUUCUAAUGCAGUGUCUACCGGAUUAGUUGCAGUGUUUAAUUUCAGGUGUGCUCAGUUUAAUUUGAGGGGUGUGUUGUGCUGAGCCCCCAGCAGAACUAUGUUAUGUUUCUUCUCGUUACUUUAACUCUUCAAUAUGUACAUACUAGUAUUUCUUACAUCUCAUUUAGCACCCCAUUUAAGCACGUACUAGCUUUUUUAAUAGUACUAUAUGCAUAAUUUGGCGACGAGCGCUCUCUAUAUGUACCUCCUUUUUUUUAGUUUCAAGUUUUGCUCCAUGGCGCAAUCCAUCGAUACUACUACUGUACAAAAGUAUACAUUUUUAAAAGGCUAGAGUACUGUUCAUCACAUAUAUAGCCAGUUAAAUUCUCAACCUAGAACGACGUGCAUGCCAUGUAAACCGAUACGGAGGAAGUAUAGUAAAAGUGAGGUGAUUUUACCGAGCGAUCGGCGGGGGAGCAUGGCCUGUCAUGCGGUCCCAUGUGUCAUGAUGUACUAAAGCGAUGCGUGUGUCCCUCUUGAGGCAGAAGCAAUACUACGUGGUUUGAGAUGAUGGCGAACCAAAGUGUGAAAUAAUGGUUGCUUCGUCCAUCUGGGAAGGUGCGACAUUGUGAUUUGACGUCUCAUUGCUCAUUACUACUACUGGGCCAGUACAACUGGGUGCGUCCCCCCUGCUAUUCUGCUCUGUUAUUUGGUGCUUGACACGUCGACCCGGUUGCUAUAUGUCCCACAUGUCGGCAACAGGAAGUACAUAAUUCAUGAAAGGGAGCAUCGACGAAGGAGUAUACUACAAGACAAGGCUUGGGUUUUUGCUGCUUCGCGCGAUCCAUCGAUACAAACCCGGACUAAAAAAAGGCGAGGGCGGGUCUUUUCCCGCACGGCAGGUAGGGGAGUUUGGCAUAGUCUGUUCGAGGCAAGGAGGUAGGAAGGGAAACAAGCAAAUAAUGGUUGAGCGACUUAGUUUUGGAAAAAUCUGAUUUUACGGAGUACAUACCCACUAGGGUUUAUAGGGCUCAUCUAAAAAACAUUCAUUUUUUCGUUUGAUAAGUCUCAAUUCUACUACUAGUAGUAGUACCAUCACAUGUUGGAUUUCAAGGUGCGUUAGAUCACCCGAUGCAAGCAGUGUCAAGAGAAAACUCACAAUGCAUGUAGAAGUUCAUGGAAAUUUAGUGGUCAUUCAUGCAUUCGUUCUAAUUAAUGCCUCGGUAAACAUAACUUCUUGAGAAAAACGAGCGUACUAAUUACUUGUGCAAACUACGAAAUUAAUUCGACCACUCACCGUCUACCUUGGUUGGAGAGAUUUUGAAAUUGAGCCAUAAACUGGAAAGGAGGGAGUAGUAACUUUUGUCUCGAUUACUAUUUGUGGCCUUGUAUAGAUGCAAAAUGUAUUUUUUUUAUAAAGGCCUUGUACAAGUAAAUGGAGGGAGUACUAAAGGACAUAUAUAUUCCAAACAAUAUGAUAAUCUCUCUAACCAAGGUAGUAGGGACGAGGAGUAAACGGAGGGAGUAGUAAAAUUUUCUCCUCGUCCUGCAAGCCACCGCGCGCGUGGGCGAGGGAGCGGGCGUAAGGCGUACAAUACUAAGCAAGCUUCACCUCAUCCUGCGAGCCACCGUGCCCGUGGGCGGGGGAGACGGCGUACUAUGCAAGCUUCUCCUCGUUCUGCGAGUUGACGGGACACAUCAAAAGUACUCCAAUGUAUAGAGCCUUGCCUCUAAGGUAGGCCCCACAUGGUUUGCCUCUUUUUUAACAUAACACGUCAAGUCGCAAUUUGUUUGUUCACCCGUGGUAGACGAUCCUCCCUCCACCGAGUGGACAACUAGUACACGUGUCAAAUUACCAUGUGGGUUGCCUUUUCAUACAGAAAUGAGCUCCACCGUAUACCCGCGCGGGUGUGGUUGGGAAAGAGACGGGAGUACGUGCACCUUGCGUGCACCUCUUCUCUUCGUGCACGUCCCCCACCUACGUGGGUGUGUGAGAGAGAGAUACAAACCUAGACAUAAUACGUCAUCCAUCCCCAUGCCUCCGCCUAGUCCGACCACCAGUCACCACCACGCCCCACUCCUCCUCACCUUAUCUCUCAUCUUUCUCCCUCCAUUUUUAUAUACAAGGGGCCACUAUCAAAAUUACAAUUUGCAGAUAUACAAGGCCACUAACACUAAUCGAUGCAAUAUUAAUGGCAUUUGCCUCUUAGUACUAGCAAAGGAGGACAUUAAUUAUCCCUUGCAUGCAUGCAGGAGUGUGAGCCUUGGCUUGAUGUGCAUGAAAGAGAAGAAUACACGGAAAACAAGGAAACAAGGUGGCUUGCAACAUUGACAAAGAAGACAUUAAUUUUUGCCUUGGUACCUGUAAUAUGGGUUUGUGGCCUUAUAUACAAAAAUGGAGUCCGAUAAAAUUCUCGAGAUACCAUUUAUCCGAUAAAAUUCUCGAGAUAUCAUUAGUUUUUACAAAAUGGGAUUACUCCUGCAUGGGUCAAUCACAACAGGUGUUUUGUAAAAAAAAUGCAUCUUGAUGUUCCGUGCAAUGCAGGGGCAUCUUGCUAGUCCAUGAAAACAACACAUGGCAAAAUUCCACGGCGAACGAGGGAUUUGAAUCUGUUGGGAGGGGCUGUUUGGAUCUUGCCCGGGGUAGCCAAAAUAUUGGCGACCCUUUUGUCCACCGGUUCCUUUGCCACCGAUGAACGAGGAAUGGCUCGGGUGCUCAUGCAUCCUCCAAUGCGCACGUUGGAGACGAGCUCGCACGAGUUGUGUUUUUUUGUCCCACCACACCGCCCGAGCCGCCCGCAGACCGACCGGCAACCCGCAAGUUACGCCAUCCAAUCGUAGCCGCACACAUUAUGACAGCAACUCAACCAAUCGGAUGAAAUUCACGCAAACACAUAGAAAACUGAUAUUUCAUAUAAACAACGACGAAAAUCAUAUAAAAUACCGGAUUUUCAUACAAACAUGACGGAUUUCAUUACAUUCAAAUGAAUUACGCGGUGCUAGUUCUGGACAGCACAUGUAUAUAAUACCUGGCCUAAAUGUUCUCCUGCUGAUCGAUUUGUAUUCCUCAUGUCCGGCAGCAUGAUCACCGGACUGCCAGGAGCCCCGGAGGUAUAUGCUUCAGCGCAAAGGACGCCUCACUUCCCCACUGCCCAACUGAUAUCAUUGGCUGAUGCCGAAGAUGAUGGUGGCUGGCACCGGUUCGAAUUCAUCACUGGCCACUACUUCACCAUGGCCGGCACCGGCUCGAGUUCAUACUAACAUUCCCCUCUUCCGUGGAGCCCAUGCAGGGUCGACGAAGAUCCUCGCAACAAAAGGAUCCGGCAAGACACCUGCUGUGUACGCCGGCAUCGCCUCCGCGGUGGCCUUCAUGGGACCCUAGCGACAGCGGCCUCCCGUGUUCUACUUCUCCUCGAUGAUGGUGGCGGACGCGGAGGCGCUGGCCACCGACUCGUUGCUCUCCAUGCACCCGGCUUCUGUCGCUGCUUGCAUGGCGCGGCCUCUGGCAUGGGAGUCUCCACCACAGAAACGGGACACGCGGUACGAGGUGGCGACGUGGACAGCAGCAACGACGCCCGUGCGCCGCUCCUCGUCGAGCUGGCCUGAAGCGGCGAGUUGCUGAACCGCGCGCCGGCUUGGGGCGGCGACUGGCUCCAUUGGGCGAGGGGAGGGAGGUGGAUCAGCGAGCUGCAUAGCUCAUAUCUGAUGGGCUACCUAGGCGGCUUGGAUGCGGAAUAACUACUCCUUGUAAGCCAUUGUAAGACUGGACAACAUGGUGAAGGAGGAGACAGGGGAGCAGUGGAGGUGUGCGAUUCUUGGCUGGCGUUUGGCCUCGUUUAAAUAGGAGAUUAAAUAGAUGGCGGAUGGGAGGAUCUCGGCCGGUGUUGCGUUUAAUGUCGGCCCGGUCUUGAACGGACGUGUGUCCAGAGUGGGUUUCUCGGCUUCCACACGGGCGGGUUUCAUGGAGGCGUUUGAAUGCGGCAAGGAGGCGUGUUCAGCUGGGCGUGCAGUGAGUGGCGCCCUCGACACUGACGUAGGACACCGCGCCAUUCUUCCACUAACGUGUGGGCUCUUUGGGUACAUGGCCUGCAUGUCAGUGACCCAACACAGGCAGCGCACAGCAGAGGAACCUUUGGUGGGCCAGGGCGGUCAGAAGCGGGCAUUUCAUAAACCGAUGAUUGUUCAUUGAGUGUGACGUCACUUUUUCAUGUAGAUAAGCCUACUAUGUUGAUAGCCCGUUCGAUACGUUGUGAUUCAUAAAGACCGCUGCAAACAUCAAUGUUGUACUUAUCACACAUAAGAUUGAUUAAUACCCGUAACAAUCCAUGUCCUUAACAAAAGGGUGCAUGCACGUAUAGGUUGAGCGUGUGUCUUGCGUCAUGUGCUGUGUGCAUGCAGGCGUGCGAGUGUUGCGUGCGUCCAAGGGUACGUUUUAGUGUUGCAUGCAUGGGUGCGUACGUGCGUGUGUUCGUGAGUGCAUGUGUACGUGUCAGUGUUGCACGCCUGCAUGCGUGCGUGUGUUCGUUAUGUGUACGUGUCAGUGUUGCACGCCUGCACGCACGCGUGUCUUGCAUGCGUGCAUGUGUACGUGCGGGGUAAGGCUACACGUCACUUGACUGACUUUUUCAUCUCUGGUCAUUAGAUUUUCCAGUCGUUGGAUACGAAAUCAAGGGCCUCCAGUUUAUCAUCAAACUCCACCCCCCUGAGCUGCCAGCCACCACCGGCCGAACCGCCGGCCCCCACCGCCCGCGCCCGGCCCGCGCCGCCACGCUGCCCUGCCCACGACCGACNNNNNNNNNNNNNNNNNNNNNNNNNNNNNNNNNNNNNNNNNNNNNNNNNNNNNNNNNNNNNNNNNNNNNNNNNNNNNNNNNNNNNNNNNNNNNNNNNNNNNNNNNNNNNNNNNNNNNNNNNNNNNNNNNNNNNNNNNNNNNNNNNNNNNNNNNNNNNNNNNNNNNNNNNNNNNNNNNNNNNNNNNNNNNNNNNNNNNNNNNNNNNNNNNNNNNNNNNNNNNNNNNNNNNNNNNNNNNNNNNNNNNNNNNNNNNNNNNNNNNNNNNNNNNNNNNNNNNNNNNNNNNNNNNNNNNNNNNNNNNNNNNNNCCGAGCUUUUUCUCCGGCGAUCCCCACCCCACCGCCCAAUCAACGCCCUCCCCCACCGCCGGUGACUACCAACCAGAGGUCUCACAACUUUGAAUACCCACCGACCACUAAUUUAUUACCAUUUCUGUCCUUCAUAUACGCGCUGACAGGUGGGACCUAUGGUAAUGUGCGCUACUGAAUGUGGACCGUUUGACUGGUCAAUUGAUCGUGUUAUGAACAAAUUACGGAGCUGUAUGAUGAGCCAGUGACCUAUAUCACCCUAAAAUGUACUCCUAUUUUAUUAACACAGUACAGACUCAAACUACCAUUUCUUUCUUUCAUAUACGGGCUGACAGGUGGGCCCCAUGGUUACGCGCCCCGAUGGUGCAACACUAGUUGCACCACGUGGAACGUUUGACUGGUCAAUUGAUUGUGUCAUCAACAAAAUACGGAGUUGUGCGGGUGAGCCAGUCACCAUAUAAUCAUGACAUGUAUUUGUUUAACAUGGUACGGACGCAAGGGCUCAUAUAUACACGCAAGCACUCAUCGCUAUAAGCGCACACACGCGGACCCUACCCCUAUGAGCACCUUCGAGAGAGUGGGCCAGCAUAUGAUCUUGAGAUUUUACGAAGUCACCAUAGGUGCCUCGUAGUCGAGUGGAAUGUCUCCUCCCACUGAACGCACAUCGCCGGAAAAUGCUAAAAUUAACACAAGAUAAAUGCGAGCACCGGGACUUUAACCUUGGUGGUCUCAAGAAACCACUGUCCUCCUAACCAUCCAACCACAUGUUGGUUAGCACGACAAAAUGUAUGUGGUGACCAUGAUGAGCUUAUUCUGAAGUCUAGUGACCAUAUCGUGCUUUUGCUUCAAAUACAAUGACCGUAAGUGUGGUCAACAAAAUACGGAGCACGCAUCAAAUGCAAAGUCCGUCAGUGUCAUCAACAAAAUAUGGAGACGUAUCGUGAGCUAGAUACCAUAUGAUCACCACGAGAAUGUAUACGGUGACCGUAAUGAGCAUAUUCUGAAGUCUAGUGACCGUAUAGUGCUUUAGCUUGAAAUACAUUGACCGUCACACGUGAAUGUGUCGUGGGUAUGCAUACUUUUAGAGGGCCGAGAGAUAGUUUGUGUGCGUACGUGAAAGUGGUGUAGAAAGAGGGGGUGUCCGGUGGAGACAAGGAGAGAUAUGCCCUUCGUUUCUCUUUCCUGUCACUAAUAUUUUAGGAGAAUAUAUAAACAUUCACAAUGUAGAAUAAAUAUUUUUGGAUGCACCAUGCAAUUAACUUUCAUGUAUAACAUUGUACUAUUGUAUAUGCUGAUUUUCUUAGUGGCCGAUUGCGUGUGUGGUGUGGUGGGCACAUCAUUUCUAGUUGUGGUGGGUCAACAUGAAGACUUAUGGGCAAACACGAUUAUAUCCAUAGCUUGGGGCACUCGAGAUCAAACUCUCAAAAAUUGCUAGAUGCACCCUAGUGAACAGUGGAUUUACCUGCUAACACGUGGGUCUAGGGCCCACUGGCGGCCUCCUUCUUGUACCUCCGGCUAGCUGCUUCUCCUGUGCUGUUGCUUCUUGUGCGGCUUGGCGCAGCCGCAUCUACUCCUAGGGCGAUGAGGACCCUAGUGCUGUAGUGCGCGGCGUGCAUGGCGCCGGUACAGCGAGCACUCACAUCGCGGGCCAGCACCUUGUCGGCACUGCUCGCGGAUUCGUCUCCUGGACGCCGGUGAUCGGGCGACGAGCGGUUCUCCUGGACCUCACUCACCGUACACCGGGGUUGGGCUAUAAAAACGGCAGCGCGGCAUUCCUCCAACACACCAACACAAUGCCGCUCUACUACCUCUUCGGUUUGGGCGAGAUCGAGCCGAGCUCCUUCGGCGAGGAGGUGUUCUUGGUGGCGCUACGGUUGUUCCUAGAUGCUCUACUGGGCACGCUAGUUGGCUCGUUGUUCCUUCAUGUGAUACUCAUGAGGAACGAGCGGGCUCGAGGCAACGCUCGGCUGGGUGUGCUGGCUCGAGGUGUGGAAGAAGAUGGUGCACGGGGUGGUCCUCCGCCACGCUUGAUUCUCCGUCGCUUUGCGCCGGUGGAGUAAUCUCGUGCUGCGGUGGAGCGGUGAUGGCGACUCGGCUGUGCCACACUAGGCAAUGACGGUGGUGGUGAAGGGAUUCAGAUGCGGGUGAGGUGGCUACGCCAGCUCAGGAAUCAAACUAGGGCGCGGGAAAAAUUUCACGGAUAGGUCCAUGAAAUGUAGGUGUCGAGGUAGAAUCGGAGUUGAAAUCUGUAUCAGGGAGUUGUACUGGAUCGAGUGAUAUAAACUGGCAAUGUUUCUCUGAAAACGAAAUUGGAGCUAAUGAGAAAGAACUAGGGACGAGAAAUGGCUAGAUGGAAAUGCCUCUUCGAGGCUCUAGGUUUGGAAAAAUCUGGCACAUGGGGUGUGCACAGAUAGCGAGGGAUGUGCGACUUUGCUUUUCCCCGAGUACUACCCUAAAUGUACUCGUGGGUGAACUGGGUAUGCGUGCAGUAUGCAGUACAAACAAACUAACAAACAGACCGAUGCAACAAACAUGCAAUGAAAAACACAGCAGAAAAAUCAUACUAUGGUGUUUUAAUGCUAGUGGGUAUAUGUACUCCUGGCAUACAUAUACCUACACCAGCACGCAUUUUAUUGAAGACUCGGGAUGAGUCAAUGUUGUUUUUAGUGUAUGUGUCGUACUGAUUAAAAUCUUGUUAACAAACAUUGCCAACCCUGUCAAACAUUUCUGUUUGACAGAGAGAAGCAAAAACAAACACACAGACACAAGCAAGCAAGCAAAUAACACAGCAUAUGGGUUACAACAGUACCAGCAUACAUCAAAGCACAAAUGCACUACGCGCUAAUCGAAACUACCCGCUGCAGGAUACAUGGUUCUAUCCUCAUAUUGAGGAUGAACCAACAGACCGACCUACUUGCAGAAACCACUGACUGCGUGACUGAGGUCAUGCAGAAGACUGACCUUGCUGGGGCUCUCCAGGAGGACGAAGACUGAGCCAAUCUCCAUCUUCAUCGUCCGACAACACUAUGGGUUGGGGUUCGACUACUGGAGGUGUGGCUGAAAUCGUUCCAAGAAAAUGCUGCUGGUGGAUCCGUAAAAGAGCCUUGUCGAGGGUGAUGAUGUUUGGCUUGGGCCACAACACAGACUGUGAGGAUAGCACUGGUCCAGAUGGCAUUGGACAAAUGACUUGAGAUGUGAAUUUACGAGCCUCACAAUAAGCUUCCUUGACGACUCAUACCACAUCGUUGUCCAUGGUUCUAAGCUCGCCAAGCAUCUUUGGAAUCAUCAUCCCCUAGGAAGUGAUGUAUUGCACCAGGCGAGCGAUUGCGGGGUCAUCUCCUUGGAUAGCGGGAGAAGGCUGCAUUCCUGCUUUUGCCACAAUGGGGAAAAAGCAGAACUCCCGCCUUGUUGCUACAUGCGGGAAAUUGGUUCAGAGGUGUAGGAUAGCCUCCACAGCAGUGGCCUGAAUGGCUAAAUCAGAGGUAGGCAUGGCUCUACCCUGUAAAACCAAAGGCUGGCCAUCUACUGCAAGACCUAGGCUGAUGUGCACUCUUGCAUCAAAGCGAUGAAGGUGAGGGACGGGUGACGAUUGGAACACCAGGUAAUCGGGGCUAGCCUUACAGCCAAAGGCUUUGGUGAGCAUCUCGGCAAGAAGGGGUGGAAAGCCAGUGUGGUUGGCGGCUUUGGUGCGGGUGUAAAACUUGGGAUCUCUGAAGGUGCGAGCCAUGGCUGGGGAGCUACUAGCUAAGCUUUUCUGCAGGGACAUGACGGACUGAGGAGUGAGCAAUACGGCUAGCGGAAAGGGGGUUUUAUAGGCAGCUACGCGGGACAGGCCUGCAUGGUGUGGCCCCUUUCCCUUAAUAGCAAAGGGUGUGACCGACCAGAAAGGAUAGGGUUACCACGUUCCACGGAUAACUAGGCGGGGACAACGGGGUGAGGACGUGUCGGUCCCAGCUGCGCCGCCUCUUGAUUAACAGUGGCCAUGCCGGAUGCCAGGGAUGGGUCAAAUCCCUUAGGGUCAUUACGGGUUGAUGGUAGCGGUAAUCUAAUGCUAGGAUAAUCUACGCCAGCCUGGCUGCUCUGAUACCAUCUCCUGUGGCACCCCGAUCCACAUGGAGCAGGGGGCCUUCGCACGUCAGCCCAGGAUUACGCCUGACGCACGACAGGUCCGUGAUACAACAUUCCAGGUACAAUAAUAUUCAUCAACUACAUGUGUAUAUGAUUACAUCAUUGAUGAAUACAAUUAUCUGGCAUAGCCCUAAGGUUAUACGGAUGGCAGCGGAAGUCUAUUUAAAUGGCGGCGGAAGUCUUUGGUUUGGCAGCGUCUCUCUCUAGCUGGACUCCAUAACUCACAGGACUGGCAAGAUUACGGCCUAGCACGACGGAACAAGCGAACAGUUCAGGCACGACCUACAAAACUGGCAUGACACGCCAGGUCAGUACAUUGAAUGUACUUGCAAGACAACCAAAUACAUAGCAUCCACACAAACAAAUGACAAAGCAAGAACCAAGCAUAUGCAACAGUCUACUUCAGCACACCUUCUAAGCAUGGAAUGAUAUUAAUCAGAAUCAUAAAUCAAUCUAAGCAUGAACAACAUCAUAACAUCUACUAGCAUGGCAUAUCAAAUUUACUUCUAACAUAACAACAGCAAAGCAUAGCAUAUCAAAACAUGGCAUAGCAUCAAGAAACUAUGCUGAAAAGAAACUACCAGUUACCUCUCAUGAAGACAUGUUGUAUCAACCUUAUACACAAUCACUUACUCUGCCACGGCUCCUCGGAGCACAAGCAUGACUUACGGAGACAUCGUCUCGGAGUCAUAUCAACGCAUCAUCGUGACUUCUCACGACUUUCCCAUAGUCCAAGUCACUAUAUUAUUUUAUCACACAAGUUAUUAGCAUAUUUAUCCUCCAUUUCGACCGAGACCCGAUAGUGUGACCUACUACGAACUUGUGCCCAUGACCGAGGACGCGGCUAUCGAUAGAUUGAAUACACUCUCCAGAGGUAGCGCACUUUACCCACACUACAGAAUACAUGGCCUCGUACUCCCAUUCGGGUGGACCAAAGCAUUCCGACGAAACCCUCCCUUUGUCAUGCAUUCUCCCCGGCCACGCCGACCAACUGCCCCUCAGGGCUAGGUCUUGGGUGGCCCGUGUCUACCAAAGACACCAACGGCCACCGUCGUGGCAAAACAGUCCCAAACAGGGACAAGGUACCAUAAAAACAAAAACGAGCACACAAGGCUAUGUCCGCCUACCUGAUCAGGGUAGCGCGUUGUCACGCCCAAUAUGCGAUACUAUCCUAAAGAGACUCGAAGGUCACACCAAGGAUAGAACCGCAUAUUGAUACGCUUUUGCAAAUCAACAUUACAUAAUAGAUGGGGAUACAUACAAAAGGCAUACAAUGCCACACGACUACAACAUCAUCUUACAUAAGAGCACCAUCCGACUAUGGAUGAAACACAAACAGAAGCUCAAACGACAUCCACCCUGCUAGCCCAGGCUUCCGACCUGGAACCUAUCCCCUGAUCAAAGAAGAAGCAGAAGACGAACUCCAAAACAAGCAAACAUCGCUCUCGCGUCAUGAUCAUCACAUAACUUGUACCUGCAACUGUUGUUGUAGUAAUCUGUGAGCCACGAGGACUCAGCAAUCCCAUUACCAUGGGUAUCAAGAAUAGCAAAGCUUAAAGGGAAAGGUAGGGGUAAAGUGGUGAGGUUGCAGCAGCGACUAAGCAUAUAUGGAGGCUACCAUACACAAAUGAGAGCGAGAAGAAGCAAACGGAACUGUCGUGAAGCUGGCAAUGAUCAAGAAGUGAUCCUGAACUCCUAUUUACGUCAAACAUAACCCAAAACCGUGUUCACUUCCCGGACUCCACCGAGAAAAGACCAUCACGGCUACACACGCGGUUGAUGCAUUUUAGUUAAGUCAAGUGUCAAGUUCUCUACAACCGGACAUUAACAAAUUCCCAUCUGCCACAUAACCGCGGGCACAGCUCUCGAAAGUUUAUACCCUGCAGGGGUGUCCCAACUUAGCCCAUCACAAGCUCUCGCAGUCAACGAAGGAUAUCCCUUCUCCCAGGAAGACCCGAUUAGUCUCGGAAUCCCGGUUUACAAGACAUUUCAACAAUGGUAAAACAAGACCAGCAAAACCGCCCGAUGUGCCGACAAAUCCCGAUAGGAGCUGCACAUAUCUCGUUCGCAGGGCACACCGGAUGAGCAAGACGUCGGGUUGGCAUAGACCCUGGUUGCCCAGGGGGCGCCGGACAUCGCUCGGACCAGCACUUGGAGAAGCACUGGCCCUGGGGGUUAAAAUAAAGAUGACCCUCGGGAUGUGCGACUCCCAAGGGAAAAAGGCUAGGUGAGGCAAAUGGUAAAACCAAGGUUGGGCCUUGCUGGAGGAGUUUUAUUCAAAGCGAACUAUCAAGGGGGUCCCAUAAAUCACCCAACCGCAUAAGGAACGCAAAAUCAAGGAACAUAACAUCGGUAAGACGGAAACUAGGGCGGCAAGAGUGGAACAAAACACCAGGCAUAAGGCCGAGCCUUCCACCCUUUACCAAGUAUAUAGAUGCAUUAAUUAAAUAAGAGAUAUUGUGAUAUCCCAACAUAAACAUAAUCCAACAUGGAGCAACUUCAUCUUCACCUGCAACUAGCAAUGCUAUAAGAGGAGCUGAGCAAAUACGGUAACAUAGCCAAACAAUGGUUUGCUAGGAAGGGUGAAAAAGGUUAGAGGCUGACAUGGCAAUUUGGGAGGCUUGAACAACAAGUGAUAGGUAACGCAGCAUAGCGAUAGAACGAAGCAACUAGCAUAGCAAUGAUAGUAAUGAGAUCCAAGGUGAUGGUUAUCUUGCCUGAAAUCCCACAAGGAAGAAGAACGAGUCCAUGAAGAAGGCGAAUGGAUGAAGCCGAACAAAGCGUAGACGAACGAAUCCUCACGAUCCCAAUGAAACAGGAACUAUCAAGAAGAAGUACACAACAUGGUAAACACACCACACAUAUACAUGACAUGAUGCUCAACCAAGUAUGAUGCAAGACAAGACUACAUGAAGCUAUUCAUGGCAAGAGAUGAUGCAUAGAAGAACAACACAUCAAAGCAAGUUUAAAUGAGGACAAAAACAACAAAUUACAAGUCCGGUAAGUCCUCAUAUGCAAAUUUAGGAAUUGGUCCAGAACUGAAUAAUCUUAUGUUCAAGUUGUUAAACAACAAUUUAAGAUGCACCAAGAUGAUCUACACGAGAUUCUAGUCAAGUUACAUAUAAAGUUCAUUAGAUUUGGAGCUACGACCUAGAAGAUACGAGCAAAGCAAGUUAAACAUGGCAUUGAUGCAAAAUGCAUCCAAACAUCAAGAAAACACCUCAAAACAAGAAUGCAACAUGAUAAUAUGAAUCUACAUGCAAAACUAAGCAAGUUUCAUAUAUAUCAUACCCAAAACGGAGCAACGGUGCAACACAUACACUCCAAACAAGAUAUAACAACAAUCUGUCCAAAACAGCAACUAGGCAUCUUACAAGCACCAAUACAAUAUGCUACAACACCUCAACUUGAAAACAGAAGGCAUGGACAUGAUUUACAGAUAAAGCAUAACAAAACAUAAGCACUGAGCUAUCUCCAGAAAACAAUAUAACAUGCUCAAAAGGACAUGGCAAGAUUGCAAAUAUUAACAGUUCACAAACUUAGCAGAAAUAACAUCAGGUUGCAAUGUUUAGAGCUACCAAACAACAUGCUACCGGAACUUAUCAUGGAAACCAAAGGCAUGGCAUGCUAGUACUAAAGACAAAGAACAAAACUCCCUUACUGAACUUAUUCGAAAGAUCAACAAAAAAGAUGGUAGGAUCCAUGCAAACAUGGCAAAUGAUAUGACAGAUUCAGACAUGGCAGGAACAACGAUAAGUAGGCAUGUUGGUGAGCUUGUACAACUCACCACAGAGAAUUACAUGACAUGACAAGGUAACAAACAAUAAUAUGACAUAAUUAUGAAGCUAAACAUGUCAAUAUCAUGGUCAUAGGGUGCAUGGAUCACUAGCAAAGCACAUGGCAAAACUGAACUUAAUGAUAACAGGCUGACAGCAACAUUAUUUGGCAACUUUGGAGCAUGAUAUGAAAAAUCUACAGCAAGCUAUAAAUGCAACCAGGGGCAUGGAUCGGUAGAGCAUGACAUGUAUAACAAAACAUCCUUAGUGAACAUCUCCAUAUUAUGCAUAGAAUGACUUGUAGCAGCAGGUUUACAAAGCAUCAUGGUAUAACAGAUUCAGACUAGCAAAACAGUAACAAGUACCCUACUUCACGAGAUCGAUGCACUCACUACAAGACUCACAAAAUUACUCGGAUUACACCACAAUAAAUAUGGCAUGAUGUAGUUCAAAACACAUGUAGAGCCCAUGCUCAUAGGAUGCACACACAAAACGCAAUGAAAAAGACAAAUCACCAAGUUCUGCUAACAGACAACAGUUAACAUCAUAUAGCUCUCUUGCAACGAUGAUUAGGGCAUCAAGAUGAAAACAAACAAGCAUGGCACAAUGGAACAAAAUGAAGAGCAUCUCACAACGAACAUUUUAAUAUAUCAUGCACACACAACGGAGCAGUAUGCAAAAAGUUAUGGCAUCACCAACAUGCACACAUAUGAUGAGGAAUUUGGGACUUGGCAGUUUUCUGAAAAAAAACGGAUGAGCGCAGAAUACUAUUCAACGCACUGGGCGAGGGAUAGGACGGCGGGGGCGCGCUCACCUCGCGGGCUUCGGCCCAAGACGGGGAGCUGAGGCAGGCCGGCAAGAGCUGCGUGGGCCGGGGCCUGGGCCCUAAGGAGGUCGGUUCUGGGACACGGGAGGUCGUGGGGCCCACGGGGCGACGGCGCUAGGCAUGAGCGGGCGGCGUGGCUCGGCAGGCCAACGGCGAUGAGGGCCACUCCGGCGAGGGGAGGAGGUCCGGCGAGGCGCGAGAGGUAGCCGGAGGCGCGGAUCCGGUCGGCCCCGACCCGACCCGGCCAGAUCCGGCGGCGGUUGGUGGCGAGCUCGGAGGGGACGGGCUGGUCCGGCGGCGGGGCUCGAUGGCCGGCGGCGGGAGGCACGAUGAGACGGCGAUGCCGGCNNNNNNNNNNNNNNNNNNNNNNNNNNNNNNNNNNNNNNNNNNNNNNNNNNNNNNNNNNNNNNNNNNNNNNNNNNNNNNNNNNNNNNNNNNNNNNNNNNNNNNNNNNNNNNNNNNNNNNNNNNNNNNNNNNNNNNNNNNNNNNNNNNNNNNNNNNNNNNNNNNNNNNNNNNNNNNNNNNNNNNNNNNNNNNNNNNNNNNNNNNNNNNNNNNNNNNNNNNNNNNNNNNNNNNNNNNNNNNNNNNNNNNNNNNNNNNNNNNNNNNNNNNNNNNNNNNNNNNNNNGCGAGCUCCGGCGGAGCACCGGCAAGGCGGGCGUGGGCAGCGGCGGAUCCGGGCUCGCGCGGGCCCCGGAUGGGCUCCGCGGGCCGCGGCGCGGAGGGGAUCUGGCGGGGACGUGUGGCGCGCCUCGAUUGGCUGUGGGCGGCGGCACGGAGACAUGGCACGCCCCAUUGGUCCACGCGACGUGGAGGGGAGCGGCGUACAUGUUCGGCGCGGCGAGGAUGCGUCCGGCGGCGCGGAGGAGGUGGUAGACUAGGGUUUGGACUGUGAUUUUGAAGGGGGGGAGGUGUUUAUAUAGGUAGAGGGAGCUAGGAGAAUCCAAAAGAAGAGCGGUUUUCGCCCACACGAUCGUGAUCGAACAACCGAGAGCAUGGAGGGUGUUUGGAUGGGCUCAUGGGCUGUGGUGAAGAGGGGCUGGGCUACAAAGUGAAGGGGGGUUUUGGGCUACGCGGUUAAACGUUGGGGCAUCAAACGACCUCCAAAUGGAACAAAAUUUGACGGGCGGUCUACCGGUGAUAUACCAAGGCCACUCGGCAAACCUCGAUCCAUUCCAAGAUUGUUUUUCUCCAGCUCACGAAACAAGGUCUGAGAGGGGCGACGGGCGCGUGCGAGUGUGGUUGGGCUCAGAACGGACAGCGGAGAGAACCGGGGGAACCCGAACGGAUGCAAGUUUUGAAAAACAUGAGGAUGCAACGCAUAUGAUGACAUGGAAAAAUGCAACACGCAAGCAAAUGACAUGGCAACAAUGACGAAUAGCUGGAAGACACCUGGCGCAUCGGAUCCGGGGAGUUACACGCAUGCCCAUAACCUUCCCUCGCGGGAGGCACCGGUGAGAGCCACGACAAAGGACCGAAUCAAGACCUUCCCAUAAGGUAAAUGUGGUUGCACUAGAGAAAGCUCGACUUGGCUGGCACUAUGAUAUCCCAGUGAUGACGGAGGAGGUUUGUUAUUAAGUCAUAUUAUUAACUUCUCCAUCAUCAAUCAUCAUGCGAGCAUUAUUAACAUGAAUGCAACAACUAACAUGCAACAUACCGAUGCAGUAACAAAACGUGAUGCAUUUCAGAAAAACAAUAAUAGCAUGCGAAAACAUGGCAAUACCAAGUACUAGCAAACUUAACAGUGCAACAGAAUUAUCAUAACAUCGAUACUACUAACAUGAAACUAAACUAUACAGAGGCAUGAUAUUAUUAGUAACAACAUCAAACUAACAUGGCAACUUAUUUUAUAAAAACAUAAGCAUGCAAGACAGAUAAUAAAACAUAUAGCACGACUAAAAAACAACAGACAGAACAGACAAGAAACUACUGCAACUAAACACACACAUGAGGUGCAAGGAAAGUCAAUAUGCAAGUUCGGGGCUCAUGAUAAGAGGUUUGCUUGCCUGGGGUCGAGAAAUACUCUGGGAAAAGUGUGAAACGAUCGCGGAAACAGUUGCCGGAAACAAUUCUCUCUCGAAGGGGGAUGUUUACGGGCAAGGGCAAAGUGGUCAUUUUCAAUAUGUCAAACCAUAGUGAAAAUGAUGGGAAUGGAACGGGCUCGACGAGACAAAGACAUGGGCUUUCGAAUCACCUGAUUUGGAGCUACGAUUGAAAAGAUACGGUUGUUUAAAGCAUAGGGACUAGUCUGUAAAAAUAUUUCUACAAAUAGGUCCCUGGCGGUUUAAACAGAAAGCGUCUUUCUGAGAAUACGCUUUCAACACAGGAAAACGGCUUCACGGCGGGUGCCGCCACUUAUCCGACGUGGCGUGGUGGGGUCAACGCAGGGCAGCGGGGCCGGGCGCCUGGGUCGCUGCCAGGUGGGGUCAUGCGGGGAGGGGCCCGCCUGGCCUGCGUCUUCCACCUCCCGCUCGGGCGCGCGCCUGGAAGAGGGAGGCAUCCGCCCCGACGGCAAUUGCCGGAGACUCCGGCCAUCACAGACGACGGCCGACCUACCCACGAACUCAGGAGGAAACGGCGCAUCUCGGGGUGGUCUCUCUUGCCGACGAAGAGGACGGGGAUAGGCGCAGCAGGGCUCGCGACGGAGGGAGGCUUCGGGCGGCGACGGACCAGGUGCUCCGGUGGGGGAUAGGAAGGGUCGAGGCCACGGGGAGGCUCUACUGAAUCCGGGGAUUGCAUUGGUGGUGGAGGAAUGGCGAGGAGAGGCGCGGCAUCACCGGACUCGAGAAGAGCCCGAGGCGGCGGCCAUUGCGAUGGUGGGGAUCGGAGAGCGACUCCGGGGUCGAGUGGGUUGAUCGGGAAGGCUUGAGGACUGCGAGUGAGCUCGGGACAGGCUUAAAUAUACGCGGGAAAGCUCGAGGGAGGGGCGAGGUGACACGCGGCUGGGUUACGUGUCCGCACGCCGGCGACGUGCACACGCGGCCAAGGUUCACAGGGAGCGGCGGGAAGGCGACGAGGAGGACGCGGACGAGUGCUAGGAGGUGAUGUCUACUACACAACCUUCUUCUUGUAGACGUUGUUGGGCCUCCAAGUGCAGCUGUUUGUAGGACAGUAGCAAAUUUCCAUCAAGUGGAUGACCUAAGGUUUAUCAAUCCGUGGGAGGCGUGGGAUGAAGAUGGUCUCUCCCAAACAACCCUGCAACUAAAUAACAAAGAGUCUCUUGUGUCUCCAACACACCCAAUACAAUGAUAAAUUGUAUACGUGCACUAGUUCAGCGAAAAGAUGGUCAUACAAGUGCAAUAUGGAUAGUAGAUAUGGGUAUUUGUAAUCUGAAAUUAUAAAAACAACAAGGUAACUAAUGAUAAAAGUGAGCGUAAACGGUAUCGCAAUGGUAGGAAACAAGGCAUAGGGUUCAUACUUUCACUAGUGCAAGUUCUCUCAACAAUAAUAACAUAGAUAGAUCAUAUAACAAUCCCUCAACAUGCAACAAAGAGUCACUCCAAAGCCACUAAUAGCGGAGAACAAACAAAGAGAUUAUGGUAGGGUACGAAACUACCUCAAAGCUAUCCUUUCUGUUCUAUCUAUUCAAGAGUCCGUAGUAAAGUAACAUGAAGCUAUUCUUUCCGUUCAAUCUAUCAUAGAGUUCGUACUAGAAUAACACCUUAAGACACAAAUCAACCAAAACCCUAAUGUCACCUAGAUACUCCAUUGUCACCUCAAGUAUCCGUGGGCAUGAUUAUACGAUAUGCAUCACACAAUCUCAGAUUCAUCUAUUAAACCAACACAAAGUACUUCAAAGAGUGCCCCAAAGUUUCUACCGGAGAGUCAAGACGAAAAUGUGUGCCAACCCCUAUGCAUAGGUUCAUGGGCGGAACCCGCAAGUUGAUCACCAAAACAUACAUCAAGUGGAUCACGUGAUAUCCCAUUGUCACCACAGAUAAGCACGGCAAGACAUACAUCAAGUGUUAUCAAAUCAUUAAGACUCAAUCCGACAAGAUAACUUCAAAGGGAAAACUCAAUUCAUUACAAGAGAGUAGAUGGGGAGAAACAUCAUAAGAUCCAACUAUAAUAGCAAAGCUCGCGAUACAUCAAGAUCAUGCCAUAGAGAGAACACGAGAGAGAGAGAGAGAUCAAACACAUAGCUACUGGUACAUACAUCCCUCCUCGUCAUGGAGAGCGCUGGGAUGAUGAAGAUGGCCACCGGUGAGGGAUCCCCCCUCCGGCAGGGUGCCGGAACGGGCUCCCGAGAGGUUUUUGGUGGCUACAGAGGCUUGCGGCGGCGGAACUCCCGAUAUAUCUUCGUCUUCGAUGGUUUUAGGGUAUAUGGGAAUAUAUAGGCGAAAGAAGUCAGUCGGGGGAGCCACGAGGGGCCCACAAGAGAGGGGGUGCGCCCAGGGGGUGGGCGCGCCCUCCUAUCUCCUUGCCUCCUCGAAGCUUCCCCGACUUGUACUCCAAGUCUCCUGGAUCAUGUUCAUUCCAAAAAUCAUGCUCCCAGAGGUUUCAUUCCGUUUGGACUCCGUUUGAUAUUCCUUUUCUUCGAAAUACUGAAACAGGCAAUAAAACAGCAAUAUGGGCUGGGCCUCCGGUUAGUAGGUUAGUCCCAAAAGUAAUAUAGAAGUGUAUAAUAAAGCCCAUAAACAUCCAAAAGGGGUAAUAUAAUAGCAUGGAACAAUAAAAAAUUAUAGAUAUGUUGGAGACGUAUCAAGCAUCCCCAAGCUUAAUUCCUGCUCGUCCUCGAGUAGGUAAAUGAUAAAAAUAGAAUUUUUGAUGUGGAAUGCUACCUAGCAUAAUUCUCAAUGUAAUUUUCUUUAUUGUGGCAUGAAUGUUCAGAUCCAAAUGAUUCAAAAUAAAAGUUCAUAUUGAUAAAAGAAAUAGUAACACUUCAAGCAUACUAAUCAAAGCAAUCAUGUCUUCUCAAAAUAACAUGUCUAAAGAAAGUUCACCCCUACAAAGUCAUAUAGUUAGGCUAUGCUUCAUUUUCGUCACACAAAGAUGUUCCCAAAUUCUACACCCCCUAUGACAAGCCAAGCAAUUGUUUUGUACUUAAAUAAUCUCAAACCUUUUCAACCUUCACGCAAUACAUGAGCGUGAGCCAUGGAUAUAGCACUAUGGGUGGAAUAGAAUAUGAUGAUGGGGAUUGUGUGGAGAAGACAAAAAAGGAGAAAGUCUCACAUUGACGAGGAUAAUCAACGGGCUAUGGAGAUGCCCAUCAAUUGAUGUCAACAUGAGGAGUAGGGAUUGCCAUGCAACGGAUGCACUAGAGCUAUAAAUGGAUGCUCAACAAAAGAAAACUAGUGGGUGUGCAUCCAACUUGCUUGCUCAGGACGACAUAGGGCAUUUGAGGAAGCCCAUCGUAGGAAUAUACAAGCCAAGUUCUAUAAUGAAAAAUUCCCACUUGUAUAUGAAAGUGACAACAUAUGAGAUUCACUAUAUGAAAAACAUGGUGCUACUUUGAAGCACAAUAUAUGAGACUCGCUAUAUGAAUAACAUGGUGCUACUUUGAAGCACAAGUGUGGAAAAAGAGAAAGUAACAUUGCCCCUUUUUAUUUAUUUUCUUAUUUUCUUAUUUUCUUUUCUUUUCUUUUCUUUUUUUUCUUUUCUUUUUUUUUUCUUUUUUCGGGCCUUUUUUUGCCUUUCUUUUUUUCUUUUUUCCUUUUUUUUCUUUGGGACAAUGCUCUAAUAAUGAUGAUCAUCACACUUUUAUUGAUUAUAACACAAGGAUUACAACUCGAAACUAGAACAAGAUAUGACUCUAUAUGAAUGCCUCCGACGGUGUACCGGGAUGGUGCAAUGAAUCAAGAGUGACAUGUAUGAAAAAUUAUGCAUGGUGGCUUUGCCACAAAUACGAUGUCAACUACAUGAUCAUGCAAUGGUAAUAUGACAAAAGUAAUGUAUCUCAUGAUGAUGAACGGAACGGUGGAAAGUUGCAUGGCAAUAUAUCUCGGAAUGGCUAUGGAAAUGCCAUAAUAGGUAGGUAUGGUGGCUGUUUUGAGGAAGAUAUAAGGAGGUUUAUGUGUGAUAGAGCGUAUCGUAUCACGGGGUUUGGAUGCACCGGCGAAGUUUGCACCAACUCUCAAGGUGAGAAAGGGAUGCACGGUACCGAAGAGGCUAGCAAUGUUGGAAAGGUAAAAGUGUGCAUAAUCCAUGGACUCAACAUUAGUCAAAACAACUCAUAUACUUAUUGCAAAAAUUUAGAAGUCAUCAAAAAUCAAGCACUACGCGCAUGCUCCUAGAGGGAUAGAUUGGUAGGAAAAGACCAUCGCUCUUCCCCGACCGCCACUCAUAAGGACGCACAAUCCAAGUACACUUCAUGUUUCAAAUUUGUUACACAACUUUAACCAUACAUGCAUGCUACGGGACUUGCUAACCUUAACACAAGCAUUCUUUAAAUUCAUAAUCACCCAACUAGCAUGACUUUAAUAUCACCACCUCCAUAUCUCAAAACAAUUAUCAAGUAUCAAAUUGAUCAUAGCAUCCAAUUCACUUCCUAUGAUAGUUUUUAUUAUACCCAACUUGGAUGCCUACCAUGCUAUUCUAGAAGACUCUCAAAAUAAUAUAAGUGAAGCAUGAGAGACUAGCAAUUUCUACAAAAUUAAGCCACUGUCAUGCUCUAAAAGAUAUAAGUGAAGCACUAGAGCAAAAACUAUCAAGCUCAAAAGAUAUAAGUGAAGCACAUAGAGUAUUCUAAUAAAUUCUAUCAAGUGGGCUUCUCCCAAAAAGGUGUGUACAGCAAGGAUGAUUGUGAAAAACUAAAAAGCAAAGACUAAUAUAAUACACGAUGCUCCAAGCAAAACACAUAUCAUGUGGCGAAUAAAAAUAUAGCUCCAAGUAAAGUUACCAAUGAACAAAGACGAAAGAGGGGAUGCCUUCCCAGGGCAUCCCCAAGCUUAGGCUUUUGGCUAUUCUUGAAUAUAUUGGGGUGCCAUGGGCAUACCCAAGCUUAGGCUUUUGCCACUCCUUAUUCCAUAGUCCAUCAAAUCUUUACCCAAAACUUGAAAACUUCACAUCACAAAACUCAACAUGGAAUCUCAUAAGCUCCGUUAGUGAAAGAAAACAAAACCACCACAUAAGGUACUGUAAUGAACUCAUUCUUUAUUUAUAUUGGUGUUAAACCUACUGUAUUCCAAGUUCUCUAUGGUUCAUACCGCUUAAUACUAGCCAUAGAUGCUUCAAAAUAAGCAAACAACACACGAAAAACAGAAUCUGUCAAAAACAGAACAGUCUGUAGUAAUAUGUAUCAAACGUAUACUUCUGGAACUCCAACAACCCUACCAAAUUAGGAAGUCCUAAGAAAUUUGUGUACCAAUCCAGAGAAAAACGAAUCAGAUCAGAAGCAAGUUUAUGUGAAUUAACAAAACUAAUUUACUGGGUGCAAAAGUUUCUGAUUUUCAGCAGGAUCAACACAACUAUCACCGUAAGCUAUCCUAAAGGUCUUACUUGGCACUUUAUAGAAACAAAAGCUAUAAAACAUGAUUACUACAGUAGUAUAAUCAUGUGGACACACAAAAACUAUAAGGGUAAAUAUUGGGUUGUCUCCCAACAAGCACUUUUCUUUAACGCCUUUCUAGCUAGGCAUGAUGAUGACAAUGAUGCUCACAUAAAAGAUAAGAAUUCAAACAUAACGGGAGCAUCGUGAAGCAUAUGACUAGCACAUUUAAGUCUAACCCACUUCCUAUGCAUAGGGAUUUUGUGAGAAAACAACUUGUGGGAACAAUAAUCAACUAGCAUAGGAAGGUAAAACAAGCAUAGCUUCAAAAUUUUCAACACAUAGAGAGGAAACUUGAUAAUAUUGCAAUUCCUACAAGCAUAUGUUCCUUCCUCAUAAUAAUUUUCAGUAGCAUCAUGAAUGAAUUCAACAAUAUAACCAGCACAUAAAGCAUUCUUUUCAUGAUCUACAAGCAUAGAAAAUUUACUACUCUCCACAUAAGCAAAAUUCUUCUCAUUCGGAAUAGUGGGAGUAUCAUAAGAGACUUGAACACUAAAAAAUGUUUCCACAUUAAAAGAGUAAUGUUCAGAAAAAGGGUAAUCAUAAUCAUGACAAGUUUUACAAAUAUAAUCAUUACUACUUUUUAUAGUAUAAGUUUCAUCACAAUAAUCAUCAUAAGUAGCAACUUUGUUCUCAUCAUAAUCGAUUGAAACCUCUUCCAAGAUAGUGGAAUCAUCACUAAAUAAAGUUUACACUCUUCCAAAUCCACUUCCAUAUUCAUCACAAUAAAAUUCAACAUCCUCCAAAAUAGUGGGAUCACUACUUCCUAAAGUUGACACUCUUCCAAAACCACUUUCAUUAAUAUAAUCAUCAUAGGUAAGGGGCAUGCCAUCAUCAUAACAACUUUGCAAAUCAAAACUUGGGAUGCUAAAAAUAUCAUCUUCAUUAAACGUAGCAUCCCCAAGUUUGGGACAAACAUUAAUUUCAGCAAAUAUAUUCUCAAAUAUGUCAUCCUCAUCAGACAUAGCUUCCCCAAGCUUGGGCCUUUUCAUAUCAUAAGCAUAAUCGCUCUCAUCAUUAACAGUAUGGAUAGCACCAAUAGUAUAGCAAUUAUCAUCAUCACAAUGAGUAGUAGGAGCAACAUCAUUUGGGAGGGAUACCUUUUUACCUUUAUUGCACAUUCUUUUCUUUUUCUCCUUCAAAUUAUGUGUGGGUUCAACCUUCUUCUUUGAGCUCCUUAUUGAUGAGAUUGGUUGAAUAGAAAGCUCCUCCUCGUUACCUGAUUCAUCAUAAGAAAUAAUAGGAGGAUAUUGGGAAGUCUCUUCCCUUUCAUUAGUGUUCUCUUCUUCUUCUAUUUGCUUUCUUUUCUUUAGGUAAUUGGCAAUAUAAGGAUUUUCAAUGCAAUUCAUCGCACAAAACAUAUAAAUCGUCUCUAAAUCAAAAUCAAGAAGUUUAUAACGGGCAAAUUCUGGAAGGUACUUAAUUUAAACGAUUCACUUCUUCAUAACCCAUAAGCAAACUAAGUUCAUUAUAAUGCGCAAGGGAAAUAAAAUCAUCACAAUUUUUGGACACGAUUUGAUCAUGAAACAAUUUGCAUCAGAGAUGUAAAUGACCACUUUCAUUGCAAAGUUCACAAGUACGGCAAGGGAAAUAUAAUUUUUCAGCACCCUCCCUUAGCCUUUCCUGCAACAAUUUAGUUUCUACAUGCUUAUGCCUCUUGCAAUAUCUAUCUUCUCUAUUUGGUGUGUCCAUGCAAAUCCAAUGCUCUCCACAAAAAUCGACAUGCUUAUAAGAGAUAUUUUUAUCAUAACUAGUGCAAUCAUUGUUAGUACUAUGGAUAUUCAGAGAGUUCAUACUAAUAAUAUUGCAAUCAUGAUCAUCAUUCAAAGAUUUAGUAUCAAACAUUUUAUAGAUUUCUUCUUCUAGCACUUGAGCACAAUUUUCCUUUUCAUCAUACUCAUGAAAGAUAUUAAAAAGAUGAAGCGUAUGAGACAAACUUAACUCCAUUUUUUGUAGUUUUCUUUUAUAAACUAAACUAGUGAUAAAACAAGAAACAAAAAGAUUCGAUUGCAAGAUCUAAAGAUAUACCUUCAAGCACUCACCUCCCCGGCAACGGCGCCAGAAAAGAGCUUAGUUGACGGGGUGUGAGUGCCGCUUACCUAGCCUCCCCGGCAACGGCGCCACAAAAGAGCUUGAUGUCUACUACACAACCUUCCUUUUGUAGACGUUGUUGGGCCUCCAAGUGCAGAGGUUUGUAGGACAGUAGCAAAUUUCCCUCAAGUGGAUGACCUAAGGUUUAUCAAUCCGUGGGAGGCGUAGGAUGAAGAUGGUCUCUCUCAAACAACCCUGCAACCAAAUAAAAAAGAGUCUCUUGUGUCCCCAACACACCCAAUACAAUGGUAAAUUGUAUAGGUGCACUAGUUCGGCAAAGAGAUGGUGAUACAAGUGCAAUAUGGAUAGUAGAUAUGGGUAUUUGUAAUCUUAAACUAUAAAAACAGCAAGGUAACUAAUAAUAAAAGUGAGCGUAAACGGUAUUGCAAUGGUAGGAAACAAGGCAUAGGGUGCAGACUUUCACUAGUGCAAGUUCUCUCGACAAUAAUAACAUAGAUAGAUCAUAUAACAAUCCCUCAACAUGCAACAAAGAGUCACUCCAAAGCCACUAAUAGCGGAGAACAAACAAAGAGAUUAUGGUAGGGUACGAAAGCACAUCAAAGUUAUCCUUUCUGUUAUAUCUAUUCAAGAGACCGUAGUAAAAUAACAUGAAGCUAUUCUUUCCAUUCAAUCUAUCAUAGAGUUCAUACUAGAAUAACACCUUAAGACACAAAUAAACCAAAAGUCUAAUGUCACCUAGAUACUCCAUUGUCACCUCAAGUAUCCGUGGGCAUGAUUAUAAGAUAUGCAUCACACAAUCUCAGAUUCAUCUAUUCAACCAACACAAAGUACUUCAAAGAGUGCCCCAAAGUUUCUACCGGAGAGGCAAGACGAAAACGUGUGCCAACCCCUAUGCAUAGGUUCAUGGGCGGAACCCGCAAGUUGAUCACCAAAACAUACAUCAAGUGGAUCACGUGAUAUCCCAUUGUCACCGCAGAUAAGCACGGCAAGACAUACAUCAAGUGUUCUCAAAUCAUUAAAGACUCAAUCCGACAAGAUAACUUCAAAGGGAAAACUUAAUUCAUUACAAGAGAGUAGAGGGGGAGAAACAUCAUAAGAUCCAACUAUAAUAGCAAAGCUCGCGAUACAUCAAGAUUGUGCCAUAGAGAGAACACGAGAGAGAGAGAGAUCAAACACAUAUCUAAUGGUACAUACCCUUAGCCCCGAGGGGGAACUACUCCCUCCUCGUCAUGGAGAGCUGUGGGAUGAUGAAGAUGGCCACCGGUGAGGGAUCCUCCGCCGGUAGGGUGCCGGAACGGGCUCCCGAGAGGUUUUUGGUGGCUACAGAGGCUUGUGGCGACGGAACUCCCGAUCUAUCUUCGUCUUCGAUGGUUUUAGGGUAUAUGGGAAUAUAUAGGCGAAAGAAGUCGGCCGGGGGAGCCAUGAGGGGCCCACGAGACAAGGGGCGCGCCCAGGGGGUGGGCACGCCCUCCUAUCUCCUGGCCUCCUCGAAGCUUCCCCGGCUUGUACUCCAAGUCUCCCGGAUCAUGUUCGUUCCAAAAAUCACGCUCCCGAAGGUUUCAUUCCGUUUGGACUCCGUUUGAUAUUCCUUUUCUUCGAAAUACUGAAACAGGCAAUAAAACAACAAUAUGGGCUGGGCCUCCGGUUAGUAGGUUAGUUCCAAAAGUAAUAUAAAUUUGUAUAAUAAAGCCCAUAAACAUCCAAAAGGGGUAAUAUAAUAGCAUGGAACAAUAAAAAAUUAUAGAUACGUUGGAGACGUAUCAGGAGGUCACAGAAUCGAGCAACGCUCAGAGACGAGAGUAAGAAUAAAAUAGAAGCGAGGAAACGACGACGCACACGGGAGCUCACUGUGUUCGGCGACGAUGAUGGCUCAAAGAGGAAACAAACAAAGGAGGAAAUGGGUCAAGGCGCACGACGACGAUGAGGCUGAGCUGGUUGACAGGCUUAGACGAGCCAGAGCCAGCCGGAGUUGCCCUACUGUGGCCAACAGCAACUAGACCACCGAUUUGGCUAGCACCACUCGUGAUCACCACGGGCAUUGCACGCUCUGGCCACCUACAUCGUGCCAAACCUUGUCAGUAGUGGAUUCCUUCCAAGGCUCAUUACAACUGAGGUGAUGGCACGGGCAGAAGUGUAGGGAGCAGAGGGAAACAGGCUUGACAAGUUUGCUGUUGCAAACUUGGCAACAUUUUGGUGAUCAACAUAGUGAGCUUAGGGACAAAACUUGAUGUCUGGGAGGUUUAGACUAGCAAGGACUACGGUCCUGGGAAGUUUGAGAUCAUUAGGACAAGUAUUUAGCAUAGUUGCAGUGCAACUGCCAAAUCUGGUCCAGAAAACAAUAGAGGCAGAAACACUCACUAGGAGUGUUGGGUUUAGCACCCACUUGGCAAUUCCUCAUGAUUUGGUCAUAUGUAGAUGCUGCAAAAAUAUUAUACCAUAUGGACUUGCCAAAUUGGUACUUGCUUCACAAGCAUCACUUUUGACCAGAAACUUGAGAAAAUUCUAGGAAAAUUUUGGCUACAUGAAAUGAGCCAAACUCUUGGGUAGGUGGGUUAUGUGGAUAGGAGAAGGCUUGGGAAUAUUUUCAGCCAUAAUGGAGCAAGAUAAAAUAUACUUUCUUCACAAAUUGAAAAUUUGGACAGAGAUCAAGAAUUGCUCCUGUGCUCACAUAGCUCAAUUAAAUGAGCUGAAUUUGGGUGGAGGCUUGGGAUACUUGAGAGGAUUGCAAAGUUUCAUCCCAUUUGGAAACACUAUGAAGGUACUUUCUUCACAAAGUUGCAUUCUGGUCAGAAACUUUGAAAAAUUGCACAGGGAGCUAGGGUGAAUGGAUUGAGCUCAUCUUUGUUAUCCAUGGGUGAGUUAUCAAGGUUAAAUACCCUGCCAAAUUGCAGCUCAAUUGGAAUUAGGAAUAAAGAACUUCCUUUGCAAAAUUUCAGAGAAGGCAUGAACUUGCAUUGGAUCAUGUGCCCAAUUUUUGAUCUGUGGAACAUGAGAUAAGGAUGGAACUAGUUAUUAUAUAGCAAGGACAAGCUCCAAAAUUUAUGUGGGAAUUUUCUCUACUAUAAAAAUAAUAGUUCCUUUAGAAAAUGGCAGAAAUGCAAUAUUGGUAUUAAAUAGGAAAAGGCAAUUUUCCUUAUUUAAUUAUGGCCAAUAUAAUUGCCAGAGCUUGGAUUAGGCUUAAAUAUCAACUCCACCAAUUCACAUGAAUUUAGGAGAUGGCUAGAUAUGCCUUUGGAUUUUAUUCCUCAGAAAGGCAAGAAAAGGAAUAAAUCACAAUUCAAAAAUAUUGCAUGGGACUUGGCAAUAUUUUUGCAUAUCCAAGGUUGAGAAGGAUAGGAGGAUCUCUGGGGAUAGAUGGGAUGAUCAAUAGAUCAAGGAAAAUGAUAGAUCCUUUGUAAUCACAAAGGUCAUGAUCAAAUUCCAAAAAUUUGGAAUUAGGGUUUGAGAGGAUUUGAGAUGAUGCAAAAGAGGUCUUGCCCACUGAAAAAAGACAUGAGCAAGUUUUGAAACGUUGGAAAUGACAAGAAUUCUCAGAGUCAUCCAACAAACUCAGGAGAAAGAUUUGGAAAGUGAGUGCCAGGAAGGAAGAACAACUCAAAAAUUGAUAACCCAAUUUUGGGGCUGUUACAGAUCUGCUAUAAAUCAAUAUGUCAUCAAAGUAAACUACCACAAAUCGUCCAAUGAAAGCACGCAAAACUUCGUUCAUUAAUCUCAUGAAAGUAAUAGGUGCAUUAGUUAACCCAAAAGGCAUGACUAACCACUCAUAUAAUCCAAAUGUAGUUUUAAAUGCUGUUUUCCAUUCAUCUCCCAAUUUCAUACGAAUUUGAUGGUAUCCACUACGCAAAUCAACUUUGCAGAAUAUUGUAGAGCCACUCAAUUCAUCAAGCAUAUCAUCUAACUAGGAAUAGGAUGACGAUAAUGAAAAGUAAUAUUAUUAAUGACUCGACAAUCAACACACAUACGUGGUGUACCAUCCUUUUUAAGCACUAGAAUAAUAGAAACAACACAAGGACUAAGGGAUUCACGUAUAUAACCUUUGUCGAGCAGCUCAUGUACUUGACGCAUAAUCUCCUUCGUCUCCUCUGGAUUGGUACAGUAUGGUGCACAGUUGGGUAAUGAUGCACCAUAUCAUCUAACUAGGAAUAGGAUGACGAUAAUGAAUAGUAAUAUUAUUAAUGCCUCUACAAUCAACACACAUACGUGAUGUACCAUCCUUUUUCGGCACUAGACUAAUAGGAACAGCACAAGGACUAAGGGAUUCGCGUAUAUAACCUUUGUCGAGUAGCUCCUGUACUUGAUGCAUAAUCUCCUUCGUCUCCUCUGGAUUGGUACGGUAUGGUGCACGGUUGGGUAAUGAUGCACCGGGAAUUAAGUCAAUCUGAUGCUCAAUCCCUCGAAUGGGAGGUAAUCCCGGUGGCACGUCUUGUGGAAAGACGUCAGCCAACUCCUGCAAAAUGUUAGUAACAGCAGGAGGCAAAGAGGAAGGCACGUCCUCGAAUGAAAAUAAUGCCUCUUUGCUCACAAAAGCAUAGCAAACAGAUUUGCUGAAAUCUAGCUCAUCAAUAUCAUAUUUAGUGGCAAGUAAAAUGCACUUUUCAAUUUAAUUUUAGAAGCAACACUAGAUGGUUUACUAUUAGGCUUCAUUUGUUGCUCAAAUUCUUUUGCCACAAUCUGAUUUUCACUCUAAUUUUUCUCCUAUUUUGCUUUAUUAGCUCUAUUAAUAUCAUCUUUCAAAAUGGAAUCAGGAGUCAUAGGAAGCAAAGUAAUAUUUUUAUCCUUAUGAACAAGAGUAUACUGAUUGUUUCUACCAUGGUGUACAGAUUUUUUAUCAAAUUGCCAUGGUCGACCAAGUAAUAAGGAACAUGCUUGCAUAGGUACCACAUCACAAUCAACAUAAUCAGCAUAUGUAGAGAUACUAAAAUGCACACGAACAGUACGUGUUACCUUAACCUUGCUGUUGUUGUUGAACCAUUGGAUUUAGUAAGGAUGUGGAUGUGGUCUUGUGGUGAGAGAUAGGUUCUCCACCAUCUCCAUGCUAGCCAACUUGUUGGAGCUCCCUCCGUCUAGGAUGACGCGCACAUAACUUUCCUUCACAACUCCCUUUGUAUGGAACAAAUUGCGCCUCUGAUUUUGCUCAGCUUGUGUGGCCUGCACACUCAAAACACGUUGGGCAACUAAACAUUCAUACCUGUCAGCGUCUUCAGGAGCCAUGUAUUGUGUCUCAUGAUCAGAAUCAUCUCGACCAUGUUCUUCACGUGUAAUAAGAGCCAAAGUCUCCUCAUCAUAGUCACUAGCGGACUCAUACCCAUCAUCCUCAGUAGCAAUCAUCGCACGUUGAGAUUUGCAUUCUCUCGCAUAAUGACCUCUUCCUGACAAUGACGACAAAUAAUAUCACUUGUGUGCCCUGUUGAUGCCAUGGAAGAAGAAGAACUCUGUGUAGGCCGGGCAGGUGCGCUCUUGGCAGAUAAUGGUGGUUGUGCCUACUUUCUUGUAUCACGGCUGGAGGUGGCACCUGAUGGAGGUGCUGGUGCAGUUGAAGUAGAAGAUGCACGCGGUGUCCAUGAUGAGGUCGGCCUGCAGAAAAGUUAGUUCGCGCCAAUGCUUGUCGAUCCUGCACUUCAUGUUCAGCUUUACAAGCAAGAUGGAAUAAAUGGGUGAUAUUAGUAUACUCCUUAUACUCUAGAAUGGUCUGAAUCUCUCUUUUUAAUCCACCCAUAAAACGUGCAAGCAUAGCUUCAUUCUCCUCAACAAUACCACAUCUAAUCAUGCCAGUUUGAAAUUCCUGAUAAUAUUCUUCUACAUAAUUUUUUCCUUGUCUUAAAUGCUGCAAUUUUUGAAGCAAUUCACGUUGAUAAAUAUAGUGGAACCCAACGAGUACGCAUAGCAGUUUUCAAAGCAACCCAAGUAGCUAGAAUAGGAUAUAAUCUACAAUGUUCAGACCACCAUACACAUGCAAAACUAGUGAAAGCACAAACAGCAGCAACAACGCGUCACUCCUCGGGAUAUUGUAAACAUGUAAAACGUUGUUCAGUUUCUAACUCCCAAGUAAGAUAUAUAUCAGGAACAUAUCUACCCUCAAAUGGUGGAAUAUUCAAUUUUAGUUUAGGAACAUUGUCAUCAUCUCGUACCUGAGGUGGUGGUGCAGGCCUACCAUUGCGAUUAUAUACCUGAGGUCGACCUGCUGGUGGUGGUGCUGGUGGCUGCACGUAGUUCUGAUUUUGAUCAACCUCAUCCUCAUAAUCACUUGCAUGAUCAUCAUCCUCCUGGGUACCAGCAGCAGCAGUAGCAGGAGCCACAGAAGCAUCAACAAUAGGUACAGCAGCACCAGAAUUUUUAGCAAGCUCAAUUGGAACGCGUUGUGCUCGUCCCACAUGAUUUGGGUGCCAUUGUAGUUGUUGUUGUUGUAGAGGUGCGAUAGGGCAGCCGGCGGUGGUUGUGGAAGACGCGUGAGAAAUUCAUUAAACUUGUUAUCGAGCUUUGUUUUGAACAUCUUCUCAAUGCCAUCUAUCUUCUCCAUGGCCUCUUCAAAUCUAUUUAGCACAUCUUGCACCUGUCCACUCUUCAUUUGCUGAAAUUUAUCAUGUAGUUGUUUGUUCGUCAUGUUCUCCCGAUCAGUCUCAUCGUCUUGUGAUCCUGCCAUGGUUAGCAGCAAUAGAAACACAAAAUAAUAUGAUCCUAUAGACUACUAGGAAAUGGUGGUGAGAGUGGUGUGUCACAAAUCCUUCAAGCGAAUCUCAAAUUCUUACCAGUUCUUACCCAGCAGCAUCUGGUGAUCGGGAACCGUUGUAGUCAAAACUCUCAAAGUUUGGAUAGAGCGAUUGCCAGGGAGAGUCAAAUGCACGACCUAGAUGUAUGUGGAGCUGGGAAUGCUUAUAAUAUGGUAGCAAAAAGGGUUAGCAAUAAUCAAUUCGGAUAUGCAAAAUUGAAUAAAUGCUCAACGACGGUACUGUGCUGGUCCUAGGCUAGACCGUGCUAGAGACGCGAGCCUAAAACACUAACAAAAUCACGACGCGGCACGUAAUCAAGGGAGGAGCACACUCUGUAUUUUUUUCUCUUUUUUUUCACUUUUUUUGCACUUUUUUUCCUCUUUUUUUUGCUCCGCAACAAUUUUUUUCGAAAAUGUCUACAAAUGGUCUAAAACUGCCUAGCCAGAAUUUUCCAGACUUAGUUUUUUUUUGAAACUGGAACUAUGUUUCUUGUACGGGUGGCACUGAUGUUGGGAAGUCCGACUUGGUCAUGACUUGGAGUAUGGCGUGAUCUGGAAAUCAAAAACAAACCAACAAAUACUGGACUCGGAGUAGGACUGGUGGCGGAGAUGAAUCUGGUGGAAACUCGGACUUGUGGUGGAUAUAUGUAGGGCGAUGGAACACAGACUAGUGGCAAAUCUCUGAUGGAGAUGGACUCGGAUUAUCGUGAUGGCGAUGAAUAUGCGCUAUAUGGCAGCGGUGAUGCUGAUGGUGGUAUAUGGCAGCGGUGAUGACGAUGGUGAUAUAUGGCAGCGGUGAAGACGAUGGUGGUAUAUGGAAGCGGUGACGAUGAUGGUGGUAUAUGGCAGCGGUGAUGAUGAUGAUACGGCGGCGGUGUGACAACUUGUGAACAGAACUUGAAACUCUAAAGGACUAGACACUAAGACCAGCAACUCGACACGACGAUGCAACCGCAAAUUCAACAAAGCAAAAGACUGAAUAGAAUAUGCAAUGGCUCAGACUGGUUCAGAUAGGAUGAACUAACCCUAAUUUUUUUGUGGCUUUUUCAUGGACUGUAGUAUGAUAAUAGACUCGAUCUAAACUACAAAAAACUGUAAAAUCUCACCGAGCAACCUGAAAAUCUGAUACCACUUGAUAGAGUCAAACGUGUCCCGUCUUUCGAUGAGAUGGUGGCUAUCGUUUUCUGUGGAAGUCGACCUUACCAUCUGACUAUGAACGUGCGAGAUGUCGCGCCUUAGCAAUCGCUAAACCAACUUCCGAGGGGUUAUUGACCAUGCCGGAGCAUGAUCAACCUGACCACGAGGGUCUGUUUUCCUGCGAGCAAACAAAGAACAAGCAAGAAAUUGAGAUUGCAAUCUGGAUAUUGAAAAUAUAAGAGGAGAGCUUUAUUAAUGAAGGUGGGGUUCUGAGACACCUUUGUCUGGUCGUUGAACACAAACAAAGUACGCGAAGUUGUAGCUAUGGUGAACUUUUAAUCUAAACAAAACCCAAAGUCUACACAGUGCCCUAAGGGCUGUAUAUAUGGAGGAAGAGGUGAGGGGGGAUUUGUGGCCCUUGGGGGAGGGGUCCGAAACCAACCCUAUCUCUUGUUUCCCCACACAUAUGGACUCUAAAAAUAGCCUAUACUUAUGUAUUUCGAAAUUAGAUGGGCCUGGCCCAAUAAUAAGGUGACGCAGCACCUAGAAUAGCCUCCAGACGAAAUUUAUGAAGUGGCAUCUUGUAUAUUUCGUCCAAGACUUCAUGCACUCAUUAUGGUGGCUUCAAAGUCUUGAAAUCAUCACUUGUGACUUUGUUCUUAUUUCCCUUGCGCAUGCCGUCAUCUCCAUGCUUGGUCUUGCUCCAGUGUUCAUCCCUCUUCUCCAUGUCGGGCCCUUCAUUUGUAAGCAAAACAAAUGUAUCCAAUUUAGGCAGCAUCAUAUUCUCAUGAACAUUAGAAUCAUUACCAAGAAACGAAAGUACCUGAUAAUUUAAUUGGGAUGUGCGAGCUCUAGUAAUUGGUCCAGUAUAUGUAGCAGUAGGAGUUGUGGGUGUAACAAUGGUAUUGAUGUCCUCAUCAGAGAGGUGAGACAGUGGCUCUGGGCGUGGCAAUGGCGAGCGGCGGUGUCGACUGCGCACGGUGGUGCUGUGGGGGAAGAGCAGAGGUGGGGGAGAGGCACUGGGGAAGCGGGAGAGGGUCGAGGGGGUGUGCUGGCCGUUUCCCAGGUGCGAGAACAGGGUGAGGGGGGAGCAGGAGGUGGAGCUCGGGCGCGCACGCGUUGACACGCCUAUGCCUACUGGCAGAGGUUGAAGACGGUGGGGAGUUAGGCUGGGCCUCAGCCGUAGUGCUGGGCCAGGUGGGCUGCAGGUAAGUCUAGGUAAACCGUUCCUUCUUCUUUUCUUAUUUGUUUUCUGUUUUUUUGUUUGUUUGUUUUAAACUUUGCCACUAUUUAAAUUCAAAAACAGAUUCUAAACAGUGCCAAAUAUCCUCUGGGUAUUUUUAUGUUGCUGAAUGUACUAAUCCAAAAGCACAUAAAAUGUUCCAGGGUAUUUGAAAAUAUAUUCUAUACAUAUUAUGAAUAUAAUUCCAAACGCAAAUAAAACAAUAAUUUAAAUUCAGUGCCCAAAAUAUUCCUCAAAAUGUUCAUUAUUUUUGGUUUGGUGCAAAACCUUUGCCAAAAUAUAACCAACAUUAUUUAGGUCCAUGUUGGAAACAUUGAAUGCAUUUUCCAGGGUUCUUUGCCCUUCUUUUAACUAGAUUUUUGAGGUUUCAAUAAUCCUCAGUUCAGGUUUCAGAAAUUUAAACAUGAUGCACACAUGAAGCUAGCCUAGUGCACUACCGGAACUAGGGGAUGUGAUACAAUCUUAGAAAUGUAGGCACUUUCCAAACUUUAGUCUUAAAUAUGUAAUCUUUUCCAUCCAUAUUUACACCCUGUGAGGUUUGUACUUGUUUCUCUGUGCAUUAAUGAAAAAGACAGGCUUCUUGUGUACUUGUGCAUGUGUCAUGUCCAUGCAAAGGAACAUCUCCUUUAUACUUUCAAGUAAACAAGAUUUCCCGACAAGACAUCUUGCCUGUUUCUUCCACUGCCUGCCGCAAGGCUCUACUUGGCGGGCUAGGGGCGUGGAAGAGAACUGACCCUUACCCAACCCUCAUUCCCAAAUGUAGGUAUGACCAUCCUGUUCAAAGUGGCUUUUGAAUCGGAGGAAUGGGAGCACAAAUGUAGGAGGGUGACAAGGUUUCUCUACGCGCAAGUUUUUCUCACAGUGGUAUAUUAUGAAUGACAAAAGAAAGAACUUAUCUACCUUAUGCUGUCGGGGGUCGAUAUGCAAGCUUGUCUUCAGGAGCAAAUUAUGCCUCUGAUUUUGCUCAGCUUGUGUGGCCUGCACACUCAAAACACGUUGGGCAACUAAACAUUCAUAUCUGUCAGCGUCUUCAGGAGCCAUGUAUUGUGUCUCAUGAUCAGAAUCAUCUCGACCAUGUUCUUCACGUGUAAUAAGAGCCAAAGUCUCCUCAUCAUAGUCACUAGCGGACUCAUACCCAUCAUCCUCAGUAGCAAUCAUCGCACGUUGAGAUUUGCAUUCUCUCGCAUAAUGACCUCUUCCUGACAAUGACGACAAAUAAUAUCACUUGUGUGCCCUGUUGAUGCCAUGGAAGAAGAAGAACUCUGUGCAGGCCGGGCAGGUGCGCUCUUGGCAGAUAAUGGUGGUUGUGCCUACUUUCUUGUAUCACGGCUGGAGGUGGCACCUGAUGGAGGUGCUGGUGCAGUUGAAGUAGAAGAUGCACGUGGUGUCCAUGAUGAGGUCGGCCUGCAGAAAAGUUAGUUCGCGCCAAUGCUUGUCGAUCCUGCACUUCAUGUUCAGCUUUACAAGCAAGAUGGAAUAAAUGGGUGAUAUUAGUAUACUCCUUAUACUCUAGAAUGGUCUGAAUCUCUCUAUUUAAUCCACCCAUAAAACGUGCAAGCAUAGCUUCAUUCUCCUUAUACCACAUCUAAUCAUGCCAGUUUGUAAUUCAUGAUAAUAUUCUUCUUCAGAAUUUUUUCCUUGUCUUAAACGCUGCAAUUUUUGAAGCAAUUCACGUUGAUAAUAUGGUGGAACCCAACAAUUACGCAUAGCAGUUUCCAAAGUAGCCCAAGUAGUUGGAAUAGGAUAUAAUCUACAAUGUUCAGACCACCAUACACAUGCAAAACUAGUGAAAGCACAAACAACAACAGCAACCCGUCUCUCCUCGGGAUAUUGUAAACAUGUAAAACGUUGUUCACUUUCUAACUCCCAAGUAAGAUAUAUAUCAGGAACAUAUUUACCCUCAAAUGGUGGAAUAUUCAAUUUCAGUUUAGGAAUAUGGUCAUUAUCUCGUACCUGAGGUGGUGGUGCAGGCCUACCGUUGCAAAUAUAUACCUCAGGUCGACCUGCUGGUGGUGGUGCUGGUGGCUGCACGUAGUUCUGAUUUUGAUCAAGCUCAUCCUCGUAAUAGUCCUCCACCUCUGAAGUAGUAGUAGGAGCUACAGAAGCACCAAGAGAAGUAGCAGCGGCACCAGAAUUUUGUCCUGGCUUAAUAGGAACACGCUAUGCAUAGAGCUGGUUGUGGGAGACGUUUGAGUAAUUCAUCAAACUUGGCGUCCAACUUUGUGUCAAUUGACUUCUCAAUGUCAUCCAUCUUCUCCAUUGCCUUUCCUAAGCUGACCAUCACGUCUUCCACCUGUUGACCCAACAUUUGAUGAAACUUAUCAUGAAGCUCCUUGUUCGUCAUGUUCUCCCAGUCAAUCUCGCCGGCUUGUGUUCCUGCCAUAGUUAGCAACAAUAGAAAUAGACAAGAAUAUGAUCCUACAGACUACUAGAAUAUGGUGGUGGUGGGGUGUCACAAAUUCGUCAAGCGAAUCUCAAAUUCUUACCAGUACUUACCCAGCAGCAGGUGGUGAUCGGCAACCGUUGUAGUCAAAACUUUCAAAGCUUGGAUAAAGCGAUUACCAGGGAGAGUCAAACGCACGACGUAGAUGUAUGUGGAGCUGGGAAGGCUUAUAAUAUGGUAGCAAAAAAAGGUCAGCGACGGUACUGUAGCUGGUCUUAGGCUAGCCCGUGCUAGAUACGCGAGCCUAGAACACUAACAAAAUCAGGGCGCUGCACGUAAACAAGGGAGGAGCACACUCUGAAUUUUUUUCUCUUUUUUGCACUUUUUUUUCCUCUUUUUUUUGCUCCGCAACAAAUUUUUUUCGAAAAAGUCUACAAAUGGUCUAGAAACUGCCUACCCAGAAUUUUCCAGACUUAGUUUUUUUUAAACUGGAACUAUUUUUCUACUGCGGGUAACACGGAAGUUCGGGAGUCCUUCUCUGUCACGACUCGGAGUAUGGCAUGAUCUCGAAAUCCAAAACAGAGUAACAAAAUACUGGACUCGGACUAGGACUGGUGGCGGAGAUGAAUCUGGUGGAACUCGCACUGGUGGCGGAGAUGAAUCUGGUGGAACUCGGACUGGUGGUGGAUAUAUGUUGCAGGUGGACUCAGAUUAUCGUGAUGGAGGUGGCGUGACAACUUGUGAACAGAACUCGAAACUCUAAAGGACUAGACACUAAGACCAGCAACUAGACACGAUGAUGCAACCGCAAAUUCAACAAUGCAAAACCCUAAAAAGCUUAUGCAAAGGCCCAGAUUGGUUCGGAUAUGAGGAACUAACCCUAAUUUUUUUGCCUUUUUCAUGGAAUAUAGGUAUGAAGAACAGACUCGAUCUAAACUACAAAAAACUGUAAAAUCUCAUUGAGCAACCUGGAAAUCUGAUACCACUUGAUAGAGACAAAUCUGAUACCACUUGAUAGAGACAAAGGCUAUUGUUUUCUGUGGGAGUCGACCUUGACGAUCCGACUACAAACGUGCGAGACGUCGCGCCUUAGCAAUCGCUAAACCAACUUCCGAGGGGUUAUUGACCAUGCCGGAGCACGGUCAACCUGACCACGAGGGUCUGUUUUCCUGCGAGCAAACGAAGAACAAGCAAGAAACUGAGAUUGCAAUCUGGAAAUUGCGAAUAUAAGAGGAAAGCUUUAUUAAUGAAGGUGGGGUUCUGCGACGCCUUUGUCUGGUCGUUGAACACAAAUGAAGUACGUGAAGUUGCAGCUAUGGCGAACUUUAAUCUAAACAAAACCCGAAGUCGAAACGACGCCCUAAGGGUUGUAUAUAUGGAGGAAGAGGGGGGGGGGGAUUUCGUGGCCCUUGAGGAAGGGAUCCGAAACCAACCCUAUCUCUUGUUUCCCCACACAUACGGACUCUAAAAACAUCCUAUACUCAAGUAUUUCGAAAAUACAUGGGCCUGGCCCAAUAAUAAGGUGACGCAGCACCAAGAAUAGCCUCUGGACGAAAGUUAUGAAGUAGCAUCUUGUAUAUUUCGUCCAAGGCUUCAUGCACUCAUUAUGGUGGCUUCAACAUCCUGAAAUCAUCACUUGUAACUCCGUUCUUGUUCCCCUUGCGCAUGCCAUCAUCUCCAUGCUUGUUCUUGCUCCAAUGUUCAUCCUUCUCCAAGUAAGGCCCUUCAUUUGUAAGCAAAACAAAUGUAUCCAAUUUAGGCAGCAUCAUAUUCUCAUGAACAUUAGAAUCAUUACCAAGAAACGAAAGUACCUGGUAAUUUAAUUGGCAUGCACGAGCUCUAGUAAUUGGUCCAGUAUGUAUAGCAGCAGGGGCUGUGGGUGUAACAAUGGUAUUGAUGUCCUUGAUGUCAAUGGAGUUUCUUCAUCAUGGGCACCGCGUGCAUCUUCUACUUCAACUACACCAGCACCUCCAUCAGGUGUCACCUCCAACCGUGAUACAAGAAAGCAGGUACAACCACCAUUAUCUUCCAAGAGCGCACCUACCGGGCCUGCAUAGAGUUCUUCUUCUUCCAUGGCAUCAAUAGGGCACACAAGUAAUAUUAUUUGUUAUCAUUGUAAGGGAAGAUGUCAUUAUGCGAGAGAAUGCAAAUCUCAGCGUGUGAUGAUUGCUACUGAGGAUGGUGAGUAUGAGUCCGCUAGUGAUUAUGACGAGGAGACUUUGGCUCUUAUUACACGUGAAGAACAUGGUGGAGAUGAUUCUGAUCAUGAGACGCAAUACAUGGCUCCUGAAGACGCUGACAGGUAUGAAUGUUUAGUUUCUCAACGUGUUUUGAGUGUGCAGGUCACACAAGCUGAGCAAAAUCAGAGGCACAAUUUGUUCCAUACAAAGGGAGUUGUGAAGGAACAUUUUGUGCGCGUCAUCAUAGACGGAGGGAGCUGCAACAACUUGGCUAGCAUGGAGAUGGUGGAGAAGCUAUCUCUCACCACAAGACCACAUCCACAUCCUUACUACAUCCAAUAGUUCAACAAUAGCGGCAAGGUUAAGGUAACACGUACUGUUCAUGUGCAUUUUAGUAUCUCUACAUAUGCUGAUUAUGUUGAUUGUGAUGUGGUACCUAUGCAAGCAUGUUCCUUAUUACUUGGUCGACCAUGGCAAUUUGUUAAGAAUUCUAUACACCAUGGUAGAAACAAUCAGUAUACUCUUGUUCAUAAGGAUAAAAAUAUUACUUUGCUUCCUAUGACUCCUGAUUCCAUUUUGAAAGAUGAUAUUAAUAGAGAUAAUAAAGAAAAACAGGAGAAAAAUAAGAGUGAAAAUCAUAUUGUGGCAAAAGAAUUUGAGCAACAAAUGAAGCCUAAUAGUAAACCAUCUAGUGUUGCUUUUGAAAUUAAAUUGAAAAGUGCAUGUUUACUUGCCACUAAAUCCGAUAUUGAUGAGCUAGAUUUCAGCAAAUCUGUUUGCUAUGCUUUUGUGUGCAAAGAGGCAUUAUUUUCAUUCGAGGACGUGCCUUCCUCUUUGCCUCCUCCUAUCACUAACAUUUUGCAGGAGUUCGCUGACGUCUUUCCACAAGACGUGCCACCGGGAUUACCUCCCAUUCGAGGGAUUGGGCAUUAGAUGGACUUAAUUCCCGGUGCAUCAUUACCCAACCGUGCACCAUACCGUACCAAUCCAGACGAGACGAAGGAGAUUAUGCGUCAAGUACAGGAGCUUCUCGACAAAGGUUAUAUACACGAAUCCCUUAGUCCUUGUGUUGUUCCUAUUAUUCUAGUGCCGAAAAAGGAUGGUACAUGACGUAUGUGUGUUGAUGGUACAUCACGUAUGUGCGGUGUCCAUUAUGUCAAUGGAGUUUCUUCGUGCAUUUGACACCAAUGUGACCAAGGUGGCAGUGGCACAAGUAUGUGAGACUAUAAUUAUCAACCUUACAUCUUUUGGCAUUCACACUAUGAAUAUGUGUAACAUCACAUUCGAGAUUCAAUAAAAAUAAACCAUUGACCAGCGGGGCAUGAUCAUAAAACAUAUCUCUCAUAUAAAUAGAACAACCAUUAUUCUUGGAUUUAAAUGAGUAGCCAUCUCGCAUUAAACGAGAUCCAGAUACAAUGUUCAUGCUCAAAGCUGGCACUAAAUAACAAUUAUUGAGGUUUAAAACUAAUCCCGAAGGUAGAUGUAAGGUAGCGCGCCGACGGCGAUCACAUCGACCUUGGAACUAUUCCUGACGUGCAUAGUCACCUCGUCCUUCGCCAGCCUCCGCUUAUUCCGCAGCUCAUGUUUUGAGUUACAAAUGUGAGCAACUGCACCGGUAUCAAAUACCUAGGAGCUACUACGAGCGCUGGUAAGGUACACAUCAAUAACAUGUAUAUCAUGUAUACCUUUGGUGUUGCCGGCCUUCUUAUCCGCUAAGUACUUGGGGCAGUUCCGCUUCUAGUGACCAUUUCCCUUGCAAUAAAAGCACUCAGUCUCAGGCUUGGGUCCAUUCUUUGGCUUCUUCUUCCCGACAACUGACUUACUGGGCGCGGCAAGUCCCUUGCCGUCCUUCUUGAAGUUCUUCUUUCCCUAGCCUUUCUUUAAACUAGUGGUCUUAUUCACCUCAACACUUGAUGUUCCUUUUUUAUUUCCACCUCCGCUGAUUUCAACAUUGAAUAUAACUCAGGAAUGGACUUCUCCAUCCCUUGCAUAUUGUAGUUCAUCACAAAGCUCUCGUGGCUAGGUGGAAGCGACUGGAGGAUUAUGUCAAUGACUGAGUCAUCUGGAAGAUUAACUCCCAGUUGAGACAAGCGGUUGUGCAACCCAGACAUUUUGAGUAUAUGCUCGCUGACAGAACUAUUUUCCUCCAUCUUACAACUGUAGAACUUGUCGGAGACUUCAUAUCUCUCGACCCGGGCAUGAGCUUCGAAAACCAUUUUCAGCUCUUGGAACAUCUCAUAUGCUCUGUCUUGCUCAAAACGCUUUUGGAGCCCCGAUUUUAAGCUGUAAAGCAUGCCACAUUGAACCAGGGAGUAAUCAUCACUAUGCGACUGCCAGGCAUUCAUAAUGUCUUAAGUUACUGGGAAAAUGGGUGUGUCACCUAGCGGUGUUUCAAGGACAUAUGCUUUCCUGGCAGCUAUGAGGAUGAUCCUCAAGUUACAGACCCAAUCCGUAUAGUUGCUACCAUCGUCUUUCAGCUUGGUUUCCUCUAGGAACGCGUUGAAGUUGAGGGCAACAUUAGCAUGGGCCAUUUGAUCUAUAGGAUAGAUUGUAAAGACAAUUUUAGACUAAGUUCAUGAUAAUUGAGUUCAUCUAAUCAAAUUAUUUAAUGAACUCCCACUCAGAUAGACAUCCCUCUAGUCAUCUAAGUGAUGCAUGAUCCGAAUCAACUAGGCCGUGUCCGAUCAUCACGUGAGACAGACUAGUCAUCAACGGUGAACAUCUCCAUGUUGAUCGCAUCUACUAUACGACUCAUGUUCGACCUUCCAGUCUCUCAUGUUCCGAGGCCAUGUCUGUACAUGCUAGGCUCGUCAAGUCAACCUAAGUGUUUCGCAUGUGUAAAUCUGGCUUACAUCCGUUGUAUGUGAACAUUAGAAUCUAUCACACCCGAUCAUCAUGUGGUGCUUCGAAACAACGAACCUUCACAACGGUGCACACUUUAGGGGGAACACAUUUCUUGAAAAUUUAGUGAGGGAUCAUCUUAUUUAUGCUACCGUCAUUCUAAGCAAAUAAGAUGUAAACAUGAUAAACAUGACAUGCAAAUCAUAAAGUGACAUGACAUGGCCAAUAUCAUCUUGCACCUUUGAUCUCCAUCUUAGAGGCGCGGCAUGAUCACCAUCGUCACCGGCAUGACACCAUGAUAUCCAUCAUCGUGUCUUCAUGAAGUUGUCUCGCCAACUAUUACUUCUACUACUAUGGCUAACGGUUAGCAAAAAGUAAAGUAAUUACAUGGCGUUUAUAUUGACUCGCAGGUCAUACAAUAAAUUAAGACAACUCCUAUGGCUCCUGCCGGUUGUCAUACUCAUCGACAUGCAAGUCGUGAUUCCUAUUACAAGAACAUGAUCAAUCUCAUACGUCACAUAUAUAAUUCAUGACAUCCUUUUGGCCAUAUCACAUCACAUAGCAUACCCUGCAAAAACAAGUUAGACGUCCUCUAAUUGUUGUUGCAUGUUUUACGUGGCUGCUAUGGGUUUCUAGCAAGAACGUUUCUUACCUACGCAAAAACCACAACGGUGAUAUGCCAAUUGCUAUUUACCCUUCAUAAGGACCCUCUUCAUGGAAUCCGAUCCGACUAAAGUGGGAGAGAUAGACACCCGCUAACCACCUUAUGCAUCAAGUGCAUGUUAGUCGGUGGAACCUGUCUCACAUAAGCGUACGUGUAAGGUCGGCCCGGGUCACUUCAUCCCACAAUGCCACCGAAUCAAGAUAAGACUAGUAACGGUAAGCAAAUUGACCAAAUCAUCGCUCACAACUUCUUUGUAUUCUACUCGUGCAUAGAAUCUACGCAUAAACCUGGCUUUGAUACCACUGUUGGGGAACGUAGUAAUAAAUUCAAAAAAAUUCCUACGUGUCACCAAGAUCAAUCUAGGAGAUGCUAACAACAAGAGAGAGGGAGUGCAUCUUCAUACCCUUGAAUAUCGCUAAGGGGAAGCAUUACAAGAAUGCGUUUGAUGGAGUUGUACUCACGGCGAUUCAAAUCACGGAAGAUCCGGUCCAAGCGCCGAAUGGACGACGCCUUCGCGUUCAACAAACGUAAAGUCUGGGGUCGUCUCCUCCUUCUUGAUCCAGCAAGGGGGGAGGAGAAGUUGAGGGAGAACUCUGGCAGCAUGAUGGCGUGGUGGUGGAGCUCAUUGUUCUCCGGCAGAGCUUCACCACGCUCAAUGAAGGAGGAGGAGGAGGAGUUGGAGGGGGAGGGCUGUGCCAGGGGCAAGGGGUGUAUCUCCCACGCACCUCCCCACUAUAUAUAGGGGUGGAGGGGCUGGUUUCUAGCCCUCCAAGUCCAUUGGGGCGUUGGCAAAGGUGGGAUGAAAGAAAUCCCAUCCUUUCCCUUCCCCAUCGAUUGUUAUCCCCCCUUUUUAGGGAUCUUGAUCUUAUCCUUUCGGGAUAUGAUCUUAUUCCUUCUAAGGGGGGAUCUUGGUGUGCCUUGACCAGGGGUGUGGGGCGUUGCCCCCACUACCCAUGUUCAUGUGGGUCCCCCCAUGCAGGUGGGCCCUGAUACGUCUCCAACGUAUCUAUAAUUUUUUAUUGUUCCAUGCUAUUAUAUUAUCUGUUUUGGAUGUUUUAUAUGCAUUAAUAUGCUAUUUUAUAUUAUUUUGGGGAAGGGAAAGGAUGGGAUUUCUUGUAGCCCGUGAUACGUCUCCCUCUCUCUAUUUUAUAUUAUUUUUUAUUGGUCCAUGCUCAUUGAAUGUUAUUUGGUUCUUCUCUGAAUUCUUAUAUGGAUGAUUUGAUAUUUUUGCAAGUCUCUUCGAAUUAUCGGUUUGGUUUGGCCUACUAGAUUGAUCUUUCUUGGAAUGGGAGAAGUGCUUAGCUUUGGGUUCAAUCUUGCGGUGUCCUUUCCUAGUGACAGCAAGGGCAGCAAGGCACGUAUUGUAUUGUUGCCAUCAAGGAUAAAAAGAUGGGGUUUAUAUCAUAUUGCUUGAGUUUAUCCCUCUACAUCAUGUCAUCUUGCUUAAUGUGUUACUCUGUUAUUAUGAACUUAAUACUCUAGAUGCAGGCAGGAGUCGGUCGGCGUGUGGAGUAAUAGUAGUAGAUGCAGAAUCAUUUCGAUCUAUUUGUCACGGACGUGAUGCCUAUAUACAUGAUCAUGCCUAGAUAUUCUCAUAACUAUGCACUAUUCUAUCAAUUGCUCGACAGUAAUUUGUUCACCCACCAUAAUACUUAUGCUAUCUUGAGAGAAGCCACUAGUGAAACAUAUGGCCCCCGGGUCUAUCUUUUAUCAUAUAAGUUUCCAAUCUUCUUUUAUUUGCGUCUUUACUUUUCAAUCUAUAAUAUAGAAAUACCAAACAAUAUUUAUCUUAUCAUAUUAUCUCUAUCAGAUCUCACUUUCGCAAGUUACCGUGAAGGGAUUGACAACCCCUUUAUCGCAUUGGUUGCAAGGUUCUUGUUUGUUUGUGUACGUAUGAGGGACUUCUGUGGAGCCUCCUACUGGAUUGAUACCUUGGUUCUCAAAAACGGAGGGAAAUACUUAGGCUACUUUGCAGCAUCACCCUUUCCUCUUCAAGGGAAAACCAACGCAGUGCUCAAGAGGUAGCAAGAAGGAUUUCUAGCGCCGUUUCCGGGGAGGUCUUCGCUCAAGUCAAGGCAUACCAAGUACCCAUCACAAACUCAUCUCCCUCGCAUUACAUUAUUUGCCAUUUGCCUCUUGUUUUCCUCUCCCUCACUUCACCCUUGUCGUUUUAUUCGCUGUAACAUCCCAAAUUUCCAAUUAGGAAUGUUAUACAUUAGAUCAUCAUUGCAACUCAAGGACCCACGAGAGAGUUAGGGGUUUCGUUAUUUUCAUAUUUGAGUUUUCUCAAAUUUUGAAAAGAGGAUCAUUUGGUUUUAAUUAUUUUUCUCUCCGAAUAUUUCCAACAUGAAAAUAAAAUAGAGGGGAUAAAAUGACUUCUCCAAAAUAAAGAAAUAUUGGAGGAAAAAUAUUAAAAUCAAAUAAGAAUUUUAUUCGGAGUUUUAUUGCUAUUUUAUUUGAAUUAGGAAAAAAGUGCGUUUUUCAAAAUGGCAUUAGAGGCCCAAAUAAAUGUUCACCUUGUCCGCUAUAUUUUUAGAGGACGGGGAAAAUUUAUUUCAGGAUUUUGGGAUUCCGUUUAGUAUUUCUUUUAUUUGUUUUUCUACGCGUUCGAAUUAUUUUUUUUAAAAGUUGCCUGACCUAACCGAGCCGUGUCCGACCUGGACACUAGCUCGGCCGACCCUUAUAAACCGAGGCCGAGGCCCCGCCCCAGCCCUAGUUGCCGCCGGCCCAAACCCUAACCCUAGCGCUGCCCCGCCGCCCACGCUACCGCCCCACCGCCGAUGCCGCCGCCCCGCGCGCCCACGCUGUCGUCGCCCUGCCCACCGAUCCCGCCCGCCGCCGCCGGAGACCCGUCGCCAGAGUGCCACCGCCGCCACCGACCCCGCUGUCAGUUUUCGCGAGAAAACUGUUCGGUUUUUUUAGGAAACCCCAGGUUGUUUCUUUAGAUCGGUUUUUCCCGGUUUAGUUAAAUAAGGGACGUUCGUCCGUGCGUUCAUUUUAACGAAUGAUGUUCAUUCGUUAGUCGCAGAUAGCGAACGUUCAUUCGUUAGCCUGUUCGUUAGUUUUCUUUUCCACGGUUUUCCGCGAUUAUUUUUUAUCGCGAUUUCUGCCCUGAUUUUCGUUUUAGUUUAUAUUUUCACUCUUUAUCAGAAUCAGGAGAUUCAAGCGCCUAGAUCUUUGUCUCGAAGCUCUCUUUCUGCUUAAAAAACUUGAACCACAUUUUGGUACUGUAAAAUUUGACUUUAGUUCAGAUUAGUAAAGGAUCUUGUUUCUUUCGCAGUUUGAGUUUCGUUGCUCCGUUUGAUUUGAUUCUUUUUGCAAACUGGAGUUCUUCAGUUGAACUUUCUGUUUAGAGCUCUUAUUUGAGUUUUACCCGCGCUUCUAGUUGAGUGCUUAUUGUGUGCUUUGUUUGUUUGCGAUAGAGUACCCGGAGUGCGAAGCGUGCUACUACGAAUCUCUAGGUUUUGCGGAUCAUCAGCAAGGCAAGUAACACUUUGAUCAUACCUCUUUACUACCCAGUUUUAUGGCAUUAGAUCAACCCUCAAACAUUGCAUGGUUAGGAUCUGAUUAGCAUGUGGGUUUUGGGAAGUAGAUGAUGAGGUAGAACCUUUUGCCCUAUUUAUUACCAAACCUUUGGGAGUUACUUUUACGUGAUGCUUAUUUUGCUACGCUAUGCUCGUAGAUGUGGUUUGGGUGAGUGUAUCCAUGACAGAUGUGAGUAUUGUUAAUUAAUGGUUAACUUAAGGUGGCUACUUAAAUACACAUCUAGGUGGAUUGCUUGAGGCACCCUGGAGUACCCAGUGGUUGUCAGGGCACCUGGAGAAUCCUGUGUUGUCCUAGGAUAACCCAGAGUACCCGUGUGAUCAUCCUACGGUUCACCACCUGGGCUCAAAGGGAUCAUAAGAUUAUUCGUGCUAGAAACUUCGGUGUGCAGCCACAAGCCAAUAUGGGAUCUGGCAUAGUUGAGUAAGUUGCGUGAAGCUCUUGAAGAGGUAGACUAGCAGAUGUAGUGGGUUGUAGGUGGUACUGUCUACCCAGAGUAGAGAGUUAAUGCUUCAGAAAGACUGUGUCUCGAAUCUUUGACCAUGGAUGUGUUUGAGUCUUUGUGGGGAAAAGUGCACAAACCUCUGCAGAUUGUACAAACUAAUCACGGUUAGACAUGUCCCCGGUUAUGGACAUCUUGAGUAUCUGGUUCUUGGAUUAUCAUGUUGAUCUCAUCACUCUAAAUGAAUUAGAUUGGGUUAAUGAUGAUGCUUAUUUGGGAUUGAGUUGGAGGAACCUUAUCAAUGUUUAACAACCACCAUGAUAGUUAAAUAAAAUUUAUUCCUUUGUUGUAGGGGGAAAUUGGCUUUAUGCAAAACCCGUAACCGUAGAGGUUUACACCAGCCAUAUAUGCAUGUAGUGAUAUCAUUCAUUCUGUUCAUUACUCUAUGUGUUACAUUGCCAGCAUAUUCCAUGUGCUGACCCGUUUCGGGCUGCAACAUUUCAUGUUGCAGACUUUUCAGAUGACGAGUAAGGUGCCAUAGGUCCUUGUCUUUAACUCAGCUAUGCCAUUGGAGUUGAUGGACUCACUUUAUCUUCCAAGCCUUCCGCUGUUAUCGUUUUUAGAUGGCCUUAAGCCAUAUUAUUGUAAUAAGUUCUCUUUUGAGACAUUCUAUGUAAUAAGUGUGUGAUUGAAACUCUGUUAUAAAUCCUCAAGCACUGUGCAUGUCAGCAUUACCGAUCUAGGGAUGACACUGAUGCACAGAGACUAGACUGUUUGAGGUCUGGUCACGACAAGAUGGUAUCAGAGCACACGCUGACUGUAGGACACGACCACUAAGCUAAAACCAUAGGCCACUCCCCUCUUCUCAUUUCUGACUUCUCUCCUCUUUUCUACUCUAUAGGAUGGCGGAUGUAAGGAACAAGUUUACACAACCGGAUGAAGACACCCCUUUUAGACGACACUUGAAGGAAGUUACUAGAUACCUGAACAUUGGAAUACCAAGCUUCACCAGGACCUACAUCGCCACUUUACCAGAAGAGGAGUGUUGGAUGAUUCGAGUUCAAGUUCAAGGAAGGACGUUCAUGCCAGUCACUGAGCCCAUAGAGUUUUCCUUUGAUGCACCAACCUGGAGUCUAGGAAAGAGCAUGGCAGCCCACAUCACCAUGGGACGCGUUGAAGAAGUUUACCAAGGACCUUAAGGAUACUAUCUACCAAAUUUGUGGGCGCCAAGAUGAGCAAUGGGAGAUGAUCAGCACUAGGAGGGAUAGGUCCAUUGCAGCUUUCAUCCAGGAGUUAAACCAGCACAUUUGUCGCCAGGAGAACAAGAUGUGCGCAGGCAUGAUAGAUCUAAAGAAGGCAAUGACCAGGAUCACGAAGCUGGAGGAAGAACUCAAAUAUACACGCGAUGGAUAUGAGGAGGAGAUGACGAUAGUCGUGGAGAAGAAUGACGAUUUGACGAGGAAGCUUGGAGUAUUGAUGGGAGACCCCACGCCAGGAGGAGAUGACGACGAUUCCAUUUGUUCGGAGGACUACACCAUCAUCGAUGACACCGACUCGGACCCCGACGAUAGUGAUGAUGACUAUGUUGAUGAAGCUGGAGCAGAUAUUAUGGAGUCUUCCACCGAUUAAAACUUCUAGACGACCACCAUAUCAGUAGUAGUAUUCCCCCCAUGUACAUAGUAUAGUCCGAGCACUUCUAUAACGAUAGUUAGAUCGAUUGUAUGCCUUGUUUGAAUUGAUUGAAGUGAUAUGAUUGUGUUUGUCUCAUGUGCAUAUGGGUAGUGUUUUCCCUCUAGACCUCAUUCUAUUAUGUUUUCUCAUCUUUUCUAAACCCAUCAGAUGCCUCCGAGACGUGACAAUGGAUUUUCUUUCCCAUCGGAGCUCACUCAGUUGAUCCAGCAGUAGAAUACCCUGAUGCAGUUACUAGUCCAGAAUCAGAACCAGGGGAACAACAACAACAAUAACAACCCACCACCACCACCACCUAUUGAUCACUUAGCCUAUUUUCUAAGGUUGAAUCCGCCGGUGUUCUGUAGUAGCAUCGAGCCGAUUGUUGCAGAUGAUUGGCUCCGCAAGAUUGGAAGGGAGUUGACCCCUGCAGGAUGCACAGAUGCGGAGAGAGUGCGCUUUGCCACACAUCAGCUUAAUGGACCCGCAGCAUCAUGGUGGGAGAAUUUCACAACCACUUACCCCAUCAACACUGUCACAUGGGACCAGUUUCAGCAUGCUUUUCGCAUUGCCCAUGUUUCGACAGGAGCUAUGGCCAUGAAGAAGCACGAGAUUUGCAACUUGCGCCAAGGAGGACGCUUAGUGGGCCAGUAUGUGGAUGAUUUUAGUAAGUUAGCACGUUAUGCCCCGGAUGACAUCGCUACAGAUGCCGCUAAGCAGGAGAAGUUUCUGAAAGGACUGAAUGAUGAGCUAAGCAUGCAGUUAACGGUGGCAACUUUCAACAACUACCAGGAGUUGGUAGAUAGAGCUCUCAUGAUUGAAGGGAAGCAGCAGCAGAUAGACAACCGCAAGAGGAAGUAUGGACAAGGGAAGUACAAUUCAGGAGCUCAGCAGAGGCCCCGUUUUACCCCGAAUUCAGGAGGACACAUUCACCAUAACCAUGGAGGCCACAAUUCCAAUGGAGAGAGUUCGCAUAACCAUAGUGGCCCCAAGAAUGGGAAUGGGAAUGGAGGAAGCAAUGGUCAGAACCGUUCCAACCCAGCAACGCCCACCAAGAAGGAUCUAAGUCACAAUACUUGUUUCAAGUGUGGGAAGAAUGGACAUUAUGCCACGGAGUGUUCUGAAGCAAAGAAUGGAAAUGGCACUGGAAGCUCUGGGAAGAAGCCCAACCCUUUCAACAGGGGACAAAGUGAACCACGUUAGCAUGGAGGAGGUUGAAGCGCAACCCGAUGCAGUUAUAGGUAAGUUUUUGGUUAAGUCAUUUACUGCAAUCGUUCUUUUUGAUACUGGUGCAUCGCAUUCAUACAUAUCAAGGGGAUUUGUGGAUAAGUAUAACCUGCCAACCAAAGCCCUUAGGUCACCCAUGUUAGUAACCUCGCCAGGAGCAGAGUAUAUGGCUAGCCUAUGGUGUGAUCGGUUACCAUUAAGGAUUGGUAACUGUGUUCCCCUCAGACCUAAUAGUAUUGGAUCACAAGGACUGGAUGUAAUAUUAGGCACGGAUUGGUUAUGGAAGUAUGGAGGGACCAUUCACUGCGCCAGUAAGUCGAUUUUGCUCACCACUCCGGAAGGAAGAAGGAUUAAGUAUGUAUCCCGGCAUGUGCCGAAGAGGUCUCAAGUGAAUUCCUUGUCAGGAGUUGUACAGGAGGAAGUACCAGUGGUAAAGGAUUUCCCUGAUGUAUUUCCAAAGGAGUUGCUAGGCAUGCCACCGGAUAGAGACAUUGAGUUUUUGAUUGAGCUUUUUCCAGGCACAGGGCCAAUAUCUAAGAGACCGUAUCGGAUGCCCGCAAAGGAUUUGGAAGAAAUUAAGAAGUUACUGGGUAAAGGCUAUAUCCUCCCAAGUUCGUCACCUUGGGGAUCACCAGUGCUUCUAGUGGAGAAGAAGGAUGGAUCGUUGAUGAUGGUUGUUGAUUAUCGUGGAUUGAAUGAAGUGACGGUCAAUAACAAGUACCCACUGCCAAUGAUCAAUGAUUUGUUUUACCAGUUGCAAGGAGCUAAAGUAUUUUCCAAGAUCGAUUUGCAAUCAGGAUACCAUUAGUUGAAGAUUCGAGAGCAGGAUAUACCUACAACAGCUUUUACCACAAGGUACGGGCUAUAUGAGUAUAUCGUUAUGUCAUUUGGUCUGACUAACGCGCCUGCAUGUUUCAUGAACAUAAUGAACAAGGUGUUUAUGGAGUUUUUGGAUAAGUUCGUCAUGGUGUUCAUUGAUGACAUAUUGGUCUACUCGAAGAUUGAAGAGUACCAUAAGGAGCAUUUGCGUUUGGUACUCGGGAAGCUCAGAGAACAUCAGUUAUAUGCCAAGUUCAGCAACUGUGAGUUUUGGUUGAAGGAAGUUGGAUUCCUCGGACAUGUUAUAUCCGGAGAAGGAAUAGCAGUAGACCCCACCAAGGUUGACACUGUGACAUAUUGGGAUUCACCCACGUCAGUUGGAGAGAUCCGGAGUUUUCUUGGACUCGCAGGAUACUACAGGAGGUUCAUUGAGAAUUUCUCUAAGAUUGCAAAGCCCAUGACGGAGUUGUUGAAGAAGGACACCAAGUUUAAAUGGAUUGAGGAAUGUGAGGCCAGUUUUCAGGAGUUGAAGAAACGUUUGGUUACAGCCCCAGUGUUGAUUCUUCCGGAUGAACGCAAGGAUUAUCAGGUGUAUUGCUACGCUUCCUGUCGAGGACUUGGAGCAGUGUUGAUGCAAGAGGGAAGAGUUGUUUCAUAUACAUCACGACAGCUUAAACCCCAUGAGUUGAAUUAUGCUACACAUGAUUUGGAGUUAGCAGCCGUAGUGCAUGCGUUGAAGACAUGGAGAGAUUUUCUCAUCGGAAAUUAUUGUGAGGUGUACACGGAUCACAAGAGUUUGAAGUAUAUCUUCACGCAGAAGGAGUUGAAUCUCAUGCAAAGGGAUGGUUGGAGCUUAUCAAGGAUUAUGAUAUGAAGUUACACUAUCAUCCCGGAAAGGCUAACGUAGUAGCCGAUGCGUUGAGUCGCAAGAGUCAUGUCAAUACACUCAUGAUCGGAGGAUUACCCAAGGAGUUAGCAGAGGAUCUUCGCGAGCUAUGUUUAUAGAUAGUUCCGAGAGGUUAUGUAGCAGUGUUGGAAAUCCAGUUUACAUUGAUGGAUAAGAUCAGAGAAGCUCAGAAGACUGACAAAGAGAUUGCCGAGAUAAAGGAAAGGAUGAGCAAAGGAAAGGCUAAAGGAUUUCGUGAGGAUGAGCAUGAUACCUUAUGGCUUGAGGACCGCGUAUACGUGCCUAAUGACCCCGAGAUCAGGAAGUUGAUUCUGCAGGAGGCCCAUGAUUCACCGUAUUCGAUUCACCCAGAAAACACCAAGAUGUAUCUGGAUUUGAAGGACAGAUUCUGGUGGACCAGAAUGAAGAAGGAUAUUGCUAAGUAUGUAGGAGUAUGUGAUGUAUGUCAGAGAGUAAAGGCAGAGCAUCAGAAGCUAGCAGGUUUGCUACAGCCAUUGCCAAUACCCAAAUGGAAGUGGGACAAGCUAGGCAUGGAUUUUGUAACGGGAUUGCCCAGGACUCGAUCAGGCUAUGACUCGAUAUGGGUUGUAGUCGAUCGUUUGACGAAGGUAGCUCAUUUCAUCCCAGUGAAGACCACUCACACCAGUGCUAAGUUGGCCAAGAUAUACAUGACCAGGAUCAUAUGUCUGCAUGGAGUUCCAAGGACCAUUGUAUCAGAUAGAGGAACCCAGUUUACCUCAAAGUUUUGGAAUCAGUUGCAUGAGACUUUAGGUACCAGACUAGAGUUCAGUACAACUUUUCAUCCACAGACAGAUGGACAGACCGAGAGAGUCAAUCAGAUUCUGGAGGACAUGUUGAGAGCUUGUGCGCUAGAUUAUGGAUCUAGUUGGGGCGAAAUUUUUCCAUAUGCAGAGUUCUCUUACAAUAACAGUUAUCAAGCCAGUUUGAAGAUGGCCCCUUUUGAAGCUUUGUAUGGAAGGAGGUGCAGGACACCAUUGUUAUGGGAUGAAGUUGGAGACCGUCAGUUGUUUGGACCAGAUUUGAUUAAGGAGUCUGAAGAGAAGGUUAAACUGAUUCGCGAUAGACUCAAGGUAGCCCAGUCCAGGCAGAAGAGCUAUGUGGAUUCUAAACGCAAGGAGACAGUUUACGAAGUCGGAGAUAGAUUGUAUCUUCGUGUGUCCCCACUUCUAGGAGUUAAGUGUUUUGGAGUUAAGGGAAAGUUAGCACCACGUUUUGUGGGACCAUACAAAGUUUUGGAACGUAUGGAAGAAGUUGCUUACAAGCUAGAAUUGCCAGAAGGAUUGUCAGGAGUUCACGAUGUGUUUCAUGUCUCGCAGUUGAAGAAGUGCCACGCAGAGAUGGCCGAUAUUCCUCUGAGAGAUACAGUGCCACUGGAAGCGAUUCAAUUGGAUAGCGAUUUGACCUACGAGGAGAAACCAGUGAAGAUUCUCGAGUUUGCCAGCCGAGUCACACGCAACAAGGUUAUCAAGUUCUGCAAAGUUCAGUGGAGCCACCAUACCAAGGAUGAAGCCACUUGGGAACGAGAGGAAGAACUACGGAAGGACCACCCGCACCUAUUUUCUAGCAAACCUGAAUCUCGAGGGCGAGACUCAUCUUAAGGGGGGUAGGUUUGUAACAUCCCAAAUUUCCAAUUUGGAAUGUUAUACAUUACAUCAUCAUUGCAUAUCAUAUUUUAUUGCAUUUUGGUUGAUCCUAGAAAUUCUAAGCAACUCAAGGACCCACGGAGAGAGUUGGGGGUUUCGUUAUUUUCAUAUUUGAGUUUUCUCAAAUUAUGAAAAGAGGAUCAUUUGGUUUUUAUUUUUUUUCUCUCAGAAUAUUUGCAACAUGAAAAUAAAGAGAGGGGAUAAAAUGACUUCUCCAAAAUAAACAAACAUUGGAGGAAAAAUAUUAAAAUCAAAUAAGAAUUUUAUUCGGAGUUUUGUUGCUAUUUUAUUUGAAUUAGGAAAAAAGUGCAUUUUUCAAAAUUGCAUUAGAGGCCCAAAUAAAUGUUCACUUUGUCCGCUAUAUUUUUAGAGGACGGGGAAAAUUUAUUUCAGGAUUUUUUGGAGUCUGUUUAGUAUUUCUUAUAUUUGUUUUUCUGCGCUUCUAAAUUAUUUAAAAAAAGAGUCAACCGACCUAACCGAACCGUGUCCGACCUAGAUACUAGCCCGGCCGGCCCUUAUAAGCUGAGGCCGAGGCCCCACCCUAGGCCAAGUCGCCGCCGCCCCAAACCCUAACUCUAGCGCCGCCCCACCGCCGACGACGCCGCCUCCCGCCGCGCCGCGUCGCCCGUCCGGCCGUCGCCCCGCGCCGGCGACCCCGCCCGCCGCCGCCGGAGCCACGCCACCGGAGUGCCACCGCCUCCACUGACCCCGGCGUAGACGAGGUAGCCACUGCCGCCGCUGGUUUUCGCGAGAAAACCGUUCAGUUUUUUUAGAAAACCCUAGGUUAUUUUUUUAGAUCGGUUUUUCCCGGUUUAGUUAAAUAGCGGAUGUUCGUCCGUACAUUCGUUUUAACGAAUGAUGUUCAUUCGUUAGUCGCAGACAGCGAAUGUUCGUUCGUUAUCCUAUUUGUCAGUUUUGUUUUUCCAGGGUUUUCCGCGAUUAUUUUCGAUCAUGAUUUCUGCCCUGAUUUUCAUUUUAGUUUAUCUUUUCGCUCAUUUAUCGAAAUCAGGCGAUUCGGGUGCCUAGAUCUUCGUCUCGAAGCCAUCUUUCUGCUUAAACAACUUGAACAAGAUUUUGGUACUGUGAAAUUUGACUUCAGUUCAGAUUAGUAAACGGAUCUUGUUUCUUUCGCAGUUUGAGUUUCGUUGCUCCGUUUGAUUUGGUUCUUUUUGCAAACCGGAGUUCUUCAGUUGAACUUUCUGGUUAGAGCUCUUAUUUGAGUUUUACCCGUGCUUCUAGUUGAGUGCUUAUUGUGUGCUUUGUUUGUUUGCGAUAGAGUACUCGGAGUGCGAAGCGUGCUACUACGAAUCUCUAGGUUUUGCGGAUCAUCAGCAAGGCAAGUAACACUUUGAUCAUACCUCUUUACUACCCAGUUUUAUGACAUUAGAUCAACCCUCAAACAUUGCAUGGUUAGGAUCUGAUUAACAUGUGGGUUUUGGGAAGUAGAUGAUGAGGUAGAACCUAUUGCCCUGUUUAUUACCAAACCUUUGGGAGUUACUUUUACGUGAUGCUUAUAGUGCUAUGCUAUACUCGUAGACGUGGUUGGGGUGAGUGUAUCCAUGACAGAUGUGAGUAUUGUUAAUUAAUGGCUACUUAAAUACACAUAUGGGUGGAUUGCUUGAGGCACCCUGGAGUACCCAGUGGUUGUCAGGGCACCUGGAGAAUCCAGUGUUGUCCUAGGAUAACCCGGAGUACCCGUGUGAUCAUCCUACGGUUCGCCUCCCAGGCUCAAAGGGAUCAUAAGAUUAUUCAUGCUAGAAACUUCCGUGUGACACCACAAGCCAAUAUGGGCUCUAGCAUAGUUGAGUAAGUUGCAUUAAGCUCUUGAAGAGGUAGACUAGCAGAUGUAGUGGGUUGUAGGUGGUACUGUCUACCCAGAGUAGAGAGUUAAUGCUUCAGAACGACUGUGUCUCAAAUCUCCGACCAUGGAUGUGUUCGAGUCUUGUGGGGAAAAGUGCGCAAACCUCUGUAGAGUGUACAAACUAAUCAUGGUUAGCCGUGUCCCCGGUUAUGGACGUCUUGAGUAUCUGGUUCUUGGAUUAUCAUGUUGAUCUCAUCACUUUAAAUGAAUUUGAUUGGGUUAAUGAUGAUGCUUAUUUGGGAUUGAGUUGGAGGAACCUUCUCAAUGUUUAAGAACCACCAUGAUAGUUAAAUAAAAUUUAUUCCUUUGUUGUAGGGAAAAAUUGGCUUUAUGCAGAACCCAUAAUCGUAGAGCUUUACACCAGCCAUAUAUGCAUGGAGUGAUAGCAUUUAUUCUGUUCAUUACUCUAUGUGUUACAUUGCCAGCAUAUUCCAUGUGCUGACCCGUUUCGGGCUGCAACAUUUCAUGUUGCAGACUUUUCAGACGACGAGUAAGGUGCCAUAGGUCGUUCUCUUUCACUCGGCUAUGCUGUUAGAGUUGAUGGACUCACUUUAUCUUCCAAGCCUUUCGUUGUUAUCGUUUUUAGAUGGCCUUAAGCCAUAUUAUUGUAAUAAGUUCUCUUUUGAGACAUUCUAUGUAAUAAGUGUGUGAUUGAAACUCUAUUAUAAAUCCUCAAGUACUAUGCGUGUCAGCAUUACCGAUAUAGGGAUGAGACUGAUGCACAGAGACUAUACUGUUUGAGGUCUGGUCACUACAACAUGGUAUCAGAGCACACGCUGACUGUAGGACACGACCGCUAAGCUAAAACCAUAGGUCACUCCUCUCUUCUCAUUUCUGACUUCUCUCCUCUUUUCUACUCUAUAGGAUGGCGGAUGGAAGGAACAAGUUUAUACAACCGGAUGAAGACACCCCUUUUGGACGACACAUGAAGGAAGUUACUAGAUACCUCAACAUUGGAAUACCAAACUUCACCAGGACCUACAUCGCCACUUUACCAGAAGAGGAGCAUUGGAUGAUUCGAGUUCACGUUCCAGGAAGGCCCACCACCUCUUUUGGUCAAUGGAACUGUUUUUACUUUGGAACAUGUCAAGCAAAGACUUGAAAUUAUUGAAAAUAAAGUUGCCACUGUUGAGUCAAUUGAAAAUUUGGAUAAAAAGAUCCACAUCCAAAUUACCCAAUAUGGAUCUAGGGUUGGAGUUACUUUGAUUUUUUUUAAAGAGAAAGAAUAUAUAGUUAACGAAAGACUAGAUCUAGAUUCUACAAGAAUCGGUAAACUUGAGGAUAUUAUUACCAACUUAGGGUAUGCCUUUUCAUCCAUGAAAAAUACUCCAACUCCUCCUACCAAAACUGCCAAACUUAUGUAUGUUCCUAAAAAUAAGGGUGAAUCUUCCAGUAAGGAAAAUGCGGAUCUCAAAUCAAUAAGUGUUCAUCCCAAUUGUCUCGCUUUGAUUAAGGAACCUUUUGAUACAAACGAAUCUCUUGAUUUCUUGUCGAGGAGUUUAAUCAUUAAGAAAGAAACUCCUAAGGGUUAUAAGUGCUCUAUUGAAGAGUUGAAUACCAAAGAUAGCUAUGCGUAGAUCUAUUCUUGCUUUUAUGCCUAGCUAGGGGCGUUAAACGAUAGCGCUUGUUGGGAGGCAACCCAAUUUUAUUUUUGUUCCUUGCUUUUUUUCCUGUUUAGUAAUAAAUAAAUCAUCUAGCCUCUGUUUAGAUGUGGUUUUAUAUUUUAAUUAGUGUUUGUGCCAAGUAGAACCUAUAGGAUCAUCUUGAGUGAUAGUUAAUUUGAUUCUGCUCAAAAACAGAAACUUUUGGGCGCACGAGAAUAAUUUUAAUAAAUCACAGAAACAUUAUUUUUAAUUGAUUAUUUUUGAAGUAGAUCAGUAGACAAAUUUCCUAGGACUUCCUAUUUUGGUAGUAUUUUUAGAGUUCCAUAAGUAUUCUAAAGUUACAGAUUUCUACAGACUGUUCUGUUUUUGACAGAUUCUGUUUUUCGUGUGUUGUUUGCUUAUUUUGAUGCAUCUAUGGCUAGUAUCGGGGGGUAUGAACCAUAGAGAAGUUAGAAUACAAUAGAUUUAACACCAAUAUAAAUAAAUAAUGAGUUCAUUACAGUACCUUAUGUGGUGGUUUUUUCUUUCUUGCACUAACGGAGCUUAUGAGAUUUCCUGUUGAGUUUUGUGUUGUGAAGUUUUCAAGUUUUGGGUAAAGCUUUGAUGGACUAUGGAAUAAGGAGUGGAAAGAGCCUAAGCUUGGGGAUGCCCAUGGAACCCCAAGAUAAUCCAAGGACAACCAAAAGCCUAAGCUUGGGGAUGCCCCAAAAGGCAUCCCCUCUUUCAUCUUCGUUUAUCGUUAACUUUACUUGGAACUAUAUUGUUAUUCACCACAUGAUAUGUGUUUUGCUUGGAGCGUCGUGUAUGAUAUGAGUCUUUGCUUUUUAGUUUACCACAAUCAUCCUUGAUGUACACACCUUUUGGGAGAGACACACGUGAUUUGGAAUUUAUUAGAAUACUCUAUGUGCUUCACUUAUAUCUUUUGAGCUAGGCAAUUUUGCUCUAUGUGCUUCACUUAUACUUUUUAGAGCACGACGGUGGCUUAAUUUUGUAGAAAUUAUUGAUCUCUCAUGCUUCACUUAUAUUAUUUUGAGAGUCUUUUAGAACAGCAUGGUAUUUGCUAUGGUUAUAAAAUUGGUGCUAGAAUGAUGGGCAUCCAAGUUGGGUAUAAUAAAAACUAUCAUAGGAAGUGAAUUGGAUGCUAUGAUCAAUUUGAUGCUUGGUAAUUGUUUUGAGAUAUAAAGGUGGUAAUAUUAGAGUCAUGCUAGUUGGGUAAUUAUGAAAUUGAGGAACACUUGUGUUGAAGUUGGCAAGUCUCGUAGCAUGCACGUAUGGUAAAAGUUGUGUAACAAAUUUAUUGCAUGGUGUGCUCUUUUGAUUGUCUUCCUUAUGUGUGGAGGUCGGGGCCGCGUGAUGGUUAACUCCUACCAACCUCCCCCCUAGGAGAAUGCAUAGUAGUACUUUGCUUCGAGGGCUAGUAAAACUUUUGCAAUAAAUAUAUGAGUUCUGUAUGACUAAUGUGAGUCCAUGGAUUAUACGCACUCUUACCCUUCCAUCAUUGCUAGCAUCUUUGACACCGUGCAUUGCCCUUUCUCACCUUGAGAGUUGGUGCAAACUUCGUCGGUGCAUCCAAACCCCGUGAUAUGAUACGCUCUAUCACACAUAAACCUCCUUAUAUCUUCCUCAAAACAGCCACCAUACCUACCUAUUAUGGCAUUUCCAUAGCCCUUCCGAGAUAUAUUGCCAUGCAACUUUCCACCCUUCCGUUUAUCAUGACACGCAUCAUCGUUGUCAUAUUGCCUUGCAUGAUCAUGUAGUUGACAUCGUAUUUGUGGCAAAGCCACCUUGCAUAAUUUUUUAUACAUGUCACUCUUGAUUCAUUGCCCAUCCCGGUACGCCGCCGGAGGCAUUCAUAUAGAGUCAUAUCUUGUUCUAGUUUUGAGUUGUAAUUUUUGAGUUGUAAAUAAAUAGAAGUGUGAUGAUCAUCAUUAUUAGAGCAUUGUCCCUUAUAAAAAAGAAAAAAAAAGAAAAGGCAAAAAAAGGCCAAUAAAAAAAAGAAAAAAAUAAAGGCCAAAAAAAGAAAGGCCAAUUAAAAAAGAAGAAAACAAAAAAGGGGACAAUGUUACUAUCCUUUUCCACACUUGUGCUUCAAAGUAGCACCAUGUUCUUCAUAUAGAGAGUCUCUUAUGUUCUCACUUUCAUAUACUAGUGGGAAUUUUUCAUUAUAGAACUUGGCUUGUAUGUUCCAACGAUGGGCUUCCUCAAAAUGCCCUAGGUCUUCGUGAGCAAGCAACUUGGAUGCACACCCACUUAGUUUCUUUUGUUGAGCUUUCAUACAUAGCUCUAGUGCGUCUGUUGCAUGGCAAUCCCUACUCCUCAUGUUGACAUCAAUUGAUGGGCAUCUCCAUAGCCCGUUGAUUAGCCUCGUCAAUGUGAGACUUUCUCUCUUUUUGUCUUCUCCACACAACCUCCAUCAUCAUAUUCUAUUCCACCCAUAGUGCUAUAUCCAUGGCUCACGCUCAUGUAUUGCAUGAGAGUUGAAAAAGCUGAAGCGCGUUAAAAAGGAUGAACCAAUUGCUUGGCUGAAACCGGGGUUGUGCAUGAUGGGAGUAUUUUGUGUGAUGAAAAUGAAACAUAGCCUAACUAUAUGAUUUUGUAGGGAUGAACUUUCUUUAGCCAUGUUAUUUUUAGAAGACAUGAUUGCUUAGUUAGUAUGCUUGAAGUAUUACUAUUUCUUAUGUCAAUAUGAACUUUUAUUUUGAAUCAUUUGGAUUUGAACAUUCAUGCCACAAUAAAGAAAAUCACAUUGAGAAAUAUGCUAGGUAGCAUUCCACAUAAAAAAUUCUGUUUUUAUCAUUUACCUACUCGGGGACGAGCAGGAAUUAAGCUUGGGGAUGCUUGAUAUGUCUCCAACGUAUCUAUAAUUUUUUAUUGUUCCAUGCUAUUAUAUUACCCGUUUUGGAUGUUUAUGGGCUUUACUUUACACUUUUAUAUCAUUUUUGGGACUAACCUAGUAACCGGAGGCUCAACCCGAAUUGCUGUUUUUUUCCUAUUUUAGUGUUUCGAACAAAAGGAAUAUCAAACGGAGUCCAAACGGAAUGAAACCUUCGGGAGCGAUCUUUUUGGAACAAAUGCAAUCCAGGAGACUUGGUGUGGAUGUCAAGAAGUAGCUGAGACGCCACGAGGCAGGAGGGGGCGCCCCCACCCUCGUGGGCCCCUCGUGGCUCCCCUGACCUAUCUCCUUCGCCUAUAUAUACCUCCAUACCCUGAAAACAUCCAGGAGCACCACGAAAAACUAUUUCCACUGUCGCAACCUUCUGUAUCCGCAAGAUCCCAUCUUGGAGCCUUCGACGGUGCUCCACCGGAGGGGGAAUCAACCACGGAGGGCUUCUACAUCAACACCAUAGCCUCUCCGAUGAGUUGUGAGUAGUUUAUCACAGACCUUUGGGUCCAUAGUUAUUAGCUAGAUGGUUUCUUCUCUGUCUUUGAAUCUCAAUACAAAGUUCUCCUCGAUCUUCUUGGAGAUCUAUUCGAUGUAACACUUUUUGCGGUGUGUUUGUCGAGAUCCUAUGAAUUGUGGGUUUUGUCUAUGAGAAAUAUUUGAAUCUCCUCUGAAUUAUUUUAUGUAUGAUUGGUUAUCUUUGCAAGUCUCUUAGAAUCAUCAGUUUGGUUUGGCCUACUAGAUUGAUCUUUCUUGCAAUGGGAGAAGUGCUUAGUUUUGGGUUCAAUCUUGCGGUGUCCUUUCCCAGUGACAGCAGGGGCAGCAAGGCACGUAUUGUAUUGUUGCCAUCGAGGAUAAAAAGAUGGGGUUUAUAUCAUAUUGCUUGAGUUUAUCCCUCUACAUCAUGUCAUCUUGCUUAAUGCGUUACUCUGUUCUUAUGAACUUAAAACUCUAGAUGCAGGCAGGAGUCGGUCGAUGUGUGGAGUAAUAGUAGUAGAUGCAGAAUCGUUUUGAUCUUCUUGUCACAGGCGUGGUUCCUAUAUACAAGAUAAUGCCUAGAUAUUCUCAUAACUAUGCACUAUUCUAUCAAUUGCUCGACAAUAAUUUGUUCACCCACCAUAAUACUUAUGCUAUCUUGAGAGAAGCCACUAGUGAAACCUAUGGCCCCCGGGUCUAUCUUUUAUCAUAUAAGUUUCCAAUCUACAUUUGUUUGUAUCUUUACUUUUCAAUAUAUAUUAUAAAAAUACCAAAAAUAUUUAUCUUAUCAUAUUAUCUCUAUCAGAUCUCACUUUUGCAAGUUACCAUGAAGGGAUUGACAACCCCUUUAUCGCGUCGGUUGCGAGGUUCUUGUUUGUUUGUGUAGGUACGAGGGACUUCUGUGGAGCCUCCUAUUGGAUUGAUACCUUGGUUCUCAAAAACUGAGGGAAAUAAUUAUGCUACUUUGCUGCAUCACCCUUUCCUCUUCAAGGGAAAACCAACGCAGUGCUCAAGAGGUAGCAGGCCCCACUCCGGAACCUUCUAGAACCUUCCCGGUACAACACAGAAAAAUCCCGAACAUUUUCCGGUGGUCAAAAUAGGAUUUCCCAUAUAUAAAUCUUUACCUACGGACCAUUCUGGAACUCCUAGUGACGUCCGGGAUCUCAUCUGAGACUCCGAACAACUUUCAGUGACCACAUACAAUUCCCAUUACAACUUUAGCGUCACCGAACCUUAAGUGUGUAGACCCUACGGGUUCGGGAACCAUGCAAACAUGACCGAGACACCUCUCCGGCCAAUAACCAAUAGUGCGAUAUGGAUACCCAUAUUGGCUCCCACAUGUUCCACGAUGAUCUCAUAGGAUGAACCACGAUGUCAGGGAUUCAAUCAAUCCCGUAUGCUAUUCCCUUUGUCCAUCGGUAUGUUACUUUCCCGAGAUUCGAUCAUCGGUAUCCCCAUGCCUUGUUCAAUCUCGUUACCGGCAAGUCUCUUUACUCGUUCCGUAACACAUGAUCCCAUGGCUAACUCCUUAGUCACAUUGAGCUCAUUAUGAUGAUGCAUUACCGAGUGGGCCCAGAGAUACCUAUCCAUCAUAUGGAGUGACAAAUCCCAGUAUCGAUUCGUGCCAACCCAACAGAGAAUUUCAGAGAUACCUGUAGUGCACCUUUAUAGUCACCCAGUUACGUUGUGACGUUCGAUACACCCAAAGCAUUCCCGCGGCAUAUGGGAGUUGAACAAUCUCAUGGUCUAAGGAAAUGAUACUUGACAUUAGAAAAGCUCUAGCAAACGAACUAAAUGAUCUUGUGAUAUGCUUAGGAUUGGGUCUUGUCCAUCACAUCAUUCUCCUAAUGAUGUGAUCCCGUUAUCAAUGACAUCUAAUGUCCAUGAUCAAGAAACCACAACCAUCUAUUGAUCAACGAGCUAGUCAACUAGAGGCUCACUAGGGACAUGUUGUGGUCUAUGUAUUCACACAUGUAUUACGGUUUCCGGUUAAUACAAUUAUAGCAUGAACAAUAGACAAUUAUCAUGAACAAGGAAAUAUAAUAAUAACCAUUUUAUUAUUGCCUCUAGGGCAUAUUUGGAACAACUGCAAGUUCUUGCGGUCGAGGUGAGCACUCCCAUGAAUGAGGAGGUGCCAUUGGUCCUUGUUGUAGAGCCUCAGGCUCCAACUUGGGUACGACACAUAGUCCAUUACCUUCAAACAAGAGAACUUCCUAAAGAGCAAGAAGAGGCUGAAAGAGUAGCCUAAUGGUCCAGUAUGUACCAGUUUGUCGAUGACACUCUGUAUAGUAGGUGGCCAAAUGGUGUGAAAUUAAAAUGCAUUUGCCGGGAAGUGGGGCUGGAACUACUAGCAGGAUACACAAGGGCGUGUGCGGCUCCCAUAUUGGAUCAAGAGCCUUGGUUGGGAAAGCUUUCCGACAAGGUUUCUACUGGCCCACGACCCUCCAAGAUGCGGUUCAGCUAGUCAUCAGAUGUGAAGCCUGCCAGUUCCACUCCAAGAACAUUCAUCAACCAGCUCAAGCUCUCCAGACGAUCCCUUUAUCCUGGCCAUUUUCGGUCUGGGGGCUUGACAUCCUGGGCCCCUUCCCCCGUGCUACCGGGGGCUUCAAAUUCUUGUACGUUGCAAUCGACAAGUUUACAAAGUGGUCGAGAGUGGAGCCAGUGAGGAAGGUAACCGCACAGUCAGCUAUCAAGUUCUUGAAAGGAUUGGUGUGCAGAUUUGGAGUGCCCGCCAGGAUAAUCACUGAUAAUGGCACCCAAUUCAUGAGCUGCGCUUUCAUGCAGUACGUCCAGAACCUUGGAAGCAAGGUCUCCUUUGCUUCUGUAGCUCAUCCCCGAAGCUACAGGCAAGUUGAGAGGAUGAACGCUGAAGUGAUGCGUGGGAGUAAGACAAGAACUUUUCACAGGCCGCAAAAGUGCGGCAGGCGCUAGAUCAAUGAGUUGUCAGUGGUUCUUUGGUCCCUCCAGACGACACCAAAUCGAGCCACCGACCAGACUCCCUUCUCCCUAGUGUAUGGGGCAGAAGCAGUGCUCCUCACUGAACUCAUAUAGUGGUCACCUCGAGUACUUGCCUAUGAUGAAGUAGCGCAAGAGCAGCUCCGGCAUGACGAUGCCGUGCUCCACGAGGAAGAUCGUCUCUGGGCCACUGUGUGUGUUGCAUGCUACUAGCAAGCCUUGCACCGCUAUCAUAGCCGCAUGAUUCACGCCCGGAGCCUUGAGGAAGGAAACCUUGUCCUUAGGCGUGUUCAAUCCGCCAAGGGUUCCAACAAGUUAAUGCCGAAGUGGGAAGGCCAUUACCGGGUAGUACGAGUCACCAGACCUGGCGCAGUCCAUCUGGAGACCGAAGAUGGCAUUAAAGUGCAAAAGUCAUGGAAUAUUGAGCAUCUUCGCAACUGCUACUCCUAAGGCGCGGUUGUCGGGCUCAGUUCCCGGCAUUCACCUUUUGUACAAGCCUUGCCGAUGUGCAUGUAACCCUUUGUACAAAGCCAGGCGCAGACCCUAUGCAAAGAUAAUUAAACGAAGUGCUGGCGCCUAAACUUGCAUGCAUGUUUAUUUCUAGCUUAGCUUUGCCAUUAUCAUUUAGAAAGGGUCGUAUCAUGCUAUUUUUACCCCUGUACUAACUAUAGGGCCCCUGCCGUGGAUACAAUCCCAUAGUGCAGAAGUGAAGACAAGCUUGCAUAUCGACCCCCGACAGCAUAAGGUAGAUAAGUUCUUUCUUUUGUCAUUCAUAAUAUACCACUGUGAGAAAAACUUGCGCGUAGAGAAACCUUGUCACCCUCCUACAUUUGUGCUCCCAUUCCUCCGAUUCAAAAGCCACUUUGAACAGGAUGGUCAUACCUACAUUUGGGAAUGAGGGUUGGGUAAGGGUCAGUUCUCUUCCACGCCCCUAGCCCGCCAAGUAGAGCCUUGCGGCAGGCAGUGGAAGAAACAGGCAAGAUGUCUUGUCGGGAAAUCUUGUUUACUUGAAAGUAUAAAGGAGAUGUUCCUUUGCAUGGACAUGACACAUGCACAAGUACACAAGAAGCCUGUCUUUUUCAUUAAUGCACAGAGAAACAAGUACAAACCUCACAGGGUGUAAAUAUGGAUGGAAAAGAUUACAUAUUUAAGACUAAAGUUUGGAAAGUGCCUACAUUUCUAAGAUUGUAUCACAUCCCCUAGUUCCGGUAGUGCACUAGGCUAGCUUCAUGUGUGCAUCAUGUUUAAAUUUCUGAAACCUGAACUGAGGAUUAUUGAAACCUCAAAAAUCUAGUUAAAAGAAGGGCAAAGAACCCUGGAAAAUGCAUUCAAUGUUUCCAACAUGGACCUAAAUAAUGUUGGUUAUAUUUUGGCAAAGGUUUUGCACCAAACAAAAAAUAAUGAACAUUUUGAGGAAUAUUUUGGGCACUGAAUUUAAAUUAUUGUUUUAUUUGCGUUUGGAAUUAUAUUCAUAAUAUGUAUAGAAUAUAUUUUCAAAUACCCUGGAACAUUUUAUGUGCUUUUGGAUUAGUACAUUCAGCAACAUAAAAAUACCCAGAGGAUAUUUGGCACUGUUUAGAAUCUGUUUUUGAAUUUAAAUAGUGGCAAAGUUUAAAACAAACAAACAAAAAAACAGAAAACAAAUAAGAAAAGAAGAAGGAACGGUUUACCUAGACUUACCUGCAGCCCACCUGGCCCAGCACUACGGCUGAGGCCCAGCCUAACUCCCCACCGUCUUCAACCUCUGCCAGUAGGCAUAGGCGUGUCAACGCGCGCGCGCCCGAGCUCCACCUCCUGCUCCCCCCUCACCCUGUUCUCGCACCUGGGAAACGGCCAGCACACCCCCUCGACCCUCUCCCGCUUCCCCAGUGCCUCUCCCCCACCUCUGCUCUUCCCCCACAGCACCACCGUGCGCAGUCGACACCGCCGCUCGCCAUUGCCACGCCCAGAGCCACUGUCUCACCUCUCUGAUGAGGACAUCAAUACCAUUGUUACACCCACAACUCCUACUGCUACAUAUACUGGACCAAUUACUAGAGCUCGCACAUCCCAAUUAAAUUAUCAGGUACUUUCGUUUCUUGGUAAUGAUUCUAAUGUUCAUGAGAAUAUGAUGCUGCCUAAAUUGGAUACAUUUGUUUUGCUUACAAAUGAAGGGCCCGACAUGGAGAAGAGGGAUGAACACUGGAGCAAGACCAAGCAUGGAGAUGACGGCAUGCGCAAGGGAAAUAAGAACAAAGUCACAAGUGAUGAUUUCAGGACUUUGAAGCCACCAUAAUGAGUGCAUGAAGUCUUGGACGAAAUAUACAAGAUGCCACUUCAUAAAUUUCGUCUGGAGGCUAUUCUAGGUGCUGCGUCACCUUAUUAUUGGGCCAGGCCCAUCUAAUUUCGAAAUACAUAAGUAUAGGCUAUUUUUAGAGUCCAUAUGUGUGGGGAAACAAGAGAUAGGGUUGGUUUCGGACCCCUCCCCCAAGGGCCACAAAUCCCCCCUCACCUCUUCCUCCAUAUAUACAGCCCUUAGGGCACUGUGUAGACUUUGGGUUUUGUUUAGAUUAAAAGUUCACCAUAGCUACAACUUCGCGUACUUUGUUUGUGUUCAACGAUCAGACAAAGGUGUCUCAGAACCCCACCUUCAUUAAUAAAGCUCUCCUCUUAUAUUUUCAAUAUCCAGAUUGCAAUCUCAAUUUCUUGCUUGUUCUUUGUUUGCUCGCAGGAAAACAGACCCUCGUGGUCAGGUUGAUCAUGCUCCGGCAUGGUCAAUAACCCUCGGAAGUUGGUUUAGCGAUUGCUAAGGCGCGACGUCUCGCACGUUCAUAGUCAGAUGGUAAGGUCGACUUCCACAGAAAACGAUAGCCACCAUCUCAUCGAAAGACGGGACACGUUUGACUCUAUCAAGUGGUAUCAUAUUUUCAGGUUGCUCGGUGAGAUUUUACAGUUUUUUGUAGUUUAGAUCGAGUCUAUUAUCAUACUACAGUCCAUGAAAAAGCCACAAAAAAAUUAGGGUUAGUUCAUCCUAUCUGAACCAGUCUGAGCCAUUGCAUAUUCUAUUCAGUCUUUUGCUUUGUUGAAUUUGCGGUUGCAUCGUCGUGUCGAGUUGCUGGUCUUAGUGUCUAGUCCUUUAGAGUUUCAAGUUCUGUUCACAAGUUGUCACACCGCCGCCGUAUCAUCAUCAUCACCGCUGCCAUAUACCACCAUCAUCGUCACCGCUUCCAUAUACCACCAUCGUCUUCACCGCUGCCAUAUAUCACCAUCGUCAUCACCGCUGCCAUAUACCACCAUCAGCAUCACCGCUGCCAUAUAGCGCAUAUUCAUCGCCAUCACGAUAAUCCGAGUCCAUCUCCAUCAGAGAUUUGCCACUAGUCUAUGUUCCAUCGCCCUACAUAUAUCCGCCACAAGUCCGAGUUUCCACCAGAUUCAUCUCCGCCACCAGUCCUACUCCGAGUCCAGUAUUUGUUGGUUUGUUUUUGAUUUCCAGAUCACGCCAUACUCCAAGUCAUGACCAAGUCGGACUUCCCAACAUCAGUGCCACCCGUACAAGAAACAUAGUUCCAGUUUCAAAAAAAAACUAAGUCUGGAAAAUUCUGGCUAGGCAGUUUUAGACCAUUUGUAGACAUUUUCGAAAAAAAAUUGUUGCGGAGCAAAAAAAAGAGGAAAAAAAGUGCAAAAAAAGUGAAAAAAAAGAGAAAAAAAUACAGAGUGUGCUCCUCCCUUGAUUACGUGCCGCGUCGUGAUUUUGUUAGUGUUUUAGGCUCGCGUCUCUAGCACGGUCUAGCCUAGGACCAGCACAGUACCGUCGUUGAGCAUUUAUUCAAUUUUGCAUAUCCGAAUUGAUUAUUGCUAACCCUUUUUGCUACCAUAUUAUAAGCAUUCCCAGCUCCACAUACAUCUAGGUCGUGCAUUUGACUCUCCCUGGCAAUCGCUCUAUCCAAACUUUGAGAGUUUUGACUACAACGGUUCCCGAUCACCAGAUGCUGCUGGGUAAGAACUGGUAAGAAUUUGAGAUUCGCUUGAAGGAUUUGUGACACACCACUCUCACCACCAUUUCCUAGUAGUCUAUAGGAUCAUAUUAUUUUGUGUUUCUAUUGCUGCUAACCAUGGCAGGAUCACAAGACGAUGAGACUGAUCGGGAGAACAUGACGAACAAACAACUACAUGAUAAAUUUCAGCAAAUGAUGAGUGGACAGGUGCAAGAUGUGCUAAACAGAUUUGAAGAGGCCAUGGAGAAGAUAGAUGGCAUUGAGAAGAUGUUCAAAACAAAGCUCGAUAACAAGUUUAAUGAAUUUCUCACGCGUCUUCCACAACCACCGCCGGCUGCCCUAUCGCACCUCUACAACAACAACAACUACAAUGGCACCCAAAUCAUGUGGGACGAGCACAACGCGUUCCAAUUGAGCUUGCUAAAAAUUCUGGUGCUGCUGUACCUAUUGUUGAUGCUUCUGUGGCUCCUGCUACUGCUGCUGCUGGUACCCAGGAGGAUGAUGAUCAUGCAAGUGAUUAUGAGGAUGAGGUUGAUCAAAAUUAGAACUACGUGCAGCCACCAGCACCACCACCAGCAGGUCGACCUCAGGUAUAUAAUCGCAAUGGUAGGCCUGCACCACCACCUCAGGUACGAGAUGAUGACAAUGUUCCUAAACUAAAAUUGAAUAUUCCACCAUUUGAGGGUAGAUAUGUUCCUGAUAUAUAUCUUACUUGGGAGUUAGAAACUGAACAACGUUUUACAUGUUUACAAUAUCCCGAGGAGUGACGCGUUGUUGCUGCUGUUUGUGCUUUCACUAGUUUUGCAUGUGUAUGGUGGUCUGAACAUUGUAGAUUAUAUCCUAUUCUAGCUACUUGGGUUGCUUUGAAAACUGCUAUGCGUACUCGUUGGGUUCCACUAUAUUUAUCAACGUGAAUUGCUUCAAAAAUUGCAGCAUUUAAGACAAGGAAAAAAUUAUGUAGAAGAAUAUUAUCAGGAAUUUCAAACUGGCAUGAUUAGAUGUGGUAUUGUUGAGGAGAAUGAAGCUAUGCUUGCACGUUUUAUGGGUGGAUUAAAAAGAGAGAUUCAGACCAUUCUAGAGUAUAAGGAGUAUACUAAUAUCACUCGUUUAUGCCAUCUUGCUUGUAAAGCUAAACGUGAAGUGCAGGAUCGACAAGCAUUGGCGCGAACUAACUUUUCUGCAGGUCAACCUUCAUCAUGGACACCGCGUGCAUCCUCUACUUCCACUGCACCAGCACCUCCCUCGGCUGCCACCUCCAGCUUUGAUACAAGAAAGCAGGCACAACCACCACUAUCUGCCAAGAGCACACCGGUCGGGCCUGCACAGAGCUCUUCUUCUUCCAUGGCAUCAACAGGGCACACAAGAUAUUAUUUGUCUUCGUUGUAAGGGAAGAGGACAUUAUGCGCGAGAAUGUAAAUCUCAGGCUGUGAUGAUUGCUACUGAGGAUGGUGGGUAUGAAUCCGCUAGUGACUAUGAUGAGGAGACUUUGGCUCUUAUUACACAUGAAGAACACGGUGGAGAUGAUUCUGAUCAUGAGACGCAAUACAUGGCUCCUGAAGACGCUGACAGGUAUGAAUGUUUAGUUGCUCAACGUGUUUUGAGUGUGCAGGUCACACAAGCUGAGCAAAAUCAGAGGCAUAAUUUGUUCCAUACAAAGGGAUAGUGAAGGAACGUUCUGUGCGCGUCAUCAUAGAUGGAGGGAGCUGCAACAACUUGGCUAGCAUGGAGAUGGUGGAGAAGCUAUCUCUCACCACAAGACCACAUCCACAUCAUUACUACAUCCAAUUGUUCAACAACAGUGGCAAGGUUAUGGUAACACGUACUGUUCGUGUGCAUUGUAGUAUCUCUACAUAUGUUGAUUAUGUUGAUUGUCAUGUGGUACCUAUGCAAGCAUGUUCCUUAUUACUUGGUCGACCAUGGCAAUUUGAUAAAAAUUCUAUACACCAUGGUAGAAACAAUCAGUAUACUCUUGUUCAUAAUGAUAAAAAUAUUACUUUGCUUCCUAUGACUCCUGAUUCCAUUUUGAAAGAUGAUAUUAAUAGAGGUAAUAAAGCAAAACAAGAGAAGAAUAAGAGUGAAAAUCAGAUUAUGGCAAAAUAAUUUGAGCAACAAAUGAAGCCUAAUAAUAAACCAUCUAGUGUUGCUUCUGAAAUUAAAUUGAAAAGUGCAUGUUUAUUUGCCACCAAAUCUGAUAUUGAUGAGUUAGAUUUCAGUAAAUCUGUUUGCUAUGCUUUUGUGUGCAAAGAUGCAUUAUUUUCAUUCGAGGACAUGCCUUCCUCGUUGGCUCCUGCUGUCACUAACAUUUUGAAGGAGUUCCCUGACGUCUUUCCACAAGACGUGCCACCGGGAUUACUGCCUAAUCGAGGGAUUGAGCAUCAGAUUGACUUAAUUCCCGGUGAUUCACUGCCAAACCGUGCACCAUACCGUACCAAUCCAGAGGAGACGAAGGAGAUUAUGCAUCAAGUACAUGAGCUUCUCGACAAAGGUUAUAUACGCGAAUCCCUUAGUCCUUGUGCUGUUCCUAUUAUUCUAGUGCCGAAAAAGGAUGGUACAUCACGUAUGUGUGUUGAUUGUAGAGGCAUUAAUAAUAUUACUAUUUGUUAUCGUCAUCCUAUUCCUAGGCUAGAUGAUAUGCUUGAUGAAUUGAGUGGCUCUACAGUAUUCUCCAAAGUUGAUUUGCGUAGUGGAUACCAUGAAAUUCGUAUGAAAUUGGGGGAUGAACGGAAAACAACAUUUAAAACUAAGUUUGGAUUAUAUGAGUGGUUAGUAAUUCCUUUUGGGCUAACUAAUGCACCUAGUACUUUCAUGAGCUUAAUGAACGAAGUUUUACGUGCUUUCAUCUCAUGAUUUGUGGUAGUCUAUUUUGAUGAUAUACUGAUUUAUAGCAGAUCUUUGGAGGAACAUUUGGAACAUUUACGUGCUUUUUUAUUGCUCUAUGUGAUGCACGUUUGUUUGGUAACCUUGGGAAGUGCACAUUUUGCACCGACCGAGUAUCUUUUCUUGGCUAUGUUGUUACUCCACAGGGAAUUGAAGUUGACAAAUCCAAAAUUCAAGCUAUUGAGAGUUGGCCACAGCCCAAAAUGGUCACACAAGUGAGGAGUUUUCUUGGCCUCGCUGGAUUUUAUAGGCAUUUUGUGAGAGAUUUCAGCACCAUUGCUGCACCUCUCAAUGAGCUUACAAAGAUAGAUGUGCCUUUUGUUUGGGGUACCACACAGGAAGAAGCCUUCACGAUAUUGAAAGACAAGUUGACACAUGCUCCUUUACUCCAACUUCCUGAUUUUAAUAAGAGUUUUGAGCUUGAAUGUGAUGCUAAUGGAAUUCGAUUAGGAGGUGUGUUAUUACAAGAUGGCAAACCUGUUGCAUACUUUUCUGAAAAAUUGAGUGGGCCCUGUCUGAACUAUUCUACUUAUGAUAAAGAAUUAUAUGCUCUUGUUCACACUUUAGAAACAUGGCAACAUUAUUUAUGGCCCAAAGAAUUUGUUAUACAUUCUGAUCAUAAAUCUUUGAAACACAUUAAAAGUCAAGAAAAACUGAACUGUAGACAUGCUAAAUGGGUUGAAUUCAUUGAGACUUUCCCUAUGUCAUUAAACACAAGAAGGGUAAAGAAAAUGUUAUUGCUGAUGCAUUGUCUCGUCGUUAUACUAUGCUUUCACAACUUGACUUUAAAAUAUUUGGUUUGAAGACCAUCAAAGAUCAAUAUGUGCAUGAUGCUGAAUUUAAAGAUGUAUUGCAGAAUUGUAAAGAAGGGAGAACAUGGAACAAGUUCGUCGUUAACGAUGGAUUUGUGUUUCGUGCUAACAAGCUAUGCAUUCCAGCUAGCUCCGUUCGUCUUUUGUUGUUGCAGGAGGCGCAUGGAGGAGGAUUAAUGGGACACUUUGGCGUGAAGAAGAUGGAGGAUAUACUUUCUACUCAUUUCUUUUGGCCAAAGUUGAGACGGGAUGUUGAGCGUUUUGUUGCUCGCUGCACUACAUGUCAAAAAGCUAAGUCACAACUCAAUCCUCAUGGUUUAUAUAUGCCUUUGCCUGUACCUAGUGUUCCUUGGGAGGAUAUAUCUAUGGACUUUGUUUUAGGUUUACCUCGAACAAAGAAGGGGAUGGAUAGCAUAUUUGUUGUCAUGGAUAGAUUCUCGAAAAUGGCACACUUUAUACCAUGUCAUAAAAGCGAUGAUGCUGUUAAUGUUGCUGAUUUGUUCUUUCGUGAAAUUAUUCGCUUGCAUGGUGUGCCAAAUACUAUUGUUUUAGAUCGUGAUACUAAAUUUCUUAGCCACUUUUGGAGAUGUUUAUGGGCUAAGUUGGGGACUAAACUUCUUUUUAGUACUACUUGUCACCCCCAAACUAAUGGACAAACUGAAGUAGUCAAUAGAACAUUGUCUACUAUGCUUAGGGCUGUUUUGAAGAAUAAUAAGAAAAUGUGGGAAGAAUGCUUGCCUCAUAUUGAAUUUGCUUAUAAUUGUUCAUUGCAUUCUACUACUAAGAUGUGCCCUUUUGAAAUUGUGUAUGGUUUUCUACCGCGUGCACCUAUUGAUUUGUUGCCUCUUCCAUCUUCGGAGAAGGUUAAUUUUGAUGCUAAACAACAUGCUGAAUUGAUCUUAAAACUGCAUGUGUUAACUAAGGAAAACAUAGAGUGUAUGCAUGCUAAAUAUAAACUUGCUGGAGAUAAGGGUAGAAAACAUGUUGUCUUUGCACCUCGAGAUAUUGUUUGGUUACAUUUGCGUAAUGAUAGGUUUCCUAAUUUAUGCAAAUCAAAGCUAAUGCCACGUGUUGAUGGUCCUUUUAAGGAGUUAGAGAAAAUAAAUGAUAAUGCAUAUAAACUUGAGAUGCCUGCAGAUUGUGGGGCUAGUCCCACUUUUAACAUUGCAGAUUUGAAGCCUUAUUUGGGUGAGGAAGAUGAGCUUCCAUCAAGGACAACUUCAUUUCAAGAAGGGGAGGAUGCGCAUGCCAAUUAAAUUAUCAGGUACUUUCGUUUCUUGGUAAUGACUCUAAUGUCCAAGAGAAUAUGAUGCUGCCUAAAUUGGAUACAUUUGUUUUGCUUACAAAUGAAGGGCCCGACAUGGAGAAUAGGGAUGAAAGCUGGAGCAAGACCAAGCAUGGAGAUGAUGGCAUGCGCAAGGGAAACAAGAACGGAGUCACAAGUGAUGAUUUCAGGACUUUGAAGCCACCGUAAUUAGUGCAUGAAGCCUUGGACGAAAUAUACAAGAUGCCACUUCAUAAAUUUCGUCUAGAGGCUAUUCUAGGUGCUGCGUCACCUUAUUAUUGGGCCAGGCCCAUGUAAUUUCGAAAUACAUAAGUAUAGGCUAUUUUUAGAGUCCGUAUGUGUGGGGAAACAAGAGAUAGAGUUGGUUUCGGGCCCCUCCCCCAAGGGCCACGAAAUUCCCGCCCUCUUCCUCCAUAUAUACAACCCUUAGGGCACCGUUUAAACUUUGGGUUUUGUCUAGAUUAAAAGUUCGCCAUAGCUGCAACUUCGCGUACUUCGUUUGUGUUCAACGACCAGACAAAGGCGUCUCAGAACCCCACCUUCAUUAAUAAAGCUUUCCUCUUAUAUUCGCAAUAUCCAGAUUGCAAUCUCUGUUUCUUGCUUGUUCUUCGUUUGCUCGCAGGAAAACAGACCCUCGUGGUCAGGUUGAUCGUGCUCCGGCGUGGUCAAUAACCCCUUGGAAGUUGGUUUAGCGAUUGCUAAGGCGCGACGUCUCACAUGUUUGUAGUCAGAUCGUCAAGAUCGACUCCCACAGAAAACGAUAGCCACCAUCUCAUCGAAAGACGGGACACCUUUGCCUCUAUCACUCUCCGUCCCGUCGCCCUACGUCUCCCCGACGAGCCGCACGAUGCCGGAUGCCCUGCAUCACCGGCUACCUCGCCUUCUUCCUCCUCUGCCACUGAGAUCGCCAUCAACGCCCCGUCGCCGUCCGUCCAUCCCCGAGCUUGCCGACGACACCAUCAAGAUCGCCGUGACCUCCACUCCAUUUCCCCUCCUUCGUUUUGCUCAUUCACGUGUCGUAGCACCCACACCCACAUGCCCGAGCAUCAACAUCCGCCAUGGCCUCCUAGCUCUCUUGACCCGAGCCCUUCUGCUCGAACCCGUCGCACUGACGUGCUUCUGGUGGCCCGUGGAUGCCACCUAGCCCAUCAGCUCCUCCCCUAGCGCACAGCAGCCUUGUUCCUGAGUGCGCCCAAACUCCGGCCGCCGCCUCGCUCGCCACCGCCGACGCCACAACUCAUCACAGCUCCUCUCGCCUGCUCCUCUCGAUGCGCGCGAACCCGAGGAACCCGUAGAAACAAACGGCGAGGCAAAUGGUUGCCCGUAGCACGAUUCCCAUGAACUUCCAUCAUCGGAUGUGCUCGCCGGUGUCCAAUUCCGGUGAGGUGACGUGGAGUCAUUAGCCUAAAGCUAAUUACUACAUUAAUCUUGCCAUGUGUCACUGACAGACCGGCCUCACCACCCUAAUUAACCACGGGGUAAACCCUGUUUAGCUUUAACUUAAUCACAGCGGACCCCACACAUCAGCAUUGAUCAUGCUGACGUGGCAUUUGACUGGGCCCACAUGUCUGUGACCCUAGCCAUCACUGUGAAACUGACCAGUGGGACCCACUGGUCAGGUUUGACCUGGAACAGCCACUAUUGACUUGCUGACGUCAUGCCAUUGUCAUGCUGAUGCAAUAAAGCUUUUCUGGCGUUUAAUUAAUUCAGGAAAUUCUAGAAAAUUCCCAAAACUUCUAAAAUUCAUAUAAAUUCAACCAUAACUCCAAAUGCAAAGAUUUAUAUAUGAAAAAUGAUCAGAAAAAUCCAAUCUAUCAAUCUGUACUAGUUUCAUGCAUGUUUAAAUAACUUGACAUUGCUGUUUAGAUCAAAACAUGAUAAUGCACUAUUUGAAUUCAUAGUUUGAGUUUGGAGUUGAACCUUUGGUUCAAAAUGACUCAAACCACCCUAGUUAUAGUUGCAUUAGGCCAACACACUCAUAUUACCAUGUCAUGAUCAUGCAUGAUACUGUGCAUUGCAUUGAUUGUGUUUCCUUCUCUAUUGCCGGUAUUUGUCCCCUCUCGAUAGAUGUGGUUUCGACGAUGAGUUCGGUGACAUCGAUGAAGAGCUUUAUAACCUUCAGAAGUGCCAGGCAAGGAAAAUCCCCUUGUUCAUUCCGAUACAAUCCCACUCUCUCGCUCCUGCUCUCUUUUAUUGCAUUAGGACAAUAACGGUUCAUCUGUUACAUGCUGUAGUAGUUGAACCCCUUUCCUCUGCAUGACCUGUCAUUGCCACAGUAAAUAGAUGAAACCCACUAGCAUGAGUAGGAGUUUUUUAGAGACGUAUGUGGAAACCUCGGCCGGACUCCCUGCGGAUGGAACCAGAAUAGGCUAUAAACCUGGACUAGAGACUUUUGUGGUUAGUCAGGUCAUGGUCUACACCCACGUCGGCUUUCGCUUGAAGUCUGCCGAGCACAUGUCGUGUGCAGACACUAAGUGGUGGAAACAUGGGUGAAGAAGUACACCCCUGCAGGGUUAUAAAUGAUCUAUUCGAAUAGCCGCGUCCGCGGUAAAGGACCUCUGGGUUGCCUAUACAUUUCAUAGAUAAGUGAAAGUGGAUACUCUAAAAUGCGCAAGAUAAGCAUGAGUGCUAUGGAUGGCGUUCUAGUAGGAAGACGGGAGCAGAUCCUAGUGGUGUAUUGAUAUGGUGAAUAUGUGGACUCGUGUGCACCACCUCAAGUGUCGCUUGCAGUCGUAGUUCAGGAUAGCCACCGAGUCAAAGCUGGCUUGCUACAGUUAAACUCCACCACCCCCUUUGUUGAUAAUGAAGCAUAUGUAGUUAGUUCUGAUGUAAGUCUUGCUGGGUACAUUUGUACUCACGUUUGCUUAAUUUAUGUUUUUGCAAAGAGACUUUAGUCUCACUAGUAGUUCCACGUGGACUUCGACGUUUAGCUUGUUACCUCAGCUACGAUCUUGUGCCCUCGGCGAGAUCUGGUAGAUAGUCAGGCUUCUCAGCCUUUUCCAUUUGUAGAUGUUUGUACUCAGACAUGAUAAGCUUUCGCAUGUGCUUUGACUUGUAUGCUCUGAAUGAUGGAUCAUGAGACCCAUGUUUGUAAUAUCUCGCUUCUCGAAGCCUAUUGAAUAAAUACUUUGUGUUAUAGAGUUAUGUUGUGAUGCCAUGUUGUAUUUGCACAUAUUGAGCAUAUUGUGUGUAUGAUUUGAAAUGCUUGGUAUGUGUGGGAUCUGACAACCUAAUUGUUCAUCCUUGGUAGCCUCUCUUACCGGGAAAUGUCUCCUAGUGCUUCCACUGAGCCACAGUAGCUUGCUACUACUCCGGAACACUUAGGCUGGCAGGCAUGUGUCCUUCUUCGUUCCUGUGUCUAUCCCUUUGAGGAAAUGUCACACGUUGUUCCUUUAAGUCCAUGUAGCGGUUCAUAUGUUGUUGAUUGACAUGUUCGUUGUUGGGUCAUGUAUGCCUGUCCCUGUAAGUUAGCGCCACUUUGGGUCCACGACUAGUCAUGUCAGCCUAAGUUCUUUGUCAUAUGGAUGCUAGCGCACUAUCAUAUACGUGAGCCAAAAGGCGCAAACGGUCCCGGGCCAGGUAAGAUGGCACCCGUGCGAAUACCGUGCGUGAGGCCACAAAGUGAUAUAGUGUGUUACAUGCUAGAUCUGCAUGACUUAGGAUCAGGGUCCUGUCAGCUUUGGUAUCAGAGCCUAACUGCCUGUAGGAUUACCAAGCCAAAUUGGUCGAAAUUGAUCUAGAAACUCUUUAGUUAUAUAAGGGAAUUGAUUGUGGAUGGGAACGUAAGGCUCUUUUUACUCCUUAUACCUUAUGCCCUUCUGAUCCGAGUCAUCUUAUCUUUCCUACGAGGUUAAGUGAUGACCCACAAGUGUAGGGUAUCUAUCGUAGUCCUUUCGAUAAGUAAGAGUGUCGAACCCAACGAGGAGCAGAAGGAAAUGACGAGCGGUUUUCAGUAAGGUAUUCUCUGCAAGCACUGAAAUAGUCGGUAACAGAUAGUUUUGUGAUAAGAUAAUUUGUAACGGGUAACAAGCAAUAGAAGUAAAUAAGGUGAAGCAAGGUGGCCCAAUCCUUUUUGUAGCAAAGGACAAUCCUGGACAAAUUCUUAUAUAGAGAAAACCGCCCCGAGGACACAUGGGAUUUAUUGUCAAGCUAGUUUUCAUCACGCUCAUAUGAUUCACGUUCGUUACUUUGAUAAUUUGAUAUGUGGGUGAACCGGUGCUUGGGUACUGCCCUUUCUUGGACAAACAUCCCACUUAUGAUUAACCCCUAUUGCAAGCAUCCGCAACUACAAAAGAAGUAUUAAGGUAAACCUAACCAUAGCAUGAAACAUAUGGAUGCAAAUCAGCCCCUUAUGAAGCAACUCACAAACUAGAGUUUAAGCUUCUAUCACUCUAGCAACCCAUCAUCUACUUAUUACUUCCCAAUGCCUUCCUCUAGGCCCAAAUAAUGGUGAAGUGUCAUGUAGUCGACGUUCACAUAACACCACUAGAGGAGAGACAACAUACAUGUCAUCAAAAUAUCAAACGAAUACCAAAUUCGCAUGACUACUAUUAGCAAGACUUCACCCAUGUCCUCAGGAACAAACGUAGCUACUCACAAAGCAUAUUCAUGUUCAUGAUCAGAGGGGUAUUACUAUGCAUUAAGGAUCUGAACAAAUAAACUUCCACCGGAUAAACCAACUAGCAUCAACUACAAGGAGUAAUCAACACUACUAGCAACCCACAGGUACCAAUCUGAGGUUUUGGUACAAAGAUUGGAUACAAGAGAUGAACUAGGGCUUGAGAGGAGAUGGUGUUGGUGAAGAUGUUGAUGGAUAUUGACCCCCUCCCGAUGAGAGGAUCAUUGGUGAUGACGAUGGUGAUGAUUUCCCCCUCCCUGAGGGAAGUUUCCCCGGCAGAACAGCUCCGCCGGAGCCCUAGAUUGGUUUCUCCAAGGUUUCGCCUCGUGGUGGCGGAGUUUCGUCCCGUAAGCUUGCUUAUGAUUUUUUUCCAGGGUAAAAGACUUCAUAUAGCAGAAGAUGGGCACCUGAGGGCUGCCAGGUGGCCCACGAGGCAGGGGGGCGUGCCCAGGGGGUAGGGCGCGCCCCCACCCUCGUGGGUGGUGGGUGGCCCCCCUCGGGUAUUUCUUUCGCUCAAUAUUUUUUAUUAAUUCUCAGAAUGACUUUCGUGGAGUUUCAGGACUUUUGGAGCUAUGCAGAAUAGGUCUCCAAUAUUUGCUCCUUUUCCAGCCCAGAAUCCCAGCUGCCGGCAUUCUCCCUCUUCAUGUAAACCUUGUAAAAUAAGAGAGAAUAGGCAUAAGUAUUGUGACAUAACGAGUAAUAACAGCCCAUAAUGCAAUAAAUAUCGAUAUAAAAGCAUGAUGCAAAAUGGACGUAUCAUUAAGGAACUAGGCUUUCUCUUCUUUCUAUCAGGAUCACGUGUUACUAAUAUGUAGACUUAUAGGAAUGAUGAAUUCAAGUCUCAGUUCAGUUUCUUCUACCUCCGUGUGUUCAUAGUUGGUCUCUGAACCUUGAUAUUAUGCUUCUGAGUGGUUAUUUCACCAUUUUUUGGCUAGAUGUCUCAAAUCCUUUGAGCAUUGACAGCCGUUAUGUUGUCCAAGUGAUCCCAGGUUUCUAAAUAGACUGAUGCAUUUGCAAAUCCUUUUUUCCAUUCCCGAUGUCCCUUUGGGCCAGAUUAACGACACUAAUCGGUGGGUUGAGGUACUCUAUUGCCUUGACAUAUAUGUUGGAGUUAUGAUUAUGACCCUAGGUGCCUUAGAGGAUCAUCUUGUAAUCUAGCCAUGUUUUGUGUUUCCAGUCUGAUGAUUCUGUCCAUCAUUCUCGAAAGCAUCCCGUGAUGCCACUUAGUUAGUAGGCAUUCUACUCCUGGGUUUCUGAACCCGAGAUUCACCCUACUUACUUCAUGUUGAUAGUGUUGCUAGUUACUUUAGGUUAAUAAUAACCUUUGUGACAGUCCUCAGGGUCCGUGGUAUUUCCUUCUUCCAAAUACCAUGAACCAUUCUUGGCAGAAGUUCUUUUGAACUGAAAGAUCACAACUAUAGUGAUCUUGACGAGUUCUCAAUUAUAUGUUGUUACUUUGCCAGCUCUACCUUUCUGCAUGGGUUAUCCAAAGAAACCUAUUGAACUUGGUUCGACAUACUAAUCUAUGCAUCCACAACACAGAAAGUUAUAUGUUCCUUGAGUUGUCCCUCUUUAGUUGUAUUCUGACCCCUAUCUAUCAAUUGAUAGUCAGGUGUAGUAGUGCACUCAAGUUCAUCGAUGCCUUUUUACUCCUGUGGUCCGUCAAGCCAUUCUAUUCCAGAAUGACUAGGAGAAACAAAAUCCAGAAUCCCAUUCAUAUCCAGGAUUGGGUCAAAGCAGUUGUAUUCCAUAGAUCAAAAUGCAAUCAAGCUUUUGGUCUGUUCUACCCUGAAGUAUUACCCACUUUAUGUCAGGAAAGUCAUGAGAAUUGCAUCUUCUCUUAUGAAUUCUUAACGUAGUGAUACUUCUCGCCCUCAUUAUUCAUUUCGCGGUUCCCGUGUUGUUGCAACCAGAAUGCCGACAGGUGAACUAUGAUGUGUGAAAUAAAUAUUCCUAGCAACCUUGUUGCUUGGUAGUUAAAGGACAAUAAUUUCAUUCUUAGCAUGUUGGUUCUUAAAUGAUCAUUCUAAGACUGAUUGUGCUACCUAGUCCUUAUUUCUGGUGCACUUUUCGAUCUAUGAGUUAGGAUUGUGUCAAUCCCUCGCUCUAUUGAUCUUAUCGUCCUGCCCUGAAAAGCAAGAUUGUUCUCGAGCCUAGUAACAUAUCGGUGGUUCGUGAUUUUCCGAAUAUCUUCUCGGAAGUAUUACCAGGUUGACACCUGACCGCUAUGUUGAGUUCAUGAUCAAGUUGGUUCCUUGUAACCACCCCUUCUCCAAGAAUCUGUGUUGAAUACCCCUGAACUAGUUGGUUAUGCUAAAAGAACAACUUGGAGAGUUGGAAGAUAAAAGCUUGUCCGACUUAGUACAUUUUAAGGGAUAUCUUGUGUGUGUGUUGAAGAAAGAUGAUACGUUCAUCAAUUGAUCCUCGUGAGCAAUUGUUGGGUCUAUUGUCUUGUCCAAACUUUGAUUUGAGUAUGGGCUAUCCUCAAAUCAAAUCAGAACCAACGAUGUUCGUAAUGUUGUCUUACUCGUGGUCGAUUCCUCGAGCAUACCACCAUUAUAUCCUUUGGUCUGACCAAGGCUAUCACCGUGUUCACUUAAUUAUGGAAUUCCAUUUAUAUGGAAACCUGGAUGAAUUUUUGUUGAGCCCAUCGACAACAUCAUUAUCUCCUCCAUGAUUUUGUUGAACAUUAAGCUAGUGUUGGAAACUUUUGAAAGCAUCUCUUCAUGCUAGCUCAUGAAGCAUAUGUUCGGAUGUAAGAAGUGACUUUCUCCAGUUCAUGUGCAUCUGAUGCAAGUUGCCACCGUGGAUUCGAGAAAGUCAAUGUUGCUUCCUUUGGAAUCAUCCCAAAUUAGUCAUGCAUACGCGCGAAGUAUUUUGUGGUUUGGAGACUUGCAACGUUCAUUCUAUAUGUGUCCCUAGCACACCAAGCCACUAAUUGAUUUGUUCAAGGAGAAGAAGUUCCUUCAUAAGAGCUAGUCAUAUGACUUAUGCAGGGACUUUGAUAUCCUCGAUGAUGGCUCCCCUACUAAACUCGGUAGUGUUUUAUUAUAAGAUUACUAUGUGGUCAUGCUUGUCUGGGACAAGAUGUUCACAUAUUGUAGCAGAACUAGCUCAUUUUUUGGAGCUUGCUAUCGUAGUUCAUUCCCCGAGAAUCUCGCAACAUCAUCUUGUCGAUUUGUGUUGCAAACUUUCAUUUUCUUCCUAGACUUAAUGAGUCUGGAAUAUCCUGACACCAACCAGAUCUGAAUCUCAGGCUGAUAUGAUGGUUGGAAUGUUUCCCAAGAACUAUAACAUUGGUCUCUGUGUAACCCGGUAAAGUGGUAAAGUGGAUGUCGUGGCCAACACACCAGGCGGGAAGACCCGUUAUUGUAGUAAUCUUGUUUGAGGAAGUUGGCCGCCUCCCCAUAAGGAUUCCGUAGGAAUUACCCCCUAGUUGUCCCUUAUGGAUUUUGGUGUUCCCGAAGUCCGACCUUUUACUUGAUGUUCCAGAUAUCAAACCGUAUCUAUGAAUGGGAUACACUAGUACAUCAAGGAGAACAUUAGAAGCAGAGUGCUAAAUGCUUCUCAGUUGAUCAUCCAGAUUUUGAUCCCUUGGCCUCGCUAAGGUGUAAUCUGAGAAGUGUCGGUGUUAAAACCGGCGGAUCUCGGGUAGGGGGUCCCGAACUGUGCGUCUAGGCGGAUGGUAACAGGAGACAAGGGACACAAUCUUUUUACCCAGGUUCGGGCCCUCUCGAUGGAGGUAAAACCCUACUCCUGCUUGAUUAAUAUUGAUGAUAUGGGUAGUACAAGAGUGGAUCUACCACGAGAUCAUAGAGGCUAAACCCUAGAAACUAUGGUAUGAUUGUUGUUCGUCCUACGGACUAAAACUCUCCGGUUUAUAUAGACACCGGAGAGGGCUAGGGUUACACAGAGUCGGUUACAAUUGGAGGAGAUCUUCAUAUCGAAUCGCCAAGCUUGCCUUCCACGCCAAGGAAAGUCCUAUUCGGACACGGGACGAAGUCUUCAAUCUAGUAUCUUCAUAGUCCGGGAGUCCGGCCAAAGGUCAUAGUCCGGCCAUCCGGACACCCCCUAAUCCAGGACUCCCUCAGUAGCCCCUGAACCAGGCUUCAAUGGCGAUGAGUCCGGCGCGCAAAUUGUCUUCGGCAUUGCAAGGCGGGUUCCUCCUCCGAAUAUUCCAUAGAAGAUGUUGAACACAAGGAUAGUGUCCGGCUCUACAAAAUAAGUUCCACAUGCCACAGUAGAGAGAAUAAUAUUUGCACAAAUCUAAUCUGCUGACGUACUCCGCAGCGUGACAUCAUGCCACGGCCAGGCAUUUAUCCGAAUCGUUUUACUGUACCACCUCAGCACGCUUAGCGAGGCGGUUUCCUUGGCACGUCUUGUCAAAGCAGAGAUCGUGUCCCCUUAUUCCGGGAUUCUCAUCAAUACGAGCGUGGGUAACCCAACCGCGCCUUUGGUAUGACCCCCUAAUUGAAAGCGAGUCCCAAACGGUUACGGGGAGGGCUCUUGGUAUUCAACCUCUUUAUAAAGAGAACAAGGCUCGACUCCUUUUAACUCAAUCGAAUCUGCCUCUUGCCUUGAGCUCCAACAUCCAGAGCUCCAGCUUCAGGCGCCUCGGACCCUCGAUGAUGUCCGGCUCUGACCUUAAAGGCCGGUGGAUGCCUUCCUCCGUUACGGAAGAAGACGUGCGAAAGCUGAGAGAUGCCCGGUAUCUGACCGGCGAAAUCUCGCAUAGGCUGCCUGUACAAGGGCAAGCCAUUCCCACUCCCCAGCCCGGUGAGAGCGUGGUGUUCAUAUCUCACUUCCUUCGGGGGCUAGGCUUCCCAAUAGAUCCCUUCGUGAGGGGACUUAUGUUUUAUUACGGGCUGGAAUUUCACGACCUAGCUCCGGAGUCCAUCCUCCAGAUCUCAUCGUUCAUUGUCAUGUGUGAGGCCUUCCUCCAUAUUACUCCUCACUUCAGAUUGUGGCUGAGAACCUUCAAGGUGGAACCGAAGAUAAUCGAGGGGCAGCACGCUGAGUGCGGAGGAGCCAUCAUAAGCAAGAUGGCCGACGCUCCAUGGCCCGAGGGCUCUUUUCAAGAGGAGUUCGGCUUAUGGCAACAAGACUGGUUUUACAUCACAGCCCCCAGGGGCACCACAGUGGCGCCACCUGCUUUUCGCUCGGGUCCCCCACCACGGCUAGCGUCAUGGGUCAAUGAAGGGCUUAUCUGGGGGCCGCCCAAGGACGUGCCCUUGCUGCAGGACCGCAUUCGAGAUCUUCUAGAAAGAGAUAUCAACUUGACCGUAGUGGCGCAAGUUAUGUUGAUUCGCUGCACACUGCCCUGCAAACGUCGCCCUCUCCGCCUGUGGGAAUUCAACCCGGAAGGACCGCGAGUCCUCCAACACUUUAUGGGCACGACGCCCGUGGAGAUGUACAAAUUGUUCUUCGGAUCACAAGCAAGGUGUCCGGAUUUGUCCGAGGAUGCGGGUCUGAGCUGCAAUCGCCCGGACGCUCGAGUAAGUAGCUCCAUAUUUGGACAUGCCACCCAUGUUUCCAUCAUAAAAUUACCCUUAACAGAGUUGUCCUUUGAACAGGAGUGGAUAGUGAAGGCAAAGCUUAUCAGGUGUCCAGCCCCCCUGCCUGAGAACGCGCCGAAUCCCAUGCUAACCAGGAUGCUGGAGGUCGUGCUUUUGGCAGAAGGCGAAGGGGGGAACCAAGGAGCUACCGCCUCAGUGAAGGAGGCUAUUAGGAAGGGAGGAAUCGAAAAUUCCCCCGACCAGGGAAAGAAAAGGACUGCCUCUGAAGACCCAGAGGUGAUGGCCUCAAAACGGGGGAAGAAAUCUUCGCCAGAGGGUUCGGCGCCGGAGAACGCCCCGGCCGAAUUGCGCCCUCAAGGGAACCCGCUCUCCCCCGAGCCGUAAGUGAAGGGAGGGGUUCCAUAAUGAAUGGCAUUCCUGUUUUAUCUGAGGAAGAUAACCGAAAUAUUACCUUGCAGUUCGGAUCUCAACCCUUCUCAGCAGAGCUCAUCUUCAGGGGAUCUUCGUCCGGAGAUGAUAGAGAGCGAAAUGCCUCCCCUUGUUACACCGUCUCACGAGGCAAGCGACCCCGAGGUGUCGUCUCGGAGGGUUUUUCCAAGUCCGGACCCUGGAAAAGGUCAUCAGGCUAGUCCGGCACCCUCUGGUGCGCGGUCGGAGGGGCUGAAGGAUCUGCUUGGGAGGGCCUCCAUCUCAGAAGAACACCGUAUGUUGAUGAAUACGGUGAUUGGAAGGAUUUCAUCCGCGGAAAGCGGAUUGUACGAGGCUGCCAGGAGUUUACUAACAGGCUUUGAGGUACGUAAAAAGGUGUACCUUUUGGUAGAGUGCUUGUAAAUAAGAGGUUAGAUGAGGCACAAGGUAUGUUCCAAAGACAUCUGAUAAGAGGAGUUUGGUGCACGUGCCUUAUAAGAUAUGUGCUUGAUGCAGAUAGUGCUGCUGUCGUGGAGAACCUUCGGGCAGAACUUGCCCGAGCCAAGGAACAAGCAAGGAAAAGUGAUGCGGCUGUCGUGAAGGCAGCUGAAGAGCUAAAAGCCGAACUGGCUGCUCACUGCCAGAGCAAGAGAGUAAUGGCCGAGAUGGCUAUAAAAUUAAAGGAUGCUGCUGACCGCUGUAAAUUUCAUGAACAAGGAGAUAAGGUGGCUCAGAAGGAUCUUGAAAAGAUCACUGCUGAGGCCAAGGAUACUCGCUCUGCAAUGAGAUCUAUGAAGGAGGAGCUGCGUCAGGCCGGAGAUAUCAUGGCUAGAAAGCCCUAUAUGCUGCGGAUGAAGUUCGGGGACCCCAAGUAUGCUCCGUUAGACCGGCAGUGGAGUGCGGAAAACACUUAUCUGGAUUUGGCAGCUAGUGCGGCAGACGCGACCGAACACUUCCGCGGCCGAGGUGACCAUGGAUUGGAAGAGCUUUUUUGGUCGCAGUUCCAUAAUCCAGAACGCCCACUUUCGGUACCCGACCGUUUGGCCGCCUGGGCGGAGCUGAACAGGUUAUCCGUACUCGCCAUGAGGUAUGUUGCGAGUCGUCUGUGGCUGGAGAAGCCGGAGCCGAAGAGUUAUUUUGGCUUGGUGCAGCAGUUCCUUGGUUCGGUGCCGCAUGCUGAUGCAAUGAAGAGGUCGGCGUGCAUAGAGGGUGCACAGAUGGCUCUUGCCCGUGUCAAAACAUACUGGGCAGAUAUGAAGGCCAGUGUUGUUGCAUCCCGGGAUUCGGACGAAAGCCGAGUACCUGCCAAGCACUACUUUGAGGAAGUUCUUCAUGGCGCUCGUUUAAUAGAGUCGCAGUGCUCGAAGGAUGUUGUGUUCGAAUAGCGUGUACUAUUGUAAAAUGAAUAUUUUGAUAGAAUAUAAAAGCUUUUUAUACUUGUGCUUGCAAGAAUUAUAAUGCCUCAUGUGCGGCCGUUUAAUGUAUAUGUGUAUAUAACCUGAAAGAUGGCAGUUGUUGGCUUCAGCCACCACGCAUAGAAUGCGGGGGUGUUUGCAAAAAGGCGCCUUUUCACACUUAAUCCAACGUCUUGGUCCUAUAAAGGAGGUGGUGGCGCAGCGAACUAGGCAACCGGACUAUAAUGCUUUAUCACUUUCACUUAGCCAUAGGAGUUUGACAGUGGGGCUACUGAAUAGUCCCUAGGGGCACCGCACUCACCCGAAUUCGGGGCGUGAGUGUGCCUGAUCGGGAAGCAGCCCUUCGUUAAUGCGGAGGAAUCCUAAAGAUUCUGAAAGUCAUCGAGUGGUUGACCAGUCUCUCGCUAUAUCAUGACAGUCAGUUUUCGACUUUCUCUACUGAGGUGCGGUGCUCGCCUGGCCGAACCGGGGCACAAUCGCAGUAGUUCUCCUGGUGCUGCCUUAGCCGAUAGAGCGGAACGUAAGGCAGCAAAACACAGGAGCCGGGCAAACCCAACAUUUGACCAAAGACAUGAUUCGGAGCUGAUGCAUAUAAGGCCAAACUCGCGACGCCGAACACUCCCUAAGGUAUUCGGUCUUUCUGAGGAUGGGCCGAACAAUAACCCUGUAGUAAAAAAGCCCCUGGUGUCCGGGUACGUGCAAAAUUCUGGCGUGGCCACAUGCCAAGACGCCAGCCUCCUCCUCGGCUAUAGUGAAAAACCGGGGGAUGGUAUCAACAAGAGACAGUAAGAAAGGUUUACGCAGGGUCUUAAUCUGAAGAGAAUCCUUAGAACGGGUCCCCACUGCACGUUUGCGCCAGUGUCUCCGUUGUGCCGUAUCCUGAAUGGCCAUAGCAUGAUGUUCGUCUGCGAAAGAGAGGGACUUAGUGAAAAAUAAUCGUGCGAGAAAUCUAUAUUAGAAUAAACAAAUUAUAACACAAAGGCAUAAGUAAGAUUGGGCCGUAUUGUCUCCUGGUGUGAACACGCGGAGCCCCUUGUAUAGGGUUAUGCGGCUGUUAGGCCUUUGUAUGUUUACGCCGGACUUGUUGAACCAUGUCCGGGGUAUUGAAGUUGGAUUAGUGUGCGGCUGUCAAGGCGGCCGCACCAUUAUCCGUACUUCAUGGAUCAAUUGAUAUUUCCCUUUAGUGACAUGAUGCCUCGCGGACCGGGCAUUUUGAGUGUGAGGGAUGCAUAAUGCGGUAUUGCGUUAAAGCGGGGCAAAGCUUCGCAUCCCAGUAGCGCUUGAUAGCGACUUAUGAACGGAGCGAUGUGGAAAGUUAGCUUUUCGCUUCGCAAGUGGUCGGGUGAGCCGAACAUGACUUCUAACAAUAGGGAACCCAUACUCUGGGUAUCUGGGCCCGGCGUGAUUCCUUGAAAGGAAGUGUUUUCAUGGCGAAUUGUUGCUGGGUUUAUCCCCAGUUUGCGGAUUGUGUCCCGAUAUAAUAGGUUUAGGUCACUGCCGCCGUCCAUUAGGACUUGUGUAAAUUGGAGUCCGUCAAUAAUCGGAUCCAAGACCAAGGCAGUCCAGCCUGCGUUCCGAAUACCUCUGGAGUAAUCCUGAUGAUCGAAGGUGAUUGGUUGUAACAACCAGUGAUGGUGCUUCUCUGGGGCGGGACGUGUAGCGCGUAUCUUUGUGGGCGCCGUUCUGUUUUUCCCUGUUGUCACCUGGAGUGAAUUUACUGUUUUGACUUCUUGCGGGAACUUCUUUUGUUCUCCGCUGUUCUGCUUGUGGGGCGCGUCGUCAUCCUCUCUUGGUGUGUUGAGCCCCUUGUGUUCGGCAUUGAGUUUGCCGGAUUGCUUGAAGACCCAACAAUCUCUGUGGGUGUGGUUUGUAGGUCUCCCGGGAGUACUGUGGAUUUGACAUAUUUUGUCCAAGAUUUUGUUGAGGUUGGAUAGCUCGUCCCUGUCAUCUUUGAGGGGCAGCUUUUUCUGAUUUUGCCGAGAGCUUUUGAAUCCGGCAUUUACUGCCGAGCUCAUCAGGCUGUUGUCCUUGAUCCGGCGCGGUUCUUUGUUACGGCGCGGUUUCCCGUUCCCAUCUCUGGGUUCGGACGUAUUCGGGUCACUGGUGCUGCUUCUUGCCAACCAGCUAUCCUCUCCUGCACAAAAGCGGGUCAUGAGGCUUGUUAAUGCGUCCAUUGUUCUAGGCUUUUCUUGGCCGAGGUGUUUGGCGAGCCAUUCAUCUCGGUCGCUAUGUUUGAAAGCUGCUAGGGCUUCGGCAUCCGGACAAUCGACUAUCUGAUUCUUUUUAGUAAGAAAUCUGUUCCAGAGUUUCCGGGCUGACUCCCGGGGUUGUUGAGUUAUAUGACUCAAAUCAUCGACAUCCGGAGGUCGGACAUAGGUCCCUUGGAAAUUUGCCCGGAAAGCAUCCUCGAGCUCUUCCCAAGUUCCCAUGGUAUUUUCGGGGAGGCUUUUAAGCCAAUGCCGGGCUGGCCCUUUGAGCUUAAGAGGUAAAUAUUUUAUGGCGUGGAGGUCAUCUCCUCUGGCCAUGUGUAUAUGGAGUAUAUAAUCCUCGAUCCAGACUCCAGGGUCUGUUGUUCCGUCGUAUGCUUCUAUGUUUACGGACUUGAAUCCCGCUGGAAAUUCAUGAUCCAGUACCUCAUCGGUAAAACAUAGGGGGUGCGCGGCGCCCCUGUAUGUGGGUGUGUCGCGAUGUUCGCAUAUUUUUUGUGUUGCAUUGCUCAAUGGAGCUUGCUUUCUUGGCCCGUAGAUGGAUCUGGUCGGGCCGCUUUUCUGAUGCGAAUCUUUGUGUGGCUCGCGUGCCGCAUUGAAUGCGGCGCCCUUUGUUGGUGGAGGUCGAUCGUGGGGUCGUCUAUCUGACCUAGUGACUUCCUUGUUUUUUGGUUGUGGGGGCUCUAGGGCCUCUUCAUCAAAUUCUGGUAGUAAUUUCCACUUCGGAAAGCUCUUUUUGUGACGGUUGUUGCCGUACUUGUGUGCGGUAUUGAGUACUUUGCUCCAUCUUAUUCUGAUUGCAUCUUCCGCUGUUUUGAGCUUCCGCUUCUGCUUUUUCAGGCUAUGUGCAGUGGCGACAACCCUUUGGUGGAGGUUCUGGUGCUCCAGCGACUUGUCCGGCGUGAGGUCGUCCAGACUAUUAUCUUUGCUGGGGCCGGAUUGUUCGGUUUGUCCGCCAUGUUUGGACGGUUGCUCGAUGGCAUGUUCGUGUUUUGUUGAUUCGCCCUGCUCCAUGGCUGGGUCUCUGUCGAGGUGGGGCUUGGCGUGGCGCUUAUGCCGCCGCUUUGAUUGUUUUCCGAGGGAAUGAUCCCUGGUUGUGCCCUUUUGAUCCUCGCCGUUGCUUCUUUUAGGUGUGUCCACCAUGCAUACAUCGUGAGAUAAGGCGAUUGUGCGGCGCUCUAUAGGCGCUGGUUCUUGGUCGUCUCCUUCAUCGGCGUCCAUACCGUCGAUGUCUUCGGAGUAGAAGUCGAUCAUGUCGGUUAAGUCGUCAACAGUGGCUACAUAGUGGGUGGUGGGUGGGCUUCUAAAUUCUUCAUCAUCCGCAUCCCAACCAUGCUGACCAUAGUCCGGCCAGGGCUCUCUUGACAAAGAGAGAGACUUUAUUGAAUUCAGGAUAUCACCAAAGGGCGAGUGCUGAAAGACGUCCGUGGCGGUGAACUCCAUGAUCGGAGCCCAAUCGGGUUCGAUCGGAAGAGGUGCGGGAGGUUUGGAAUUCGGAACGGAGUCCGACACCCUGGAGUCAUAGGCCUCGCAAAGGACUAGGCUGGUGUUCGGCUCUAUCGCCAUAGAGACUACGGCUCCUUGGGCGGCGUCCAGCCGUCUGGCCCCAACUGGCACAGCCGGUUUCGAGCUAAUGGUCGGAGCGCGCACCUGAGCGACGCUCUGGGCGUUGUCGAGCGGCAGAGCUAAAUCAUGCCCAUCGUGACAGUGCGGCGUGCUCGGCCGUGGCUCGAAUCCGUCGAAUAUCAAGUCCCCGCGGAUGUUGGCUGUGUAGUUUAAACUUCCAAACCUGACCUGAUGGCCAGGGGCGUAGCUUUCGAUCUGCUCCAGAUGGCCAAGUGAGUUGGCCCGCAGUGCGAAGCCGCCGAAUACGAAGAUCUGUCCGGGGAGAAAAGUCUCACCCUAGACCGCGUCGUGGUUGAUGAUCGAAGAAGCCAUCAGGCCUAAAGGUGACGACACAGAGGAACUCUCAAUGAAAGCACCAAUGUCGGUGUCAAAACCGGCGGAUCUCGGGUAGGGGGUCCCGAACUGUGCAUCUAGGCGGAUGGUAACAGGAGACAAGGGACACGAUCUUUUUACCCAGGUAAAACCCUACUCCUGCUUGAUUAAUAUUGAUGAUAUGGGUAUUAUAAGAGUGGAUCUACCACGAGAUCAGAGAGGCUAAACCCUAGAAGCUAGCCUAUGGUACGAUUGUUGUUCAUCCUACGGACUAAAACUCUCCGGUUUAUGUAGACACCGGAGAGGGCUAGGGUUACACAGAAUCGGUUACAAUGGGAGGAGAUCUUCAUAUCGAAUCGCCAAGCUUGCCUUCCACGCCAAGGAAAGUCCUAUCCGGACAUGGGACGAAGUCUUCAAUCUAGUAUCUUCAUAGUCCGGGAGUCCGGCCAAAGGUCAUAGUCCAGCCAUCCGGACACCCCCUAAUCCAGGACUCCCUCACCCACCAAUAUCCAUCAUGGUAGUAUAUUGUGUUGCCCUGAUCCUUGACACGGAUGUUGGUAAAACCUUGAUGAAUAUGGAAAUGAUCAAGUUCUUGAGAGCACGCGCAAGCACUAGGUUUUAUCGUUGGCAUUAAUUGGGAUUUGCUCCCAGUUUCCUCGGUUAUGUUAUACUCUUUCAAACAGUGGAUUCACUCUCUAUUGUUGAGAUUCUCCCUAGUUACUAGAAUCAUUCCCAGCAUUUGCAUUUUGUUCGCAUCUUGCACCGCCAUUGUGCUAUCCUACCUUGGGUUCCAUCUAAUUCCGGUGAUAAGCAAAAUCACCCUUUGUGUUGUCUUCAACAAGGUAAUCCACAUUGUCCAUUUUAGUCUGGGUAUGCCAUUCCUUCGGACUCCAUCAAACGAUCAUAUGGGAAUUACCUUAGCCUGUUAUAGAGAAUUCUAUUGGUCUUUGAAUCAAAGUAAUUCUUUUGCCACUUAAGGGUUAAUUCUACGAGCCACCCUCCUCUAAGGUGUAUCAUGGUAACAUGGCAACUCAACUCCUCGCUACGUUGACAACCGCUCACCACCCUCUCAGGUGUGGGAUUGUUACCUAGUGAACCUUCAUCAUCUGUUUCACUCCAUCCCUCUGGAUGCAUGCUUCGUGUCUCAUCUCGAGAGAUGUUUCAAUGUCUCACUCAUGAGUUGACCCUGAGUUGUUCGAUCUUCGAGAAGAUCGAUCCUUCUAGAAUUCUCCCUUUCAUCUUGUUGUCAUGUUGGAUGAAGUUCUAAAGCAAGAUGUCAUGUUGGAUGAAGUUCUCAAAGCAAGAUGUCAAGAUCAAGAUGAUGCAGUGAAUCAACAUCUCUGAGAAGAGCUUUUGGAUCUUGAAAAUUGUGUUAGUUUCCGUCCCCCCUUCAUCUUACCAUACGCUUGAAUCCCGGGACGAGAUUCUUGUUUAGUGGGGGUGAGUUGUCACAUCCCAAGUUCUGGUAAUGCACUAGGCUAGCUUCAUGUGUGCAUCAUGUUUAAAUUUCUGAAACAUGAACUGAGGAUUGUUGAAACCUCAAAAAUCUAGUUAAAAGAAGGGCAAAGAACCCAGGAAAAUGCAUUCAAUGUUUCCAAAAUGGCCUUAAAUAAUGUUGGUUAUAUUUUGACAAAGGUCUUGCACCAAACCAAAAAUAAUGAAAAUUUUGAGGAAUAUUUUGGGCACUGAAUUUAAAUCAUUAUUUUAUUUGCAUUCGGAAUUAUAUUCAUAAUAUGUAUAGAAUAUAUUCUCAAAUAUCCUGGAACAUUUUAUGUGCUUUUGGAUUAGUCCAUUCACCAUCAUAAAAAUACCCAAAGGAUAUUUGGCACUCUUUAGAGUCUGUUUUUAAUUUGGCACCUGGACAAACAAAAAAACAGAAAACAAAUAAGAAAAGAAGAAGGAAAUGUUUACCUGGACUUACCUGUAGUCCACCUAGCGCCCACCUGGCCCAGCACUGUGGCUAAGGCCCAGCCCAACUCCCCACUGUCUUCAACCUCUGCCAGUAGGCACACGAGUGUCGACGCGCGCGCGCCCGAGCUCCACCUCCUGCUUCCCCUCGCCCUGUUCUAGCACAUGGGAAACGGCCAACACACCCCAUCGACCCUCUCCCGCUUCCCCAGUGCCUCUCCACCCUCCUCUGCUCUACCCCGCAGCACCACUGAGCGCAGCUGACGCCGCCGCUCGCUGUUGCCACGCCUAGAGCCACUACCCCGCCUCUCCUUCGUGUCCAGAAGAAUCGCCCCGUCGCCCUACUUCUCCCCGACGAGCCGCUCGACGCUGGACGCCUUGCAUCGCCGGCUACCUAGCCUUCUUCCUCCUGUGCUGCCGAGAUCGCCGUCAACGCCUCGUCAUCGUCCGUCCCCGAGCUCGCUAACGACGCCAUCAAGAUCGCUGUGAGCACCACUCUGUUUCCCCUCCUUCAUUUUGCUCAUUCCCCGUUCCGUAGCACCCUCGCCCACAUGCCCGAGCACCGCCGUCUACCAUGGCCGCCUAGCUCUCUUGACCGGAGCACCUCUGCUCGAACCUGUGGCACCGACGUGCUUCUGGUGGCCCGCGGAUGCCACAUAGCCCAUCAGCUCCUCCCCUAGCGCACUGCAGCCUCAUUCCUGAGUGCGCCCAAACUCCGGCCGCCGCCUCGGUCGCCACCGCCGACGCCACAGCUCAUCCCAGCUCCUCUCGCCUGCUCCUCUGGAUGCGCGUGAACCCGAGGAAAAGAAACAAACAAAUGGUUGCCCGUAGCUCGAUUCCGAUGAACUUCUGUCGUCGGGUGUGCUCGCCAGCGUCCAACUCCGGUGAGGUGACAUGGCGUCAUUAGCCUAAAGCUAAUUACCGCGUUAAUCUUGUGCUGUGUCACUGAUAGACCGGCCCCACCACCCUAAUUAACCACGGGGUAAACCUUGUUUAGCUUUAACUUAAUCACAGCGGAUCCCACACAUCAGCAUUGACCAUGCUGACGUGGCAUUUGACCGGGCCCACAUGUCUGUUACCCUAGACAUCAAUGUGAAACUGACAAGUGGGACCCACUGGUCAGGUUUGACCUAGAACAGACACUGAUGACUUGCUGACAUCAUGUCGCUGUCAUGCUGACGAAAUAAAGCUUUUCUGGCGUUUAAUUAAUUCAGGAAAUUCAAGAAAAUGCCCAAAAACUUCUAAGAUUCAUAUAAAUUCAACCAUCUCCAAAUGCAAAGAUUUAUAUAUGAAAAAUGAUCAGAAAAAUCCAAUCUAAUCAUCUAUACUGGUUUCAUGCAUGUUUAAACAACUUAAUGUUGCUGUUUAGAUCAAAACAUGAUAAUGCACUAUUUGAAUUCAUAGUUUGAGUUUGGAGUUGAACCUUUGGUUCAAAAUGACUCAAACCACCCUGGUUAUAGUUGCAUUAGGCCAACACACUCAUAUUGCCAUGUCAUGAUCAUGCAUCGUAUUGUCCAUUGCAUUGAUUGCAUUUCCUUCUCUAUUGCCGGUAUUUGUCCCUUCUAGAUAGAUGUGGUUUUGACGAUAAGUUCGGUGACACCGAUGAAGAGCUUUAUCAUAUUCAGAAGUGCUAGGCAAGCAAAAACCCCUUGUUCAUUCCAAUACAAUCCCACUCUCUAGUUCCUGCUCUCUUUUAUUGCAUUAGGACAACAAUGGUUCAUCUGUUACAUGCUGCGGUAGUUGAACCCGUUUCCUCUGCAUGACCUGUCAUUGCCACAGUAAAUAGAUGAAACCCACUAGCAUCAGUAGGAGUUGUUUGAGACCUCAUGUGCCUACUCAUUCAUGUUUGUUUGUCAUGCCUGCUACUGCCUAGAGUUGAGUCAGGUCUGAUUCAUCGAGGAUGAAUUGGAAUGGAGAUGAACAUGUCCUACUGUGUGUGACAUAGUGUGUGAACACGAUUUGGUAAAGGUAGCGGUGAGAGGCCAUGUAGGAGUACAUGGUGGGUUGUCUCAUUGAAGCCGUCCUCAGGAACUGAGUUCUGUGUUUGUGAUCCAUGAAACAACUACUACCACACGUUGGGCCCUGAAAUAUGACCCCGCUCGACUUAUUAACCGCCCGGAGUUGCAAGUAGUUUCUGGUGUUUGUAGUUUGCUGGAGGCCGUGCACAACGCUGACGCGAGGGGUGGGCUGUGAUGCGGUAGGCACGUGGCCAGGUAUGCCGAGCACCCGUUUGGUGGCGCGAAACCCUGUACACAUCGUUCGGGGCCGUAUGUGGAAACCUCGGCCGGACUCCCUGCGGAUGGAACCUGAAUAGGCAAUAAACCUGGACUAGAGACUUGUGUGGUUAGUCAGGUCGUGGUCUACACCUACGCUGGCUUUCGCUUGAAGUCUGCCGAGCACAUGUCGUGUGCAGACUCUAAGUGGUGGAAACAUGUGUGAAGAACUACACCCUGCAGGGUUAUAAAUUAUCUAUUCUAAUAGCCGCGCCCGCGGUAAAGGACCUCUGGGUUGCCUAUACAGUUCAUAGAUAAGUGAAAUAGGAUACUCUAAAAUGUGGAAGAUAAGCAUGAGUGCUAUGGAUGGCAUUCAUGUAGGGAGACGGGAGCGGAUCCAUAGUGGUGUAUUGAUAUGGUGAAUAUGUGGACUCAUGUGCGCAACCUCAAGAGUCGCUUGCAGUCGUAGUUCAGGAUAGCCACCGAGUCAAAGCUGGCUUUCUGUAGUGAAACUCCACCACCCCCUUUGUUGAUAAUGAAGCAUAUGUAGUCAGUUCUGAUGUAAGUCUUGUUGGGUACAUUUGUACUCACGUUUGCUUAAAUUAUGUUUUUGCAGAGAGACUUCAGUCUCGCUAGUAGUUCCGCGUGGACUUCAACGUUUAGCUUGUUACCUCAACUACGAUCUUGUGCCCUCGACGGGAUCUGGUUAAUAGUCAGGCUUUUCAGCCUUUUCCAUUUGUAGAUGUCUGUACUCAGACAUGAUAAGCUUCCGCAUGUGCUUUGACUUGUAUUCUCUGAAUGAUGGGUCAUGAGACCCAUGUUUGUAAUAUCUCGCUCCUCGGAGCCUAUUGAAUAAAUACUUUGUGUCAUAAAGUUAUGUUGUGAUGCCAUGUUGUAUUUGCACAUAUCGAGCAUAUUGUGUGUAUGAUUUGAAAUGCUUGGUAUGUGUGGGAUCUGACAACCUAGUUGUUCAUCCUUGGUAGCCUCUCUUAGCGGGAAAUGUCUCCUAGUGCUUCCACUGAGCCACGGUAGCUUGCUACUGCUCUGGAAGCUGGCCGGCAUGUGUCCUUCUUCGUUCAUGUGUCUGUCCCUUCAGGGAAAUGUCACACUUUGUUCCUUUAAGUCCAUGUAGCUUGCUACGACUUGGGUUCAUACGUUGUUGAUCGACACGUUCGUUGUUGGUUCAUGUAUGCCUGUCCCUGUAAGUUAGCGCCACUUUGGGUCCACGACUAGUCAUGUCAGCUCGGGUUCUUUGUCAUAUGGAUGCUAGUGGCACUAUCAUCUACAUGAGCCAAAAGGCGUAAACGGUCUCGGGCCACGUAAGGUGGCACCCAUGGGAAUACCGUCCGUGAGGCCGCAAAGUGAGAUGUGUUACAUGCUAGAUCGGUGUGACUUAGGAUCGGGGACCUGACAGAUUGAAAAAAGAUAAGUGUCCCGUAAUCCCUUUCUUGUCCCUCUCCUCCUAGGGGCUACAGUGGGAGGUUAAUUUGAAAUGGAGACCAUGUCCCGUCACCAAGCUGCGAGCACGAGCGAAGGUUUUUGAGCCGCGCUGGAGAAGCAUGACAUGAGGUGCGUGGAACUCCAUGUCCGCCUGCAUGCUGCCGUUACAGCAGCCCCUCAUGUGCAACCUCAAUCCUGGCGGUUGUUCUUCCUUCAUCACCCUUGCGAAAGGAGUGGGGAGUUGAAGGCAGCUGCGUGGAGGCCCGCGCAGCUUGACAAUGAACUCCAACAACUGGUCACCGAUAUGGCCUUCAUUCCAGGCCAGGGCGGCUGGAGGAGGAGCGAUCAGAGCACCGCCACGCCCUCCUCGGCCCCGAGCUCCAUGAUGGCCACACCCUUGUCCUCCCGCGCCAUCUCGUGCGCCGGACUCUGCUCUUGCAUCCCCGGUAGGGGGAAGGAGGCGUUGUCAAGUAGAAGCCCUCAUCGCCGCUACUGGAGUACUACCACGUCCACUUCCCCUCAACAUAGUGGAAGAGGGAUGCGAGGAGAAGAAGAAGGAGAUGUGUGUGGGGAUGAGCCCCUCGCCCAUGCCUCCUUUUAUAGGAGAGUAUGGACGUGGGCUGGCUCCUCGCCACCUAGGAGGAAAGUGCCCCACUCCACCAAUUUGUUACAUCUGUGUCACUGAGGAGGCCUGGAAUCAACGGCCUCCCUCCUACGCCUAUCCACAGUGCUGGGUUUUCUGCCAUGGCACUUAUUCCCGCACCCUACGCGCCUGCCACCAACCCUGCUUAAUACAUGCAGAGUACAUGGCGGAAACAAUAGAGGUGGUGGGAUUCAGACCCUUGCACACUUGUACAUGCGUAGCUGCUCUCCCCGAGGGAUUCACACUUGACUACUACCACUAGGUGAGAGACCUGCUGCAGGAGCUACUGCAGAUGUUAUGAAUGUCUGGCAGACUCGAUCAAUCUGAUGACUACUCAAUAGUUCAGUGUGCCAUGCUUUAAAGCUUAGAAGUGGGACUUCAAAUACGUUUUGAACGUCAUGGAGCAUAUGAGAUGUUCCAUGAGCUUAAGUUGAUAUUUCAAGCUAAUGACCGGGUUGAGAGAUAUGAAGUCUCCAACAAGUUCUAUAGCGGCAAGAUGGAGGGGUAUAGCUCUGUCAGUGAACACAUACUCGAAAUGUCAUGCCCAGGUUGAGAGAUAUGAAGCCUUCAACAAGUUCUAUAGAUUUAAGAUGGAGGAGUAUAGUUCUGUCAGUGAACACAUACUCAAAAUGCCUGGGUAUCAUAACCACUUGACUUAGCUGGGAAUUGAUCAUCCAAUUGAGAGUGUUAUUGACAGAGUUCUUCAUUCACUACCACCAAGUUACAAAGGCUUCGUGAUGAACUAUAAUAUGCAAGGGAUGAAGAAAACGAUUCCCGAGCUCUUCGUAAUGCUUAAUGUCACGGAGGUAGAAUUUGAUACGUCUCCAACGUAUCUAUAAUUUUUUAUUAUUCCAUGCUAUUGUAUUAUCUAUUUUGGAUGUUUUAUAUGCAUUAAUAUGCCACUUUAUAUUAUUUUUGGGACUAACUUAUUAACCUAGAGCCCAGUGCCAGUUUCUGUUUUUCCUUGUUUUUGAGUUCUACACAAAAGAAAUAUCAAACGGGGUCCAAACGGAAUAAAACUUUCGUGGUGAUUUUUCUUUGACCAGAAGACACACGUGGGACUUGGAAAGGAAGGCGGAAGGGUCCCGAGGGCUCCAUAAUCCCUCAGGGCGCACCCUAGGGGGUGGGCAUGCCCCUGGCUUGUGGGCCCCACGGGACUCCUCCAACCCUAAUCUUUGGCAAUUCAGAAAUAUUCCCAAACAACCAGAAGUGUCCACCAAAAUACUUUUCCGCCACCGUAACCUUUUGUACCCGUGAGAUCCCAUCUAUGGACCUUUUCUGGCACCCUGCCGAAGGGGGAUUCAAUCACGAGUGGCUUCUACAUCACUCUAUUGCCCUUCCGAUGAAGCGUGAGUAGUUUACCACAGAUAUAUGGGUCCAUAGCUAGUAGCUAGAUGGCUUCUUCUCUCUGUUUGAUCCUCAAUACCAUGUUCUCCUCGAUGUUCUUGGAGAUCUAUCCAAUGUAAUCUUCUUUUGCGGUGUGUUUGUCGAGAUCUGAUGAAUUGUGGAUUUAUUAUCAGUUUAUCUAUGAUUAUUAUUUGAAUCUUCUCUGGAUUCUUAUAUGCAUGAUUUGAUAUCUUUGUAUUUCUCUUCAAAUUAUUGGUUUGGUUUGGCCAACUAGAUUGGUUCUUCUUGCAAUGCGAGAGGUGCUUACAUUUGGGUUCAAUCUUGUGGUGUCCUCACCCAGUGACAAAGUAGGGGUAGCGAGGCACGUAUUUGUAUUGUUGCCAUCAAGGGUAAAAAUACGGGGGUUUCAUCAUAUUGCUUGAGUUUAUCCCUCUACAUCAUGUCAUCUUGCUUAAGUUGUUACUCUGUUCUUAUGAACUUAAUACUCUAGAUGCAUGCUGGAUAUCGGUCGAUGUGUGGAGUAAUAGUAGUAGAUGCAGGCAUGAGUCCAUCUACUUGACACGGACGUGAUGCCUAUAUUCAUAAUCAUGCACCCUUGAUGAAUGGUCAAUUCUUGUUGAAUCUCGAUCAUAGUGAUACACACAUUCAUAAUAUCGAUGACAAAAGAUGCAAAGUUGAUAAUGAUAGUGCAACAUACUUGAGGCACUGCCAUUUAGGUCAAAUUGGUGUAAAGCGCAUGAAGAAAAUCCAUGCGGAUGGACUUUUGGCACCACUUGAUUAUGAAUCAUUUGAUACUUGCGAACCAUGCCUCAUGGGAAAGAUGUCUAAAAGUCCGUUCCCCAGAACAAUGGAGCGAGCUAAUGACUUACUGGAAAUAAUACAUACCGAUGUAUGCAGUCCGAUGAGUGUUGCGGCACGCGGCGGGUAUCGUUAUUUUCUGACCUUCAUAGAUGGUUUGAGUAGGAAUGGAUAUGUCUACUUGAUGAAACACAAAUCUGAAACAUUUGAAAAGUUCAAAGAAUUUCAGAGUGAAGUAGAGAAUCAUCGUAACAAGAAAAUAAAAUUUCUAUGAUCUGAUCAUGGAGGUGAAUAUUUAAGUUAUGAAUUUGGCCUUCAUUUAAAACAAUGUGGAAUUGUUUCACAACUCAUGCCACCUGGAACACCACAACAUAAUGGUGUGUCCGAACGUUGCAACCGUACUUUAUUAGAUAUGGUAUAUUCUAUGAUGUCUCUUACUUAUUUACCACUAUAGUUUUGGGGUUAUGCAUUAGAGACAGCCGCAUUUACAUUAAAUAGGGCGCCAUCUAAAUCCAUUGAGACAACAUCGUAUGAAAUAUGGUUUGGCAAGAAACCUAAGUUGUCGCUUCUUGAAGUUUGGGGAUGCGACACUUAUGUCAAAAAGCUUCCGCCUGAUAAGCUCGAACCCGAAUCAGAGAAGUGUGUCUUCAUAGGAUACCCUAAGGAAACUAUUGGGUACACCUUCUACCACAGAUCCGAAGGAAAGAUCUUUGUUGCCAAGAAUGGGUCCUUUCUAGAGAAGGAGUUUCUCUCGAAAGAAGUGAGUGGGAGGAAAGUAGAACUUGAUGAGGUAAUUGUACCUUCUCUUCAAUUGGAAAGUAGCACAUCAGAGAAAACCGUUCCCGGGAUGCCUACAACAACUGGAGAGGAAGCUAACGAUGAUGAUCAUGAAACUGCAGAACAAGUUACUACUGGACCUCGUAGGUCGACCAGAGCACGUUCUGCACAAGAGUAGUACGGUAAUCUUGUCCUGGAAGUCAUGUUAUUGGACCAUGUUGAACCUACAAACUAUGAUGAAGCUAUGAUGAGCACAGAUUCCGAUAAAUGGCUUGAGGCCAUGAAAUCUGAGAUAGGAUCCAUGUAUGAGAACAAAGUAUGGACUUUGGUAGACUUGCCCGAUGAUUAGCAAGCCAUUGAGAAUAAAUGGAUCUUCAAGAUGAAGACAUGCGCUGAUGGUAAUGUCACUAUCUACAAAGCUCGACUCGUCACAGAAGGUUUUCGACAAGUUCAAGGGGUUGACUAUGAUGAGACUUUCUCACCCGUAGCGAUGCUUAAGUUAGUCCGAAUCAUGUUAGCAAUUGUCACAUUUUAUAAUUAUGAAAUCUGGCAAAUGGAUGUCAAAACUGCAUUCCCUAAUGGAUUUAUUAAAGAAUAGUUGUAUAUGAUGCAACCAGAAGGUUUAUUCGACCCUGAAGGUGCUAACAAAGUGUGCAAACACCAGCGAUCCAUCUAUGGACUGGUGCAAGCAUCUCGGAGUAGGAAUAUAUGCUUAUAUGAGGUGAUCAAAGCAUAUGGUUUUAUGGUGAAGCUUGUAUUUACAAGAAAGUGAGUGGGAGCUCUGUAGCAUUUUUGAUAUUAUAUGUGGAUGACAUAUUGUUGAUUGGAAAUGAUAUAUAGAAUUUCUGGAUAGCAUAAAGGAUACUUGAAUAAGAAUUUUUCAAUGAAAGACCUCGGUGAAGCUGCUUAUAUAUUGGGCAUCAAGAUCUAUAGGGAUACAUCGAGACGCUUAAUAGUACUUUCACAAAGCACAUACCUUGACAAAGUUUUGAAGAAGUUUAAAAUGGAUCAGUUAAAGAAAUGGUUCUUGCCUGUGUUACAAAAUGUGAAAUUGAGUCAGACUCAAAUCCCGGUCGCUGCAGAAGACAGAGAGAAAAUGAAAGUCAUUCCCUAUGCCUCUGCCAUAGGUUCUAUCAUGUAUGCUAUGCUGGGUACCUGACCUGGUGUGUGCCUUGCCAUUAGUUUGGCAGGGAGGUACCAAAGUAAUCAAGGAGUGGAUCACUGGACAGCGGUCAAGAACAUCCUGAAGUACCUGAAAAGGACCAAGGAUAUGUUUCUCGUUUAUGGAGGUGACGAAGAGCUCUCGUAAAUGGUUACGUCGAUGCUAGCUUCAACACUGACCUGGAUGAGUCUAAGUCACAAACCAGAUACAUAUUUAUAUUGAAUGGUGGAGCUGUCAGUUGGUGCAGUUCCAAGCAAAGCGUCGUGGAGAGAUCUACUGUGAAGCGGAGUACAUAGCUGCUUUGGAAGUAGCACAUGAAGGAGUCUGGAUGAAGGAGGUCAUAUCCGAUAUGGGUGUAAUACCCAGUGCAUCGGGUCCAAUGAAAAUCUUUUGUGACAACACUGGAGCAAUUGCCUUAGCAAAGGAAUCCAGGUUUCACAAGAGAACCAAACACAUCAAGAGACGUUUCAACUCCAUUCAUGAAAAGGUCAAGGAUGGAGACAUAGAGAUUUUCAAAAUACAUACGGAUCUGAUGUAGCAGACCCGUUGAUUAAGCCUCUUCUGCAAGAAAAACAUGAUCAACACCAAGGCUCCAUGGGCAUUAGAUUCAUUACAAUAUCUAGAUUAUUUACUCUAGUGCAAGUGGGAGACUGAUGGAAAUAUGCCCUAGAGGCAAUAAUAAAGUUGUUAUUAUAUUUCCUUACACGAUAAAGGUUUAUUAUUCAUGCUAGAAUUGUAUGGAUUGGAAACUUAGAUACGUGUGUGGAUACAUAAGCAAAUACCGUGUCCCUAGUAAAUCGUCUACUAGACUAGCUUAUUGAUCAAAGAUGGUUAAGGUUUCCUAACCAUAGACAUGUGUUGCCACUUGAUAACGGGAUCACAUCAUUAGGAGAAUGAUGUGAUGGACAUGACCCAUCUGUUAGCUUAGCAUAUGAUUGUUCAAUUUAUUGCUAUUGCUUUCUUAAUGUCAAAUACAUAUUACUUCGACUAUGAGAUCAUGCAACUCCUGGAUCACAACAUAACUGGGUGAUCAUAAAUAUGCUCUACAUGUAUCUCCGAAGGUGUCUGUUGAGUUGGCAUGGGUCGAGAUUAGGAUUUGUCACUCCAAGUAUCGGAGAGGUAUCUGUGGGCCCUCUCGGUAAUACACAUCACAAGAAGCUUGCAAGCAAAGCUCCUAAGAAGUUAGUUACAAGAUGAUGUAUUAGGGAACAAGUAAAAAGACUUGCCGGUAACGAGAUUGAACUAGGUAUGAAGAUACCGACGAUUGAAUCUCGGGUAAGUAACAUAUCGACAAACAAAAGGAAUUACGUAUGUUGUCAUAAUGUUCGACCGAUAAAGAUCUUUGUAGAAUAUGUAGGAACCAAUAUGGGCAUCUAGCUUUCGCUAUUGUUUAUUGACCGGAGAGGUGUCUCAGUAAUUUUGUACAUAGUUCUCGAACCCGUAGUGUCCGCACGCUUAACAUUCAUUGACUAUAUAUUAUUAUAUGAGUUAUGUGAUUCGGUGACCGAAUGAUUUUCGGAGCCCCGGAUGAGAUCACGGACAUGACGAGGAGCUCUGGAAUGGUUUGGAGGUAAAGAUUAAUAUAUAGGACGAUGCUAUUUGGACACAGGAAAUGCUUCAGAGUGUAUCGGGUAGUCAUUGGAUCACCGGAAGGGGUUUCGGGAGGCCCCGAGAGGUCUAUGGUCCAAAUGGGCCAAGGGGAGGCACAUACCAGCCCACAAGGGGGCUGACGUGCCCUCUCCCUGGCUGCCGGCCCUAGAGAAGGAAAGGUGGCAGGGAUAGACCCUCCUGCCUUCCCCUCCACAUGGGAGAAAGGAAAGGGGGGCGCCAACCCCUCCUGCCUUCUACCUGGCGCCAAACAAUGAGGGGGGGGGGGCGCCAAAGUACAGGCGCCCAAGGGGGCCGUCCGGCCUCCUUGGGGUGCACCCAAGGCUGCCUCCCCUUCCCCAACCUAUAUAUAUAUGAGAGGGAGGGGCGCCACACAAACCAUGACAGUCUCUUAGCCGUGUGCGGUGCCCCUCUCCAUAGUUUAGUCUUCCGCCUAGUUUUCCGUAGUGCCUGACGAAGCCCUGCGGGAAUGAGUUCACCAUCACCUUCACAUGCCAUCGUGCUACUGGAACUCAUCUACUACUUUGCCCGUCUUGCUGGAAAAAGAAGGCGAGGACAUCAUCGAGUUGAACAUGUGUUAAACGUGGAGGUGUUGUACGUUCGGUACUUAUUCGGUUGGAUCGCAAAGAAGUUCGACUACAUCAACCACAUUAAUAAAAGCUUACGCUUUAUGGUCUACAAGGGUAUGUAGACAUACUCUCCCCUCUAGUUGAUAUGAAUCUCCAUGGAUAGAUCUCCAUGGUAGCAUGACCCGGCCGGACGUUUCAUUGGUAACCCGCCGGAGGAUUGGCGACUCACGAGUCUGGCGGCUCACUGGUGUGACGACUCAUGAGCCUGGCGACUCGUGGAUGGCCCUGACGGCGGGUCAGAUAGAAGACUAGGGCGAAGGCCCAGAAGGUCGGCUCAUGUUAUGGUGGGCCAGCUUAAGAGGAAAGCAUAAGGAAUAUUCCCUUACAAAGGAAGCAAGACUAGGACUCCACUUGUAAUAGAGUAAUCCUAAUCCUAUUAGGAUUAGUCAUGUAACCCGCCCCUUCAACUUAUAUAAGGAGGGGCAGGGCACCCCAAGAGGGGCAAGCAAGAAGAAACAAUCUCUAGGGCUAGACACAAAGAGCUGGCUUACCGGCGUCUCCCUCAUGAGCAUAAUGAGACCUAGCUACAAACAGCAUGUAGGGCUAUUACCGGAUGAUGUUUCCCGGGGCCCAAAGCUGUCUAAACCCUUGUCUUGUGUUGCAUCUCUCAAUUCAGAUCAACCCCUCUCAAGCUACCACAUAGAUGCGUGGCCUCACGACUUAGUCCUCACACUAGGACAUCUGCCGUGACGAAUCCACGACAAUUGGCACCCACCAUGGGGCCUACGCACGAUGGUGAUGAGUUCUUGAAGGGAUUUCUCCCAAGGAUCAAGAAGCUCACUGAGGGAGUCCUGGAUUAAUGGGUCCUCGGACAGCCGGACUAUAUACUUUGGCCGGACUGUUGGACUAUGAAGAUACAAGAUUGAAGACUUCGUCCCGUGUCUGGAUGGGACUCUCCUUUGCGUGGAACGCAAGCUUGGCAAUUCAGAUAUGUAGAUCUCCUUCUUUGUAACCGCCUCUGUGUAACCGUAGCCCCCUCCGGUGUCUAUAUAAACCGGAGGGUUUAGUCCGUAGGACAACAACAAUCAUAAUCAUAGGCUAGCUUCUAGGGUUAGCCUCUACGAUCUCGUGGUAGAUCAACUAUUAUAAUACUCAUAUCAUCAAGAUCAAUCAAGUAGGAAGUAGGGUAUUACCUCCAUCGAGAGGGCCCGAACCUGAGUAAACAUCAUGUCCCCUGACUCCUGUUACCAUUAGCCUUAGACGCACAGUUCGGGACACCCUACCCGAGAUCCGCCGGUUUUGACACCGACAUUGGUGCUUUCAUUGAGAGUUCCACUGUGUCGUCACAAUAAGGCUUGAUGGCUCCUUCAAUCAUCUUCAACGACGCGGUCCAGGGUGAGGUUUUCCUCCCCGGACAGAUCUUCGUAUUCGGCGGUUCGUACUGCGGGCCAACUGGUUUGGCCAUCUGGAGCAGAUCGAUAGCUACGCCCCUGGCCAUUAGGUCAGGUUUGGAAGCUUAAACUACACUGACGACAUCCUCAGAGACUUGAUCUUCGACGGAUUCGAGCCCAGUCAGGUACGCCGAACAGUCACAACGAGCAUGACUUAGAUCUGCCAUCAGACAGUGUUCGGGAGAUCACACCCGCCGCUGCCACGGCCUUCAAUCCGGAGCAGAUCGUGCCAUCCGAGGACGGGUGGAUGGACCCCAUCACAGAGGCCGCACACUCAUCGGCGCUUGAGCCGAACACAGACUCUACCUCUAAAGAGAUCUAUGUCAUCGGACCCUCGGACUCGUCUCCGGCCAUAGGAUCCGAACCGCGUAUGUUCGUGCUUAUCGAAUCUGAUUGGGCACCGACCAUGCAGUUCACCUUCACGGACAUCUUUCAGCACUCUCCAUUGGGCGACGUGCUAAAUUCAUUGAGGUCUCUCUCCUUGUCAGGAGACUCUUGGCCGAACUAUGUCUGGCUGGAGUGGGAAGCGGACGACGAAGAAAUACAUUCCCAACCCACCACCCACUUAAUAGCCACUGUCGAUGACUUAACCAACGUGCCUGACUUCAACUCUGAAGACAUCGACGGUAUGGAUGACGAUGCAGGAGAAGAAGAGGAACCACCGCCGACAGGGCGCUGGACAGCCACCUCAUCAUAUGAUAUAUAUAUAUGGUCGACACCCCCAAAGAAAGCGAUGAGGCAAUGGAGGAUAAUCCCUUGGAGAAGCAACCUAGGCACCGGCGUCAUAGGCGCCGCUCUAAGCCCUACCAUAUCAAAAAUAGUGAUACCGGCACAAGAGAUGGUAGCAAUCCGGAUGGAGCCGAAGACGAAAACAAUCCUGCCCAGCCAGGCUUCGAGCAGGACAGGAAAGAAGAUGGGCAAGCAUAGCCCUAAGGAACAGACAACAGAUGGAGAAUCACAGGAUGAUAAUUACUUGCCUCUCUCUGAAGACGAAGCGAGCCUUGGCGAUGAAGAAUUCAUCGUGCCUGAGGACCCCGUCAAGCAGGAGCGCUUCAAGCGCCGGCUUAUAGCCACUGCAAAAAGCCUGAAGAAGAAGCAGCAGCAGCUUCAAGCUAAUCAAGAUCUGCUAACUGAUAGAUGGACCGAGGUCCUGGCAGCCGAGGAAUACGGACUCGAGCGCCCUACCAAAAGUCACCCAAAGUGCAUGUUGCUACCUCAACUAGAGGAAGAGGCGUCAAAGCCCACACUACCAGUGCAUGACGUGGCUGGCCGGCCACCUCGUGGCCAAGACAAAGCGGCGUUUCAGCCCGAAGUCUAGCCCGCACCCCGACGCCAAACAAGCAAAAAUGCGAAGGCCCGAGUGAUGAGGACAUGGCUACCACAGUUACACCCAUAUCCCCUACUGUUUUACCUCUUGGAACAGUUGCUAGAGCUCAGAUACGCCUACUAAAUUAUCAGGUACUUUCGUUUCUUGGUAAUGUUUCUAAUGUUCAUGAGAAUAUGAUGCUGCCUAACAUAGAUACAUUUGUGUUGCUUGCAACUGAAGGGCCUAGCACGGACAAGAAGGUUGAACAUUGGAGCAUGGUCAAGCACGGAGAUGAAGGUGCGUGCGAAGAGAACAAGAACGGAGGUUCAAGUGGAGAUUUCCGGACUUUGAAGCCACCAUGAUGACAUACAAGAUGGUGGACGAAAUAUACAAGAUGGCCUUUCAUAAAUUUCGUCCAUAGCUUAUUAUUGGUGUUGCGCCACCUUAUUUUGGGCCAGGCCCAUGUAAUAUAUUUUUAGAGUCCAAAUUGUAGGGAAAACAACUUAGGAGGUGUUUUAGUCCCACCUUGCCAAGGGUGGACAAAAUCCCCUCUCUUUUCCCUAUAAAUAUAGCCCUUAAGGCAUCGUUUAGACAGGGGAUUUGUUUAGUUAAAAGUUAGCCAUUACAACUUCGUGUACUUCGUUUGUGUCCAACGACCAGACCAAGACCGCUUACGGAUCCCCACCUUUAUCAAUACUUCAUACAUAUUCGCAAUAUUCAGAUUGCUUUUAUCAUAUUCUUGCUUGUUCUUCGAUUGCUUGCAGGAAUAGACCUUCGUGGUCAGGUUGAUCGUGCUCCGGCGUGGUCAAUAACCUCAGGAGAUUGGUUUAGCGAUUGCUAAGGCGCAAUGUCGUGCACGUUUGUAGUCGGAUCGUGAAAGUCGUCUCCACCAAAUCGAUAGUUAUCAUCUCAUCGAAAGAUCGGGACACCUCCGCCUCUAUCAAGUGGUAUCAGUUUCCAGGUUGCUCGGUGAGAUUCUCCAGUUUUUCGUAGUCUAGAUUGCAUCUGUUCUUCAUACCUAGAGUCCAAGAAAAGCCAAAAAAAGUUAGAUUAGUUCAUCCGUGUCCCAGACAGUCUGAGCCUUUCGCCAUUAUCACUUAGUUUUUGUUUUGUUGAAUUUUCGGUUACAUCGUGUGUCGAGUCGCUGGUUUAAGUGUCUAGUCUUUUAGAGUUUCGAGUUCUAGUCACAUUUUAUUCACGUCGCAUCCGCUCACACCAUCGUCCACUUCAUUGUGAUGUUUCUUUGCCCCUAAUUUUGUUCGCCACUAUUGUCUCUAUCACCACCAUUCAUCCGCUGUUGGCGUUCAUCGCUGUCUUGGAGCAUCAUUCAUCUCGAGGAGAGAAACAAUUGAGAAAAAUUUCAAGCAAAAAAGAGAUCUUUUUGGCAAAUAUUGAUCCCGUAGGUGCUUUUGGAGAGCGAGACCAAGAGAUAAAAGAAUCCAGAUUUGUUUGAUCCACGAGGCAAAAAAAAAACCAGGAAGGAAAGGGCACUUGCAUUGGAGUUUGGAUCUUGACAAAAAAAAGGAGAAGAGGGAGUUGUGUCACGUGAGGAAGGUCCAAAGGAAGUACAAGGGCGUUUGGAAAGUUGUGCUGCCAAGAAAAGUACUCACCAUCACGUCACCUGCUCUUUGGAGAUCGCAAAAAAAAAAUAGAGCAAAAAAAGGGGACGUGUGGAUCUAUUCAGAACGGAAAGAGAGAGAGUUUGUUGGAAAGUUUGGAUAUUCUUUUAUUUCGAAUCAACUCUCAGGAAAAUAGAUCGGACCGAAUCCUUCUUGAAAGGCAACUUGGAUUAGCCGCAUAAAAAAAAGGAAGGAACAAUAUUUCGUUUCGAUCUUUGAGAAAAAUCAAUAAGGAAAUUUUGAGCGUCCAAAAAAAAAGGAUUACAGAUCCGUACUAGUUUCCCUUUAAAUCAGCACUAGGAUGUUGCUGAUUUGGAAAGCUAGAUUCGUGGCUAUCCUUUGAGAUAUUUGCCACGUUUUUGAAUUUGGCAAGAAAUAAAAGAGCAAGUAAUCACGUUUCGCUUGGUAAGGAAAGUGCUAGUCGGUUUUUGUUUGGAAGGAUCUUGAUGAUUGAGUCAAAUGAGAGAGAAAAAGGCAAGUAAGAUCAGCCAUAAAAAACAUGAAGAGUGCCUAGUUUGAGGCUGUUCACGUCAGGUUUGGAAGGUGCUAAAAACAGAAUUAUUUUUUAUUGGAAGGCAACUGCUAAUCGGUCUGGUUGGCAGCCAAUUUUGUUGGACAGUUCGCUAUUAAAAAAAGAUACAAGGAAGGGCGUGAAUUGUGUGCUACUAUUUGGAAAGUAAUACACAAAAAAAAAAGAAUAGAUUUGGCAUCUUCGGAUCUGGGUAUCCUACUGUCGAACGUUUGAUGUUUUAAAAGCAGGAGCAGAAUCCAUUACGAGAGAAGUGGAGAUCGCAGCAAAAAAAGAAAGGAGAGAAGAAAACAUUUACAAGGAAAGUGUGAGCGCUUGAUCCUUUUUUGAGUUGAGAGAAGAAGGAAAGAGUUUGGUUCGGCCAGGAAAUAAAAAGCAAAACGUGAGGGAGAGAUUGACUUUGAGAAAAGGGAUUUAAAAGGAAAGAGAAGGCGCAGAUUAGCUCUCAUGGAAAUCCCGAAAUAAUAGGCUGGGAAUUUUUUUUUCUCGCUCAGUUUAAAAGAAGGAAACAAGAAAAGGGCGUUACAUCCGGAUUGGAUUUUUUUUGGAGAGAGAAGGCAUUUCCUAAGAGAAAGAGAGAGUUUUAAAAAAAAGUGCGGAGAAAAAAAAGGAAGAGAGAGGUUUGCUGGGUGCAGCACGUGAGGGAAACAAGUUUGAGGUUAAAAAAACAGUGGAGAGAGCAGCAACGCCGAAUAUUUAGAGAAAUCAUACAUGCUAGUAGUUCUAGUUUGACGAGUUAAUUUGGUAUGAUCGGCUGAAGAAAAAAGGAGGGAUUACCUGGUGGUAGAAGAGAAGAGAUAUACUGGUGCUAGUACUUCCUGGUUGUUGUGUCGCUCAUAAGUUUUGUUGCAUCUUGCGUUUGCACGUGAAUUUUACUUGUGUCUUAGGCUCGCGUCUCUAGCACAGUCUAGCCUAGGACCAGCAGUCGACCACUUUGAACGGAUUUUCAGCUUGCAUUAAUUCAUGUGGUUGUAGCAUUUUUUCCACAUACAUAAAGCUAACCUAGCUCCACAUAUUUCUACACCGUGCAUACAUCCGUUCACCUGGCAAUCGCUUUAUCAACUUUGAGAGUUAUUUCACCACGCUGAUUGCUGGUCACCACCUGCUGCAUGGUAAGAACUUGUAAGACUUUGAUAUUUGCUACACUGUGAGCGUUUUACCACCACUUCCCAGUAGUUCAUAAGAACAUUAUUUUCGGAUUUUGUUUCUUGUUUCUACUAAUAAUGACAGGAUCCAGAGUCAAUUCAUGGGCUUUGUCGAUCGCGGGAGACGUGCCACCACCUAUGCAAAUACCACAAUCGUCACGAGAGGUGCACAAACAUCCAAAUGCACAUGAUCAGGUUAAUGUUUUCAUACCACCAUUUAAUGGCCGUUUUAGACCUGCUUUAUAUAUUGAAUGGGAGUUUGACCUAAAUCAUACAUUUGCUUCCCAUAAUUUUGAUGAACGUAAAAAAGUUAAGGUUGCGGUUGGUUCUUUCACUAGUUAUGCUUUAGUUUGGUGGAGUGAAUAUUGUUGGUUACACCCUAAUGAUAUGCCUUCUACUUGGGAUGAUUUGAAACUUGCCAUGCGACAUACUUUCGUUUCCGCUUAUUAUACUCGUGACAUGAUUAAAAAGUUGCAACAUUUAAAACAAGGUAGUGACACCGUAAUGACAUAUUAUGAUACUUUACAAACUACCUUGCUGCAUUCCUCUUUAGUAGAAAGUGAAGAAGAUUUUAUGGAUAGAUUUUGGGGAGGAUUAAAUCGUGACAUUCAGGAAAUACUAAUUCAUGAAGAGUGUUAUCCUAUGGACCAUUUGUUUCAUCUUGCUUGCAAAGCUGAACAGGAUAUAAAACGACGUGUUGCCCACAAGGAGAACAAGCGCGAGAUGCACAUUCCAAGAGUUGAUACAAUUGUCCCUUCAACUACUAGGCAUACUAUGACAACCACAUCCGUUGUUGUCAGGACUACAUCACCUCCACCAUGCGACACAUCAUCACCGAUAGUGCCUACAUCAUCUGAGUUGAUCAUAAGAGGUAAUGACAAAGGUACUAAUCUUCCACCUCCACAUGAGUAUGAUGAAUGUCUUGUCAAUUUAAAUGCACCAUGCCUCAAUCAAAUCGAUAGUUAUCAUCUCAUUGAAAGAUCAGGACACCUCCGCCUCUAUCACCGAGGCUCCAUGCAUGACCCGCGAGACAAAUUGAAAAACAAAGCAAGACAGUCAAGAUCGGUCUAUGGAUCACGGGGGCGCGCCCCAACGCGUGAUGAUGACUGUCAUGCCAGAUAUACCAACAAAUCCGGCCGGACCGAAUACAAUGUAGCCCGGCACAGAGGCGCUGCACACCCCCAAUGCUUCACUAAUGAAGUAAUGGAUCAUGAAUUCCCAGAAGGGUUUAAACCCGUGAACAUUGAAUCAUAUGAUGGUACUACAGACCCCGCGGUAUGGAUAGAAGAUUUCUUCCUCCACAGUCAUAUGGCCCGCGGAGAUGAUCUACACGCCAUCAAGUACCUCCCACUAAAACUCAAGGGACCAGCUCGGCAUUGGCUGAAUAGCUUGCCAGCAAACUCCAUCGGGAGUUGGGAGAACCUGGCAGACGCAUUCCUGGACAACUUCCAGGGCACUUAUGUGCGACCACCGGAUGAUGAUGAUCUAAGUCACAUAACCCAACAGCUCGGAGAGUCAGCCAGGAAAUGUUGGACGUGGUUCUUAACUAAAAAGAACCAAAUUGUCGACUGUCCGGAUGCUGAAGCCCUAGCGGCCUUUAAGCAUAGCAUCCGUGACAAGUGGCUUGCCAGACAUCUCGGCCAAGAAAAGCUAAAGUCCAUGGCAGCCCUCACGGCACUCAUGACAUGCUUUUGUGCGGGCGAAGAUAGCUGGUUGGCUCGUAGCAACAACACAGCAAGCAUUCCCGGCACAUCAAAAGUGAUGUAGGGUGGAACCCUGGGUGGACGAUCUUUCACAUUUGGAGGGAUCCUACGGAGGAAUCACGACGAACACACAGAAGCACAAAGGGAAAACACGGGGAAAACGAGAGGAAGAAUCACUAAACCGACAUAGAAUCAGUCACACGAGUGCUAGAUCAUCGACAACAUAGAGUAACAUAAGAUCCACGAUCAACUAAGGUAAGGAUACAUAGGAAUAGUUCUUCUCCGUACGGAGGUCUUGAGGGUCUUCCCUAGAAAGGGGUCUUGAAUCCGCUUGGGGGAUCUUCUCCGAAGAGGUCCUGAGCUCCGAGGAGAAGUAGCCAAGUGGAUGAGCAAGGCUCUCACACAAAAUAUGAGCUAAACCUAUGCUGCCCGUACCAGGAGGUGGGGGCAUCCUAUUUAUAGUCUUAGUGCAAAUGGAAGUCAAAACGAAGGGGUACAAGGGCUCCAGCCCGCAGGUUUGGUCACUCAGGAGUAGGACGUCCGGAAGGCGUCGGACGUCUGGAGGCUCGGGACGGUCCGGUCGUCCGGGCGCGCUCGGACGUCCGCUGUUUCAGCUCUGGUGUAGGCGCGUCGGUCGUCUGUAGAUGGUCGUAUGUCCGGAGCUUCUGGAGGGGCCGGACGUCCGGAGGCCGUCGGUCAUCCGUCGAUUUGGCUCGGGUGUCGGUCGUCCGAUCGUCCGGAGCGUCUCGGACAUCCGUAGAUUCGGUUCGGGUGGCCUGGUACCGGACGUCCGGAGGGUCCGGUCGUCCGUGUCCUGGGACUCGUCGGACGUCCGGACAGGGUCGGACGUCUGAUGCCUGUAGCUUCUGCUGCAGCUCUUCUUCUUGUCCAUCAUGCUUGGGGUCCUCGCAGUCUUGGCUCUUGCAAGUAGUAGACCCUUGGCUUACCUCCAUGUACCUAAUUACACACAGAAUCUCCGAAUGAGGUAGUAGCCAUGUCUCGUGAGUAGUAAGAGGGAGUUCGGAGAGGAGCGAGUUCACCUUAUCUUCGAUAGCCUUAGCUCGGGCUCUUGUCAUGGGUCCAAGUGGUGUUGAGGGAGAUGUAGGCACGUCCUUGGGGAUGAGCGAGGGAUGCUCCGCAUCAUCUCCCCCCCCCCUUGGGAGAGAUCCGACCUCGGAUCAAAAGAUGCAUCACCAUGGAAAGGUGCGAGGUCCUUGACGUUGAAGAUGUCGCUCACGUUGUACUUGCCUCGUGGUAGGUCGAUCUUGUAGGCGUUAUCGUUGUAGCGUGCUAGAACCUUGAAAGGGCCAUCGGCGCGAGGUAGAAGCUUGGACUUGCGUUCGUUGGGGAAGCGGUCCUUGCGAAGAUGUAGCCACACCACAUCACCAAUGUUGAAUACCAUGGGUUGCUUGUUGAUGUUGAGCUUGGUCGCUAGUCGUUGUACUUGGCGCUCGAUGGUGUUCCUUGUAUCUUCAUGCAUCUUCUUGAUGUAGCUUGCACGAGAACUUGCGUCGAGGUUGGUUCGCUCUUGUAGAGGAAGAGGUAGAAUGUCCAAUGGGGACAAAGGGUUGAAGCUGUAGACGACCUCGAAGGGGGACUUGCCGGUCGUGGAAUGUCUUGCAUGGUUGUAGGCGUACUCGGCGAUGGGUAGACACGCCUCCCACUCCUUGAUGUUCUUCUUGAUCAACACACGAAGUAGAGUGGAGAGUGUAUGGUUCGUCACCUCCGUUUGGCCGUCGGUUUGAGGAUGGUAUGCCGAAGAGAACAAUAGUUUGAUUCCGAGCUUGGCACAUAGGGUCUUCCAAAAGUAACUCAAGAACUUGACGUCACGAUCCGAGACAAUCGUCUUUGGCAAUCCAUUAAGUUGCAAGAUUUUCCUACAAAAGAGCUUGGCAAUAUGUGAAGCAUCGUCUAUCUUGUUGCAAGGAAUGAAAUGUGCCAUCUUAGAAAAUUUGUCCACAACAACAAAGACGGAAUCCUUGCCAUUUUGAGUUCUAGGCAAACCUAGUACAAAAUCCAUGCUAAUGUCUUCCCAAGGUUGAUAAGGAAUGGGAAGGGGCAUGUAAAGACCAUGGGAUUGAGCUUUAGACUUAGCUUUGCAACAUGUAGAGCAACGGUUGGUGAAGCGUGAGACAUCACGAAACAUCUUGGGCCAAAAGUAGUUCUUAGAGAGCGUGGCGAAAGUCUUGUCGCGUCCAAAGUGUCCCAUUAGUCCGCCUCCAUGAGCCUCUUGCAAAAGGAGCAAACGAAGAGAAGACUCGGGAAUGCAAAGUUUGUUAGCUCUCAUAAGAUAAUCAUCCUUUAUGUAGUAUCGUUCCCAAGACGUGUGUGUCAAACACUUAGCAUAAGGAGUAGCAAAAGAAGGAUCAUGCUCAUACAAGUCUUUUAUAUGCUCAAAACCAAUAACAUUUAACUCAAGUUGAGUGACAAGCAUGCAUAUGCGUGAAAGAGCAUCCGCAACAACAUUUUCCUUACCCUUAAUGUACUUGAUCACAUAAGGAAAAGAUUCAAUAAAUUCACUCCAUUUGGCAUGACGCUUGUUCAACUUAGUUUGGCCUUUCAAGUACUUAAGCGUUUCAUGAUCGGUAUGGAUGAAAAAUUCAUGAGGUCUAAGGUAAUGUUCCCAAACAUGUAGCACACGUACUAAGGCAUACAAUUCUUUGUCAUAGAUGGGAUAAUUGAGUUGAGCACCGGAGAGUUUUUCACUAAAAUAAGCAAUGGCUCGUUUUUCUUGCAUUAAAACUCCGCCAAUUCCGGUACCACUUGCAUCACAAUGAACCUCAAAAGUUUUGUCGAAGUUGGGCAAAGCAAGAAUCGGAGCGUGAGUAAGUAAAGACUUGAGCUCAUCGAAAGCGGUGGAUUGCAAAGAUCCCCAAACAAAAGGAGAAUUCUUCUUACUCAAAGCAUGUAAAGGAGCGGCAAUUGUGCUAAAUUUUUUCACAAAGCGGCGGUAAAAUCCUGCAAGACCAAGAAAACUCCUCACUUGUUGCAAAUUGGUUGGUUGGGGCCAAGUUUUAAUCGCUUGAAUCUUAGUUUCAUCAACAUGGACACCCUUGGAAGAGACAACAAAACCCAAGAAGACCACUUUGUCAAUGCCAAAAGUGCAUUUUUUCAAGUUCGCAUAAAGGCUUUCCUUUCGGAGGGUUUGCAACACAGAUUUAACAUGAUUAAUGUGCUCUUUCAUGGUUUUGCUAAACACGAGGAUAUCAUCAAAGUGAACCACAACGAAGACUCCAAUGUAAGGUCUAAGCACAUGAUGCAUAAGACGCACGAAAGUUCCGGGUGCUUCCGACAAACCCAUAGGCAUCACUAACCACUCAUAUAAGCCAAAUUUUGUUUUGAAAGCGGUUUUCCAUUCAUCACCUUCUUGAAUGCGGAUUUGAUAAUAGCCAGAUUUAAGAUCAAUUUUGGAGAAAAAGUUGGCUCCACUAAAUUCAUCAAGCAUAUCAUCUAAGUGAGGAAUGGGAUGCCUAUAACGAACGGUAAUGGCGUUUAUGGGUCUACAAUCGGAACACAAGCGGAAACUUCCAUCUGGCUUAGGCACAAGAAUAACGGGAACGGCACAUGGGCUUAAGCUUUCACGUACAUGACCGUUGUCGAUGAGUUGUUGUACUUGUCGUUGAAUCUCCUUGGUUUCUUCGGGAUUGACACGAUAUGGAGCUUUGUUUGGAAGUGGCGCUCCGGGGAUGAGGUCGAUUCGAUGCUCAAUGCCUCGUAGUGGAGGUAGACCCGGAGGUAGCUCAUCGGGGAAAACAUCUUUGAAUUCCUGCAAAAGAGAUUGAAACACUAAAGGUAGCUCGUGAGAGGUGUUAGUUGUUGGCUCUCCAUCUUUGCACACAAGGACGAAGUGCAUCACACUCGAUGGGUUCUCACACACUUCUCUCAUCUCAUUUUUGGUGGCAAAUAGGAUGAGGUUUUUCUCUCUAGGCGAAGAGGCGCUCAAGUUUGGCUUGUGGCUCUCACUCACUUUUGGGUGGGUAACUUCCUCACUCUUCUCUCCAUGAUGGGUGGCUUGCUUGUCGGCUAUCACUUGACUAGGAGACAUAGGUCGUAGCACAUACUCCUUCCCUUUCAUCUUGAAGCUAUAGUGAUUGGUUCGCCCAUUGUGGAUGACACCACGGUCGAAUUGCCAUGGUCGACCAAGAAGGAGGUGGCAAACGGUCAUUGGGACCACAUCACAUUCCAAAUUGUCCUCAUAUGCACCUAUUUUGAAAGAGACUUGGACCGUAUGCUCGACUAGUAUAGUGUCGGAGUCACUUAGCCAUUGAACCUUGUAGGGGUGCUUCCUCUUGACCAAUUGAAGCUUGGAACAUAAUUCUUCACUUGCCAAGUUGUGACAACUACCUCCAUCGAUGAUGACCUUGAUGGACCUUCCAUUGAUUCCGGCCUUAGUGUGGAAGAUGUGGCAUCGUUGGUCUUCUUCUUGUUGAUGUUGAAGUGUCAAGACUUUGGAGACAACGAGAGUGGGGCUCGGAUCCUCAUCACAAAAGACUUGAUCAUCUUCAUCCUCGUUCAUGCACCAGUGCAUGGCCACUUGCUCAAGGGCUUCCAUCUCCUCUUCACUCAUUGAGUCAUAUGUGCCGUCGUCGUUGAGGAUCAUGGUGCGCUUGUUCGUGCAUUGGUAGGACUUGUGGCCUCGGUCGCCGCAAGUGAAACACUUGAAGGAGCUUGUUAUGACUGUCUCAUCGGUUGGAGUAGAUGAUGAAGCACGCGGCUUUAAGUUGCUUGUAGUAGGAGGAAGACGACUUGAACUUGUAGAAUUUUUCUUGUAACUUGACUUGUCGUCGUUGCUUAGAGAAGGCGUGGUUGAUGUAGAUGUUGAAGGAGUCAUUGAAGCUUGGAUGUUGGAGAAACCGUAGGUCUUGGAUGAGUACUUGGCGUACUUGAAGUCAUCUUGCACUUGACGUUCCGCCUUGGUUGCUUGAUGUAUGAGCUCAAUGAGGUUGGAAUAGGGUUGGAAGUCGGCAAUCUUCUUGAUGGGAUGAUUGAGUCCAUUCAAGAAACGUGCCAUUGUUUGCUCAUCAUCUUCCGUGACAUUGGCUCGUAUCAUGGCUAUCUCCAUUUCCUUGUAGUAUUCUUCAACACUCUUUGUUCCUUGCUUGAGGAGUUGUAGCUUCUUGAAGAGAUCGCGGUUGUAAUAGGUUGGUACAAAACGUGCGCGCAUGACAUCCUUCAUUUGAGCCCAAGUGGUGAUUGGUUGAUCACCUCUUGCUUGACGGCGUUCAAGGACUUGUUCCCACCAUAUGAGCACAUAAUCUUGGAACUCAAGUGAUGCCAUAGCGAUCUUCUUCUCUUGCUCAUAGUUGUGCAAGCGGAAAAUUUCGUCGACCUUCAAUGCCCAUGAGAGGUACUCUUCCGGAUCAUUGCUUCCAUUGAACUUGGGCAUUGUGAACUUGAGCUUGCCAUAUCAUUGCUCUUCAUUGUGUUGUUGGCGAUGGUGAUGAUGAUGUCCUUGAUGUGGAGGAUAGUCAUCCUCAUGUUGCUCUUGGCGCGGAGGAAGUCCAUGAUCAACUUGCUCUUGUUGAACUUGAGGUUGAAGUGAAGCUUGGCGAGCUUGUGGAGGAGCUUGAGGAGCUUGGCGUUGCACACGUGGUUGGUAGUUCCUCUCUUGGAUUUCUUCUCGAAGGGCUUCCUCUUGAUUGCGCCGUUCGCGAUUGCGGUUGGCGAUGGCUCGACUUGAUUCUUGAAGGGCACGUUGCGCCUCAAGAGCUUGCGCUUCUCGUUGUUGUUGUUGAAGAUGUUGAGCCUCGGCGUCUUGUUCCUCUUGGUGUAGACGCGCUCGUUCUUCCUCUUGGCGCCGUAGUCGUUGCCGUUCUGGAGCUUGAGCAAAAACGACUUGGUUUGAUUGAGGACUAGGGAUUUGCUCAUCGACUUGUUCUUGUGAAUGCUUGUCAUGUAGCGGGUUCCGAGAUGCAUGCCGGUCUUGACGCGUGGCUCGUCGAAGAAUGGUCGAUGACGGUGUACUUGUGUCGGAGAAGGUGUCGUCGGAGUGUCGACUUGAGCGGCUCCGUCUUGAGGAUGAAGAAGUGGAGGGACGCCGGUUCCUCAUCAAGGUGCGGAUCUCGUCCAUUCUUGCAUCAUUCUCUUGCUUGUGAGAGUCGAACUUGUUAUCGAAGUAGUCUCUUGUACGUUGCUCGGAGAGUCGCAAGUCGGUGGCGAGGUUGUCGAUGCGGUCGCUCAUAGCUUGUUGCUCUUGGUGUAACGCUCUUUGAGCACCAAAGAGGUGGCUCUUUGUGACGAAUGAUGACAUGUCGUCGCCGUUCUCGAUGAGAGGUGGAGUGGUAGAAGAACUUGGCCUAUCCAUCAUACCACGCAAACUGUAAGUGGUAGAAGGAAAAGAACGUGUACCAAAUGCACCUUGACCGAAGUUGAAGAUGGAUCAAGUCCACUCAAAUGCGGACAAUGAAAUAGCACUGUUGGUACCAAUUCUUGUCGGUUCUCACACCUACACACGUAAAAGCUUAUGGUGGAGCUUGGUUAGGAUGGUGGCACAAAAUUUGAUGCAAUAGUAAGUGAGCUUUAAUAAUGUUGGAAAAGAUUCACAAAUUUGCAAAUGCAACAAGUAGAUCAAGCAAGUAUGAGUACACGGAAACACACACGCAAAAAGAUAAAUGGGAUUGUGCAAUCCAAAAUUGAGCCAAAAUGUGGAAACCACGAAAUGCUCUUGUUGCACAUAGGCGGAUACGCAAACUUGUGCACAACCUACUAGGCAAAAAUGCAACGAUCUCUAUCCCAAAUAUGCUAUAUGUAUGGUAUUUUGGUGCAAUGAUCCAAGAUGAUCCGAUAUGACAAUCUUAAUGUUGUAUGAUGCUAUGGUUCUUGCUCAUAAGCUCUUUGCUUAUCUUUCCUCUUUGCUUACAAGCUUGACUGGUUCUUUCACUUUUGAGCUCUUUUCUCAUGCAAAACUCAUGAACCAAGGUAGCAAUUGUGUAUGCGAUGACAACUUUGUGACACACAAGUUGAUCUCAAGAUAUGCACCACUAUUGUAUGGUAUGUAUGCUAUGGAGUAUGAUCACUAAUGUGCACAAGUCUUGUUGCCUGCAAUACUCAAUGGCUAGUCUCGAUGGGUAAGCUACGCAAAAUGAGGCAAUGUGGGUUAUUAAUGCAAUUGCAAGUUAUGACCAAGAUGUCGUCGAAGUUACCGUCCUUGCGAUGAUGAGACCCUCGAGAAGUUGAGUCGUGGUGAUGAUGAAGUCGAACCGUACCUAGAUAGCCGAAACACAAAAGGAUACGGAAGCCACAACUCAAAAUCUCAAAGACCAAAUUGCGUCAAAAUCGUCAUCGGAGGUAUCGUGGAAGAUUUUGGUGUAUGUGGGUUUGGAAGAGGUGGUGGAAUGUGGGGUUGUGGUGGAGGCGAACUGACGAAGUUCAGUUUCGUCAGGGUUUUACGGACGUCCGGGAUUUUACAGUCGUCUGGACUUUGUCGGACGUCCGACCUUUUCCGGUCGUCCGGAGCCUGGGCAAAAAUCGGGCUUGGGAAGAAGAACUACGAGAUUUCCGGGGAAGAAGAGGAUGGUGUGGUCGAAAUCGAGUGAUAUGGUGGAUGGAAAAUGGUGGGGAGGGUGGGGAAAGCUAGAUCCACACGCAGCAACACAAAUCCAUGGACCAAAUCCAACAAAAUCUCAACUCACAAACAAAUCACAAAAACAAAUUGGGGCUAUUUUUGGUGGGGAAUUUUCGGAAAUAGGACGAAAACAACAAAAUCAAGCUAGAAAACACGGGGUAGGGGCUCCAAAAACGUGAUCAACGUGGCUCAUGAUACCAUGAUGAUGUAGGGUGGAACCCUGGGUGGACGAUCUUUCACAUUUGGAGGGAUCCUACGGGGGAAUCACGAUGAACACACGGAAGCACAAAGGGAAAAAACGGAAGAAUCACUAAACCGACAUAGAAUCAGUCACACGAGUGCUAGAUCACCGACAACAUAGAGUAACAUAAGAUCCACGAUCAACUAAGGUAAGGAUAGAUAGGAAUAGUUCUUCUCCGUAUGGAGGUCUUGAGGGUCUUCCCUAGAAAGGGGUCUUGAAUCCGCUUGGGGGAUCUUCUCCGAAGAGGUCCUGAGCUCCGAGGAGAAGUAGCCAAGUGGAUGAGCAAGGCUCUCACACAAAAUAUGAGCUAAACCUAUGCUGCCCGUACCAGGAGGUGGGGGCGUCCUAUUUAUAGUCUUUGUGCAAAUGGAAGUCAAAACGAAGGGGUACAAGGGCUCCAGCCCACAGGUUUGGUCACUCCGGAGUCGGACGUCCGGAAGGCGUCGGACGUCCGGAGGCUCGGGACGGUCCGGUCGUCCGGGCGCGCUCGGAUGUCCGCAGUUUCAGCUCUGGUGUAGGCGCGUCGGUCGUCCGUAGAUGGUUGGACAUCCGGAGCUUCUGGAGGGGCCGGACGUCCGGAGGCCGUUGGUCAUCCGUCGAUUUGGCUCGGGUGUCGGUCGUCCGGUCGCCCGGAGCGUCUCGGACAUCCGUAGAUUCGGUUCGGGUGGCCUGGUAACGGACGUCCGGAGGGUCCGGUCAUCCGUGUCCUGGGACUCGUCGGACGUCCGGACAGGGUCGGACGUCCGAUGGCUGUAGCUUCUGCUGCAGCUCUUCUUCUUGUCCAUCAUGCUUGGGGUCCUCGCCGUCUUGGCUCUUGCAAGUAGUAGACCCUUGGCUUACCUCCAUGUACCUGAUUACACACAGAGUCUCCGAAUGAGGUAGUAGCCAUGUCUUGUGAGUAGUAAGAGGGAGUUUGGAGAGGAGCGAGUUCACCUUAUCUUCGAUAGCCUUAGCUCGGGCUCUUGUCAUGGGUCCAAGUGGUGUUGAGGGAGAUGUAGGCACGUCCAUGGGGAUGAGCGAGGGAUGCUCCGCAUCAAAAAGCCAGAGAUAGCAAUGACAAACCAUGACGCAACAAACACAAGCAUCGCAAAAACGGUGAUAGCACCGAAGACACGGCAGACAAUGCCGGAUUCACUGGCUCUAAGUCCGGUCAGUGGAAAAAGCCAUUCAAAAAUAACAAUUCGGGCCCGUCCAGUUUUGACCGCAUACUCGACCGUCCAUGCCAAAUUCAUGGCACUCCAGGAACACCAGCCAAUCAUACCAAUAUAGAAUGCUGGGUCUUCAGACAAGCCGGCGGGUCAGGUGCCGAAAACAAGGAGAAGGGGUCUCAAAGCGACGAUGACGACGAGGAGCCCCGAUCACCGAAUAUAAGAGGGCAAAAGAAAUUUCCCCCGCAAGUCAAAACGGUGAACAUGAUAAAAUCCACCCACAGGGUUGUCGACUUAACGGAGCCAGUCACCCCAAAAUAUAACCUAUGGCCGACAACCUAUCGUACGAAUCGUCCGGCCAAUACCAAUCAAGGCAAUCCAGCCGCACUCGUCCUUGACCCAAUAAUUGAUGGAUUCCACCUCGCAUGAGUCCUUAUGGACGGAGGCAGCAGUCUAAACCUACUGUAUCAGGACACAGUGCGCAAGAUGGGUAUCUAUCAUUCGAUGAUCAAGCCCACUAAAACCACCUUCAAAGGUGUUAUACCAGAUGUGGAGGCUACUUGUACAGGCUCCACCAUUCUGGAGGUAGUCUUUGGAUCACCAAACAACUACCGUAUCGAAGAGUUAGUCUUCGACAUCGUCCCCUUUUGCAGUGACUAUCAGGCACUGCUCGGACGAACCGCGUUUGCUCGAUUCAACGCGGUGCCACAUUAUGCCUACCAUAAGCUAAACAUGCCCGGUCCGCGUGGCGUCAUCACGGUUAAUGGCAGGGCCAAACUUCCCCUCACUGCUGAAGAGUCUACCGCCACUUUAACAGCAGAAGCAAUGAGUGGCACCUUUCAAUUGAACCUCGAGUCGAUGGCCAAGCCCCCAGACACCGCCAAAGGAGUCCAAACUACGACGCGACACGAUAGCCCGGCUCGUCCGGAGCUCAACUAAACACUCCGGCAGAAGUUAAGACAGGCCACGUACUGCGGCUCAACCGCUCUAUGGCACACAAAUAUUUUUUGUAUUUUCUUUGCAGGUUCACCCUUGCGUAGGCCAGGACUGAUGGCGUGGAAACAGUUCGAACACGUAAGGGAAUCUUUAGAUAUUCCCCUCGAUGACCAUCCGACUACACUCCGGAUCCGCAUACAACUUCCUCCCGCCUGGUCUUAGCAGGUUCCGCAGUCAUAUUUCUUUUUAUCACAAUUACUUGUACUCAUGUGCAUCAACGUAUUAUUCAAAUACAACAUGUGGAUUUAUAUGAUGCCUAGCUGCUGUUAUUUCUUAUUGAAACUCUUUUGUCAAAAGGCAGCUGCACAUCGCGAUAUGCCUUAAUAUGCCAGGGGCUUCAUUAUACCCAUAAUACGGCAAUAAAGUCCGAACACCUUCACGGCAGUUCGACACCCCGAACUUAUAGCAUUAUAUGCAUCAGCUCCGAAUCAUGUCUUGUGUCAAUAUUUGGGUUUGCCCGGCUCCCAUGUUUUGUACCUUACGUUCCGCUAUAUCGGCUAAGGUAGCACAGGGAGAACUACUGCGAUUGUGUCCCGGUUCUUCCGGACGAGCACCUCAGUAGAGAAAGCCGAAAACUGGCUGUCAUGAUACAGCGAGAGCUGGUCAGCUGUUCGGGAGGUUGUAAAAUCUUUAAGGAUUUCUUCCGCAUAAUUCCAUAACCAAUGCAACGUGCGAUGGAUUAGCUUUUCUUCCGACCAGGUGCUUAUAGAGCCCCUCGUGCGGUCUUCCGAACACCAGGGGAUGCGCCUAUCUUCCUUUUGUUAAACUCCUAUGGCUAAGUGAGAGUGAUAAAGCCCUAUAGUCCGAUUGCCUGGUUCGCUGUGCUGAACACCUCCUUCAAGGACCCAAAAUUGGGAUAAAGAGUGCUCAGGUUUAUCCCGAAUACCCCCGUACUUACUACGUGGGGGCAGAAGCCGACGACUGGCCAACUCAGAAUUAAUAUAUAAAACGGCCGCAUAGGAGGAAAAACUUUCAAAUAACAAGCAAUGAAUAACAUAAAUGACCUUGUUCAACAUUACAGAGGACAACAUGAGUGUAUUCAUGGAAAUAUAAUGUCCUUGAUGCAUAGCUAUGCCGCAAGGCGGGCUCCUUUCAGGGCACCAUCAUAAUAUAAUUCGGGCUAGCGGUGCUCCUUCCCCUCCGGCGGUCCCUCAGUCAUCAGCUUUUUCGCAUCCAUCUUCCCCCAGUGCACCUUUGCAUGGGCGAAGGCCUUUCGUGCACCCUCCAUAUAGACCGACCGCUUAAUGACUUCAAGUCAAGGGCAGGCGCUCACAAGCUGCUUCACGAGCCCGAAGUAACUACUUGGAAUCGGCUCGGCGGGCCAUAGCCAGAUAAUUAAAUCCUUCAUGGCUAGCUUGGCCGCCUUAUGCAGUUCGAUCAGCUGCUUCAGUUGAUCGGCAAAAGGCACCUGAUAAUUCGGUGCCAGAUACUGCAUCCAGAAGAGCUUAUCCGCAGUGUUCCUUUCUUCGGCUUGGUAGAAUUGGGCGGCAUCAGAUAUGCUGCAUGGCAGCUCCGCAAAUACCCCUGGAGAAAUCAGAAUUCAAAUUAUCAACUUAAUUUCCUCCUCUCAAAUACUGGCUUUGUAUAGAAAAAGCCUUACCAGCCGCAAUCUUCGUCGCCUCCUGGAUUUCCUUCAGGGCACCUUAGGCUUCCCCCCGGGCAUCACUUACGGCCUGGCGAGCCUGGGAGAGUUCGGAUUCUUUCCCUGAUAAACUCUGCUCCAAGGUCUCGCAUUUCUUCACGGCCUCCUGAAGCUCUCGCUCAGCUUCAAUAACUCUGGCCUCGUGCUUUUCGCGAAGAGCCUGCUCUGCGGCUUCCUUCUUCUCGGCUUCGGCCACAGCCUUCUUAAGAGCCUCAAUUUUGGUCGUCGCCCCUAGAGCACAUCAUAAAAGCAUUUUCAUCAUGCACAAUUAUUCAUUUGUGCUAAACAAACAAGGUUUCCGCAUACCUUGAUUCUCCUCCAAUUGCUUCUUCACUCGGCCAAGUUCUCCUUCGGUCCGGUUCAGACUAUGCCUAAGUCCGGAUACUUCCGCGGCAUGAGUGGCAGCAGUCGCUACAGACACCUGCUUAUUAAAAGAGAUAGAUGUCACCAAGUGAGUCUCCUGCGAUCAUAAAAUUGAUCCUCUGUCCAGUUCUUGUUUUCACCGAACAGUGUAUCAGGGGCUGCUACCUAUACUAUGACACUCUUCCAAACCUCAUAAAACAUACCUCGAAGCCUCUUAUAGGCUGAUACAGGAUUCAUUCAGUCCAGUCUCAGCGGACUGAAUCUUCUCAAUCAGCGCACCCAUAAGGACACAGUAUUCAUCGAUGAUGGAGGCGCUUUUCAGCGCCGCCAAUAAAAUAUCUGACACCUCUGGUUGGGUAGAGGUAGCCGGUGGAACAGACACAUCCCCUCUAGUCGACGGAGGCCGUCUGCCUGAUUCUGGAGCCUUAUUGGUCUCUGGAAUCGUGUCCGAUUGGGGGCCGGAUUCAAGAUGACCCCCACCGUCGAUGUCCACGGGAGCCUUCUCUCCCAUGUGUCCGGUCCCGGAGGUUUGACCUUCUGGCGCCGCCUUUGCGAUUCUCUCCCCCCUGGCCUGGGUCUUCCUGGGAUGAAACCUCGGUGUCAUUCACACGUUUGGGGAAAGGGGCCUUCGGGGGUUUCUCGCUCUCCAUAGCAUCCGAACCCAACAAAUCCUCUGACGAGGAUUGUUCGGUGCGGGACCUUGCCGGACUGUAAAAAGUAUGGCUCAGAUUAAAAUAUUAUGCCAUAACAAGUCUGGACGCAUAAGUGUGUUCCGAUUUUAUACUCACGAGUUCACCAGGGGCUGGGCCCUGGGAUCCCACUCCGGGCUGCUAUUCGGCGGCGGUGGUAGACUCCUUUGGAAGAGGAGUUUUUCCCCUCUUAGGCAACCGAUACAAAAGAAAGUGGCCUUCCUUAUUAGUAGUGAUGGAUACGUCAGGUUCGAGAAGGAAUAACCUAAAGCCAGUGAUAGAAUCUGUACAACCGGCAGGAGCGAUUGAUUAGAUAUCGCAGGAAGAGUGAACUAGUAGGCUUCGUAGAUUUUAAACGCAUUCAUCUUUCCUUUUUCUUGAACAGCUCAGUCAAACCAAGCAGUGAACAAAGUUAGUGCAAAUGUGGUCAAAAAUAAGAGACAAUCUUUUUUGAUAUUGUAUGCUAGGACAGACCUGUAGGUGAGAUCCACUAUGAUAAUGACAAAGAUUUCUACAUAUGUGACCAAAUCGAUCAAGAAUAUCCCAAUCUUAUAAAUCUGUCCAAAUGGGUUUACUAAUAGGAUGCCCCGAUCCAGUAGAAAAUUGAGCUUUUGAUCUCAGCCUCCAAGGAUGUGGAGGCCAUCCUUUUCUUUCUUCCCCCCGCUGGGGAUUCGUCUUCCUCCUCCUCCUCGUCCUCUUCGGAGGAAGAACGGGCAUUGGAGUCUUCGGAUUUUGUGUCCGGGGCACCAUGGCGACGGAGACCGCCCCUGGUCUUCUUGGCCUCCUUCUCGGCCUUCUUCUUUGGCGCCUUGUAAGGCGCCGGGACCAGCAUCUUCGUCAGAAGUGGGCCGGCCAGUUCUUCUGGCAGCAGGACCGGACAGUAGAUCCGCCCCGCCUUCUUUGCCCAGCCCUAGGAGAGUCGUGGGAAACACAUUAAGCAUUUUCCUAAGGGUAUGCGAAUAAAAUAUAUGAAUUGUCAACAUACAGUGACUUACCGAACUUGCAGGGCGGGACAGUUGGUACCCGCGGUCCUCGGAGGUGUCCGGCCACGAUUUGCCGGACUUGAAAAGCACCUUCCAAAUGUCUUUGUGUGAGGAGCCAAAGAGCUCUAGCAGGGUCUGGUGCUUGGCCAGGUCAAACUCCCAUAAAUUACAGGCCCGGUGUUGACAAGGUAGAAUCCGGCGAACUAACAUCACCUAGACUACAUUGACAAGCUUGAUGUUCUUGUCUUCCAUAUCCUGGACGUACGUCUGGAGCACCGACAGUUUGUCGGAUGAGGGCCGGUUCAGGCCCUUCUUGGGCCAGGACGUAAGUCAUAGGGGGGCUCCGGAUCUGAAUUCCGGAGCAACGGCCCAUUCCUUGCCGCGCGGCUCAGUGAUGUAAAACCACUACUGCUGCUACUCCUUGACGGAAUCAUUGAAAGUACCUGUUGGCCAUGUAAUGUUGGGCAUCUUUCUCACCAUAGCGCCUCCGCACUCGGCGUGCUCGCCACUUACUACCUUGGGCUUCACAUUAAAAACCUUCAGCCAUAAGCGAAGUGCGGAGGGAUGCGGAGAAAGGCCUCGCACACAACGCUGAAUGUCGAGAUGUUGAGGAAGGAAUUGGGGGAUAGAUCUUGAAAAUUGAUCCCGUAAUAAUACAUGAUGCCCUGAACGAAUGGGUGGAGGGGAAACCUAAUACGGGGCUAACCCGGUGUAGGACGAUCUUUCACGAUUGGAGUGGGAUCCCUCGAAGAACAUGAAGAACACAGGGAAGAAUGGAGAGAAAUCACAAGGGGAAACACUCAAGAACAAGUCCAAUCACACAUUCUCUAGACAAUCAAACACACAAGAUCCAUAAGGUACAUGAACAACAAAGGGAAAGAUAUAAGGUAGCAUUCAUAUCAAAUCCAAGAGGAGAUGUGGUCUUGAUGAUAUCCUACAUGGAUCUUCCCACGAGGGGGUCUUGAUGAUAUCCCGUAGGAUCUUCUCCGAGAUGGAGGUCUUGGCCUCCAAUGGAGUAGUGGUCUCUCUCUCUCUCUCAAGAGUAGAGAUAGGUAGGAGCAAAGCUCACAUACAAAUGAGCUAUCACUUUGCUAACCCUAGAAAGG